AGGAAUUAACUUGAAAGAGUCAAUGGAUGAUGAAUUGUUGCCAUAUAAGAUUAAAUUGGAUAUUAUGGAACAAGGUCAUAAGUAUUUGGAGAAGAACAUCCAAAUGGUGUAAUGAUUGCAUAUGUCAUAGGAAUUCACUUGCAAAAAGAAUAGAUUGAUUAGGAGUGCUAUAACACAAGUCAUUGCGAAAUGAUGUGUGAAUUGAAUUUGAAUUCAAAACAGGUCAAGAAUUAUUUGAAUAUUGAGUAUACAUGAUGUCAUCAACAAGUAUUUGGUACAAGAGUUCAGACGCAAAAAUAAUAAACUAAUUUGGAUCGACGGUUUGAAAGGUAUGGCCUCCGGAAGGUUGAAUUCAAAUUUGAUCAAAUUCAAAUUUAAGCAGUUCAAACAUGUGAAAUUUUGGUUCUACUGUAUUCUUCUGGUCACUACGAGUACACAUAAAAAAAUCAAUGAAUUUGGAUAUACAGACCAAGAGAUAUAGCUAAACGAAAUAUUGGUGAAAAUCUGUCUAAAACAUGAUUUUGAACUGCGGUUACUAUAGCAUAGCGCCAUGUGUCACAUGCAGAUUGGCUGAGAUGUAGUUGUGCGUGCGUGCUCACCGAAGCAGGGGAAAACAGCGACGGCUUCGGACGUGGCUGGCGGCGCUCCUCCGGUGGCUCUCCAGUGAAGAUGAGGUGAAGAGCGGAUGCGGCUUGCGAUGACGGAGACGAUGGUAGCUUCAACGGAGAUGGGAGCGUCCUUUCCUGGCGCACCGUCGCUCGAUGGUGUUGGCGAUUUUGGGCGUGAUCGGGAGCUCGGUAUCCCGUGUUCCUGAGAAGAUCAGAGGUUGAGGGGAAUUUAAAAGACCACGAAUAAUACUCAGGAAGGAUUAGCGAGGAACCGAGGCUCACAGAGGCAAUGGAACUAUUCGGGGAAGCUCCGGCAAGGGCAAUACUUCGGCGAGAUCCGGAUUUGUUGAAGAGCUCGAUGUGGUGCGGUCCUGGGAAAAAUCAAAGCGGAGGGGGUGCAUGAGGUUUCCUCGCAGACUAUGGAGUGCUCGGAGAGGGGCCGGGCUUACUUGUGUGGCCGAAAUCGUUCGUCAGAAUCGCCGGAGUCGGCAGAGCUUGGUGAGGUCCUUACGCUCGAUUCCUAGGGGAAAACAAAGUGGAGCCUGCGAGGACUGAUUGAAGGAUUCGAGAGGAACCACACGGCGGCCUCAGAUUGGAAAAGGAGCAAGGGGUCGCGCGAAUCACGCGGGGUUUGGUGCGGCAGUGGCGGCGCUCUCGUCCACGAACAGGAGAUCGAUCGGGAGGUGGAAGGAGGCGGUGGGGUCCGUUGUCAGUGGAAUAGAGAGAAAGAAAGAAAAAACAAAAGAGACGUGGAGCAGGCUGUGGCCUACUGGCGAUGCUGGGCCAGCUGCGCUGCGGUUGCUCUGCGCUGCUGCUUGCGCGUGGCGAAGAAUAGAAGCUGGUCCGCACAGUGCGACCUGAUGAAUAGUGAAGGUUUUCUAUUUACUAAAAUAAUAGGAAAGAAAGUGGAUAAUGAAGAUGCCAAAUUCUUUCUGAAAUAAAUACUAGGAAAAUUUCUAUAAUUCUACAUACUAAUAUAGAAAACAGUGAACAUUUAUUCCAUCUCAAAAUACAUAUAUAAAAUACAUAUAAUAUUUUUGUAAACAUUACUUUGACACUUAUAAAGUGUUCCAUAAAAUAUUUUUGAACUCGGGAGAAAAAAUGCAAAUGACAUUUAAAUCAUUCACAACUCUUUUACAUUGAAGGAGUCAUAUUACCUUCUCUCAUAUGAUUUAAUAUUUGAGUUAGAAUUGUUCUAAAUAUUCAAAAAUCCAAAUGUGAGAAUAUUCAAUUAUUCAGCUAUAUUAUUCUGUGAGGAAGUCAUGUCAUCCUCUCUCAUUAUUGAAUUGGAAAUAUUUUGAAUAUUCGCAAACCCAGAAUAAGAACGAAAUGAAUAAUUGGGAAAGUCUUUUUAUUCCCUCUCAAUUUAAUAUUCACUUAAACUCCAAAAGUUUCAAAUCCUAGUCACAUCAAUCAACACAAGCAAGUUUUUAUUUAAUACUAUUUAAAUAAUUAACAUUCCAAAAUUAUAAAUUUUGGGAUGUUACAAAUCUACCACCCUUAAGAUGAAUCUCGUCCUCGAGAUUCGAAGAGGCUAGAAAGAAAAGGCUAGGGUCGGGGUUCUCCUUGAAUAUCCAUUGUCCAUCCGAGGGUCCGGGGUACUACCACCCUUAAAAUAAGAUUCACCGGUCUUAAAAAAAUCUUACUCCUUCGAUGAAAUCCUUGACACACAUGUCUUGCAAUCCUUUGAAAUUCUGAAUCCCUUACCAAAAGAGUGGUCUUCCAUAUACUGAAACUUCAUGGCUCACAGGUCUUGCGUCAAUACUAAACAAAACCGAUUCUCUCAUGGGGGUCAUUAAGAAUACUUCCUUCGGGGUUCCUGCAGAAAACUGUCUUGGCUUAUUCUCACCGUAUAACCUAGUAUUUGCAACGGGUGCCUCUACAAGGGGUCAAACGUCAUACCAUUCUAAGGUUUAGGCUUAACAUCAUCGUCUCUCAAUUAUAGACAAGUCACUCUAGAUUUACUAGCCCACAUAGCAAGAGUGAAUAAUAAGAGUAAGUUGGCAUGGUGAUCAAUCCAUUCCGCACCCAAAUCAUUAUCUUGUAUAUGGUUUAGAAAAUCUCGCAUUCUAACACUUGGGCAUCCUGACAAACAUUGCAAAAACUUCUCUUGUUCACGAACUGGGUUCGAAUAAUUCCAUUGGUUCCGCGUGCCAAACAAAACAAUCUAUCGUUCCUUUGAACUCUCAGGGUUGCGUCAACUACCAUAAAACGUCUACUAACGAACUGUAGCUUCCUCCAGGGUUCUUCCUUCAGCAAGAUUGUGCUUGCUUCUUUGUCUUUCAUUGUGUACCUAGUUAAGCUUGAACUCAUCCCUAGGUUGCAUCCAUCUUCACUCCAUUCUCGGGAUUUGCAGUAAUGUCGUAAAUCUUCUCAUGCAGGUCUUGGGUUUAAGGAAAGAUAGAAUAUAUAUAUAUAUAUAUAGAGAGAGAGAGAGAUACCCAUACAAGCAUCACAAUGGUUUUUAAAAUAAGUUUUGAUGUGCGUUGUCAGUAAAAACAAACACAAUGACAGCUCACAAACAACGUAUCUAACGAUAUACGUAUAUACAAAUCUUGUAUCUUCAAAGUCUUCAAUGUUUGUAUCCUCUGUCUUGCAUCACGAAGAAAUCUUCAUGACACCAAGUCUUGUCAUAGCCUGCUCUUCUUAAAUCUUGAAGCAUACUAAAUAAAUAGGAGUCUAAACAUCGUAACUUAUUCUAUGCAUAAAAGAAAUACCAAUCACAUCACACAUCAUCAAUCAAUAAAAGCACAAAAGUCACACCACACAAGCAAAUCCUACAGGUAAGGUCAUAUCCACAAGAGAUAUGAUCUAUCAUACUAUCGAGAACCAUUUAUCGAACUUAAAAUAGUAGGGGUGGUCAUUUAUCGAACUUAAAACAGUAGUGGUGGUCUGAAUCUAAGCUUUGCCCUUCUCAUCUAAAUUAACCAUGAAGAUCAUCUAGCAAUCUAAAAGUUAGUCCUUAUUGAGUCGCACCAAAAAUACUUCUUUCUUGAUUUCCUUCACUCCUCAUUGUAGCAUUGCUUCCCAAACAUCACAUCCUAAGUGACAGGGCCAAAUGGGGUAACUAUAGGAUGGCUAGCUACUUUAAGACAAGAUGAGAAGUUUAGAAUAUGAAUGGUAGACGAGAAAUACGAGUAUGAUAUUAAGUGAUAAAGAAGUGAUAAAAUAAUUUUGUUCCUAUGGCUUUUCCUAUUCCAUUGUAAGGGUUACGACCUACAAUCAACAUGGGCUCUAAUACCAUCUGUAACGACCCGAACCUGAUUAGAUUCGAUAUCUCUGUGCUCAUUGUGCUAGCCACUGGAUCAAUAGCUAGCACACAUAGUACAAGAUGUAAUAUCAAGAAUAAACCACAUGUCAUAACAUUACAUCAUAGAUCCAGAAUUUAAUAUAAUACAUACCUGCAUAGCUCAAGCUAGCAUACAAACAAAAUACAGCGGUAAAGAAAAUAAAAUCUUCAUGAAGUCCAUCAACACCACAUGCAAAUGUCGAGUAUAGACAUCGUAACCCUACAUCGUAUCACUCACUCAUCGUAUAAAAUCUACAACAUGAAACGUUGCAGCCACGAAGGGUCAAUACUUUGAAUGUAUUGGCAAGUCACACAGGAAUGAUAUAAUAGACCUACUUCUAUAUGCAAGGUAUAUCAACAGGAUAGUGCAGUGGUUGUUUUGCAGAAAAGCUAAUUUUUCCCUGAUAGCUACAUAAUAUAAUAGUCAAUUUUUAAUUAUAUCUUGAUACAGUUAAAUACAUAUGGUUGAAUUGCGCAAUCCAAUACCACCCUAUCCCAAUUAUUAAGUUUCCCACUCAAUUUUUAUUAAAGUAUCAUCUUUCAAGAUCAUCCAACAACUGUAAUGGCAUAGUGGCUCAAAUUUGUCUAUAACCGGGGACACGGCUAAUCAUGAUUAGUUUAUACACUCUGCAGAGGUCUGUACACUGUACCCACUGGACUCAACCCGAAGAUUGAGACAAAGUCUUUCAGAAACAGUCGCCUAGUCCCACAGGAGGCCCAUCCCAACUAUCAUAACUACAUCUGCUGGCACAUCCGCGUAAGAUUUCGACAACUGAUCGACUAAGCUAGAGCCCAUAUUAGCUAGUGGUUGUACAUGGAAGCUACUAGUCACUAAGUCUGUCUGAUCUUUUUGAGCCUGGACGGCAUCCACUUACAUUCAGAGGGUAUAAACCAUGAUGUUCGUGAAACCACCCAGCAACACCGUUCGGGCGCACUUAGCCAUGGUCCAUGUCCUUAGAAAAGGAACAAGAAACCAUGAUGCAACCCUGUCCGUCCAGAGGUGAAUUAUAUAUUAUAUUUUUACUCAAGUUAUAUUAUAUAUAGUCCUCACAUAAUCUCGAUGCAUACAUGAACCAAUCCCCGUCUACAUAGCAUAUCAAGAAUACACUACCACGAUCUACAAUAAGGUCAUACUAACCUGAAUCUCAAUAGCAAUAACAUGCUACCAUAAAAUUCCUACACAAUGCAUAGUAUAGUAAUGUGAUAUAUAAAACUACAUGCAUUGAAAAAUAAUAGGUUGAAGUAUGAUCAAGGUGUAACUUGCCUGUAAGACUGAUGAAGAUCGUCGCACUCACAAUCCUGAUAAUUCUACUCGUCACGCUCCGAGCAAUCUAUUGCAAAUGAGAGAAUCCAAAUACACAACCAUGCCAUAUAGAAGAAUCAAAAGAACAACAAAACAAAUAUGGCAAGGUUAAGCAACAACAAAAAAAUAUAUAGGCUUAAUAUAUACUAUGGGUCUUUAUGGUGAUAUAAGGUGGAAGGUGGAGGAAUUAACUCGAAAGAGUCAAUGGAUGAUGAAUUGUUGCCAUAUAAGAUUACAUUGGAUAUUAUGGAACAAGGUCAAAAAUAUUUGGAGAAGAACAUCCAAAUGGUGUAAUGAUUGCAUAUGUCAUAGGAAUUCACUUGCAAAAAGAAUAGAUUGAUUAGGAGUGCUAUAACACAAGUCAUUGCGAAAUGAAGUGUGAAUUGAAUUUGAAUUCAAAAUAGGUCAAGAAUUAUUUGAAUAUUGAGUAUACAUGAUGUCAUCAGCAAGUAUUUGGUACAAGAGUUCAGACACAAAAAUAAUCAAUGUCGGAGUAAAUGACCACAGGUAGCCUCACCGCCCCCCUAAGAUAUUUCAAGACAUCGGGGCUAACUGCGCCCCUCGCACCUCCUAGACGAACGGCCGGCUUCGUGGGCUGACUGGUCUAGGAGGCCGGCUGCUAGAAGGCGGCAAGACACCAGAAGGCAGCCACGAGGAGGCCGGCUCCUAGCAGGCGGCACCUCGUCCCCUCAAAGUUUGCACCCACAUAACCACGACGGGACGGGGCGUGGCAACAGUACGGCCUGUCGCCCCGAAUCCAGGGGGGAGCAUGGCCAUAGUGCGGUGUACCAAGCGGACACCCCUCGCCCGGCGCGACACUGCUCCCAUGCAGCCCGUGACAUCACUUAUGUGAGGAGGAGCCAUGCUCCCACGACGGCCGGUCGGUACGGCCCGCAGGCGACAGGCCCUACCGGUCGACGAGCCCCAGUAGGCGGCGAUGCCCCAGCAGGCGGCAGCGGGAGUGGGCCGCCUCCCAGCAGGCAGCCUCCUCCCCCCUUGGAGUGUGAGCGCCAUUAGUCAGAUGAGACGGGGUGUGGCUAAAGUGAGCGCCCGCCAAGCGGCGGGAUUGUAGCCACGCUCCCCCCGACAAAGCCUCCGUCAUUAGGAGCAAGGCAACACUAUAAAGCGGUCGGCGUGGCCUGCAGGUGGCGGGCCCUACCUGUCGGCUGAGUUCCCGGCAGCCGGCGGGACCCACCAAGUGGCGGGCCCCAGCAGCCGGCGGAGAAGUCGGCGUCCAGAGACACUGACGGCCGGGUCCUACACCCGGCCGGAUUACCAUUGUACCCCUAGGGGGUAGGCCUAUAUAACCCCACAGGCCACCCAAUGCAAGGGGUUCAGACCUUUGUUCAUAGCCCUAGAACACACACACGUAGAGAGAGUGGAGUAGAGCUAACCUUGCCCUUCUUCCUUCUCUAACAGAAACAACUCAAGGAGCAAGCUUGUAGCUACCUUAUUGAUCAUAGUCAUCAUGCGGAGACCCCGCAGAGCAGGACUAGGGGUGUUAUCUCCACGGAGAGCCUCGAACCUGGGUAAGAUCCGCAGGCAUAUGCGGUCUCGCUCACUGCCGCCUCUAGAGCCCGGCGACGUACUCCUGUCCCCAUCCAUGAUAAGCCACCCCCUGGCAUAUGUCUCACGAUAUCCCCGACAUUUAGCGCCCACCAUGGGGCAAGGUGCACUUUCGUCCAGAAACACAUUCUGGACGGGAACCCUCUUCCUUCCUGGUGAGCGCAGCCAGCCCGGCACGCCCGAUGGCGUUUGCGCCGACCCGCUGCAUGGCAUGGAAGCCGCUUGCGCCGCAAGCUGCCUCGCUAACCUCAUCGGCGGGAUCUGCCUCUCCGACGAGCCUGCGCCCGAUGCGGGAGGAGCCUGCUCAGAGAGCUGCCUUGUCGACCUCCUCGGCAAGCUCCACAUCGCCAACGAGUCGGCCUCCGACCUGGAGUCCGUCGGCUCAACUGACCCACCUGUCGACAUGGUCAUCGAUGCCGACGCCGCGCCUUCUGAUGCCUUCAACGGUGACCUGGUGAUCUUCAACGACCCGCUCCCUGCUGCUGACAGCAGCGCCAGCACUAGCACCGUCACGGAGGUGCUGGUCAUCAGCCACAUGGAGCCUCCGACGGAGCCGGCCAGGACCCGUUGCAGGCGGCAAUGCGGGACCUGUCCGCUCUAAUAGCGCCCGGUGCAAACGGCGAAAUGUUGGAAGCGUGUCGUGUUGCACUCCUCGACAGCGCCAACAAGUUGGCAACCAUGAGACGCCUCACUGAGGCCUACUAGUGCGAGAUCGACUACGUCAUCUGCGGCACGCCGGCUGCUGGCGAACCCAGCCGCGUGGGCAUGGUCCGGCAGUGCGGCGCAGCCAUCGACAGCAUGCUGGGGGCCGAGCGCCCAGUCUACGCCACGCCAAUGGAGAACCUACACGCCGCCUAGGCGGUAGCGGAUGAGCUGAACCACCUGGAGGGUGACGAGCAUCGCUGCAUGACCGAGCGUGUCCAGCAGCUCAUCGUCGCCACCGCUGCCCAGCAAGAAGCCGGCCGCCGCGUGGUGGAACCCAGCUUGCAGGUCGAGAACCUUCCCCCACACCGAGAGCACGGCGCGACCUCCCGAAUGCUGACAGGCGGAGCCCGCGACCUAAGAGACCAAGAGCCAGUUGUUAGCCGCAGCCUCACACACAUCACCAUCGAGUGCGACCAAGACGGCCGCCCACGAGCAGUGGAAUGGUGGGACGAUCGUCCGCCUCCCCCGCACAGGGGGAGGCGCGCUUCCCUGCUGCCUUUUGAGCAUCCGACUCUUGGAGGCCGGCUGGGCCCCCGUGAAGGAGUCGGAGAGAAUGACGCUCGCCACCGGAUCGACCGACUGGCUCAGUCCCUGGCAGUAGUAGAAGAAGAUGAAAUCGGGCCGCCUUGUUUCGGCCCCCGCAUUCGCGAUGAGCCCUUCCCCAAUGGGUUCUCGCUCCCUCGAGACACUCCCAAGUACAAUGGCUCCGUGUAGCCGGAAGAUUGGCUGGUUGACUACUCCACCGCCGUCAACAUAGCAAACGGCAACAAGCGCGUUGCCGUGAAGUAUGUUCCGCUCAUGCUCCAGGGCACGGCCCGGACAUGGCUAAAUAGCCUCAAGCCCUUCAACAUCAACAGCUGGCUGGACUUCACCGAAGGCUUCAUCCGCAACUUCACCGAAGGCUUCAUCAGCUCUCUCUAUGUGUCCAAGGCCCGACCGAGUCCACCCGCAAGUACUUGACACGGUGGGCUGAACUGCGCAACUCCUGCAAGGGGGUGCAUGAGGUGCAAGCCAUAUAGUACUUCACUGCCGGGUGCCGAGAGGGCACCCUACUGAAGCACCGACUCCUCUGCGAGGAGACGGCCACACUCGACGAGCUGCUGAUCAUAGCAGACAAGUACGCCACUGCCGACUCCUCCAUGAAGUCGAAGCUCCGAGUGGACGCGUCUAGAAAAUUGCUCCCUCCGGCCCCUCGGACGCCGGCUGGUGAUUCUAGUCGGCGCCAGCAGUCGAACGACAACAAGCACAAGGCCCCAUAGCGGGCUUCCACCAGCCGGCAGGUGGCGACAGUUGAAGAUCAGCAGCCGGAGGGUCAACCCGGCCCCAAGCGUCAGAAGGGCGGCAAGCCUGCUUAGUUGCCCGCCUUCUCCUUCGAGCAGACCCUCGAUGCUCCCUCCAAGUUCCACAGCGGCGCGAAACCGUCCAACCACACAACCCGGAAGUGCCACUGGCUCACCCGCAUUGCCAAGGGCGAGGGACUGCCCCCUCCGCCUGCUGGACCGCCGGCUCCGCCUCCUUAGCAGCCGGCAGCCCGCCUAGUCGGCGCAAUCCAAGAUGAGUUCCCUGAAGAGCACGGAGCCUACAUCGUCUUCACCAGCGUGGCUGACGAAAGGCACAGCCGACGUCAAUAGCACCGUGAGGUGAAUGCUGUUGCCUCUGAAGUCCCAGAGUUUAUGCAUUGGUCCGGGAGGCCCAUCAGCUAGAGCCGUGCAGACCACCCAGAAGUGAUGCCUUCUCCGGGUUCCUAUGCCAUGGUGCUGGAUGCCAUCUUUUCAACAGAAAGACGAGCCUAUCGCUUUUCCUGAGUUCUGAUAGACGGCAGUAGCAGCAUCAACAUACUCUACUGCGAUACCCUGGAGAAGCUGUGCAUCAAAGAGAAGCAGCUCCAGCCUAGUCGGACUGUCUUCCAUGGCAUUGUACCCGGCCUUUCUUGCUCUUCAAUCGGCAAAAUCAAGAUAGGUGUCCUCUUCGGAGACAAAGAUCACUUCCGCCGCGAGCCAAUCUGGUUCGAGGUGGUGGACCUGGAGAGCCCCUACCACGCACUCCUGGGCCGGCCAGCUCUGGCCAAGUUCAUGGUAGUGCUGCACUAUGCCUACCUCAAGAUGAAGAUCCCGGGAACCAAAGGCAUUAUCACCAUAGUCGGCGACUAUAAGAAGUCGACCGCAUGUGCUACCGCUAGCAGUCGGCUAGCCGAGUCCCUUGUGAUUGUUGUCGAGAAGAAGCUCCUUGACCGGGUUGUGGCCAUGCACUAGUACAACGAGGUGCUAAACAAACGGUUUUUUAACCCCUUUCCACGACGGCAUUUUGGAACCGUCGCCAAGUGAGUGUGGGCGAUAGGGGGGCCCUUCCCACACGACCUAGAAAUUGUCAGGGAUAUGCCCUCCUGGCACACACGCUUGGCAAAAUGAGGUCGUGUGUGACCGACGAGCACUCAAAUACAGAAAUACAUACAGUAGUGCUCAAAAAAAUACAAUUAUACACGCGAAAUCAUUUCCGGUUGUAAGUACAUCCCACACAGUCAGCCAGCGCUAAACGUUUCUGUUCGUAUAUACAUCCCACACAAUCGCUCCAAGGAAAACGUUUCUGUUCGCAAGUACCUCACACGCAAUUUUCCCGGUUAAAUCGUUUGUGAUAGCGUUUCCAUUGCACAUGGUAUUAACAAUUUUAUCGUUUGCGUUAUUGAGUUCAUCACACACGGAGCCUAGAAGAAACUGUGUGUCAAGGGCUGUCCAUCACACAUAGUUUUUAUGUGGUAAACGUUUGCGCCAGGUGGCCUAAAGCAAACAGUUUUCAAGAGGAUGUCGUGUGUGAUUGUUCAUUAAUCUAACACGGUUUAUUCCUAGAAACUGUGUGCGUUAUUGAAUGCAUCGUACACGGUGUUUUCUCCAUAACCGUUUGCAAUAGAAAAAACCCAAUUAGCAGGCUAAUUAUCUGAUUAUUCAUAAUUCAUUUAUUAAUCUAAUUGACAUUUCAUAUUAAGGACACAAUAUAUUUCAUUUUCAUAAUUGAAAUACAUCAGAGUACAACAUCAUAUAGCUUCAGCACUCAGCUACCCCAUUACACAACUACACCAGGACCAAGUUUCACAUGCAACAUCUAUAACCUUUCGAAAUUUGCAUCAUAGACGGUACAUAGACAGAUGUAUCUCAUCUAGAAAACUGCUGAAGCAGAAGGCGAAUAUUGAGCCUUCAUUGAUGUUGAAGGUCUUUGUAACUUUAGGCCAGUGCCUGUGGAUGAUUGACCGUCCAUCCUUUGUCCUCUUCAGGAACACUUCAAUAUUGAACCAUCGGUGUUGUAUGAAUACCUUCCUCGCCUCCUGACCAUACAGGUGGUUUGAGAGGUAAUCAUAAGUGAAUUGCUUUGGAAAGGCCUGAAAACAAGGAUGUGCAUAAAUAUCUUCUCUAUAUUGGAAAUGGGACAAAGGAAUAAAAAAAGGCAAGGUAUAAUAGUUAGUACCAUCCUGUGGUGAACUGAUGUCUUCUUCAUUGUGCAGACAAAGAUCUUGUUGUUUUUUGUCACUAAUUUCUUUAUCCUAACAAUCUUUCUGAGUUUCUUGACUUGACUGAUAUUCAUGGACAACUCAUUUCCCCAUAUGAAAAAAGGGUCGAACAGUGGGUCAAAACCUCUGACACCAGGACCUACAUGUGCAAGACCAAAUUGUUAAAAACCUAAAUAUUAGAAUGGUUCCUGCAAUUGCACAAUAAUGUGCUAUUAGACAACGAACCAUGCAUGUGCUAACCUCGAUUGUAAACCUCAGUGCUUCCCAUUGUUUCCCUGCAACACAUAUAAGGUAGUUAGUCAUCAGGUUAAGUAAGGGUUCGCAUGCUAUCAGUAAAAUAUGUUGAUGAAAAAUAAGCACAUUGCAGAUUCAUCAGAUCAAUUCAAGCCACAAGGAAAACCCAUUUAUCCAAACCAAGCAUGAUUAAGAACUAGGAAAUAUAGCACUUGUAUAUGUUUCUCAUGUAUUAAGUGCAGCCAAAUUCGAUUUAUUCCUCACAUGCACAACAAUACAAAAUUCUACCCACGACAAUUGGACAUCGCAGUGUAGAAUUGAACCAAGCAGUUAGCUAAACACCACAACAAAUGAACCAAACAUUAACUGAGCACCACAUUGCACAAUAUAACAUACUCCUAAUAGAAGAUCGGACAGUUAACCAAACCAAGCACGCUUAACAACUUGGAAAUAUAGCAAUUGUAUUUGUUCCUCAUGUAUUUAGUACAGCCAAAUUCAAUUUAUUUCUCACAUGGUAUACAAUAGCAGAAUGCAGCCACAGCAAUUGAACAUCGCAUUGCAAAAUUGAACCAAGUAGUUAACUAAACACCACAACAAAUGAACCAAACGUUAACUGAGCACCACAUUGCACAAUAUAACAUACUCGUAAUAGAAGAUCAGACAGUUAACCAAACCAAGCAUGCUUAACAACUUGGACAUAUUGCACCCUGAAGAAUUGAACAUCACAUUUGCAGAACUGGACCAAGCAGUUAACUCAACACCACAUUGCACGGCAUAUAGAACAUGUACACUAUAGCAGAAGAUUGCAUGGUAAAAGUAGAUAGCACAAUUCACUAGAAUUUGUUAAGGAAAGGCAGUAGCUAGCAAAUGAUGCCCUCGAGAAAAUGCCACGAACUGUCGUUUAAAGCAGCCAACCGCGUCGCGGCGUCGGCACGCGAGGCGUCAACGGUGGCCUCGACGGCGAGGUGCUCCUCCAAGAUCUGGGGGUCGGCACGAAUGGCAGCCAUCGCGACCUCAUCCGCGCGUGCGGCCGCGAUUUGCUUCUCCGCUGCCAAAUGCUCCUUGAGAUCCUGGCUAUACUGCGUGCACCAUGGCUUAGGGCGGCGCUUAUUUGGUGGAGGGGGCGGUGAUUUGGGUGGAAGGUGUCGCGCUCGCGCCGGCGGUCGGGGCAUGUGGGAUGUGGAAGGAGGACGAGGAUGGGGGUCGGGUGUGGAUUACCUGCCUGGAUAGGCGAGGCCGAGCAGCAUGAAGGAGGGUCACCGGCGAGGAGGCGGCGCUGCAAGCAAGGAGUGAAGGUUUCAACUUGGAAAGGAAGGCGGAAAUAGGGGAAAUGUGGCUUUUGGUAAGGGGGAGGGGGCGGGGAGGUAGAUAUUUCCGCGGAAGCCGAAAAUUUGGAAUCGCUUCAGCGAAAAAACUGGCGUGUAAAGUGUCAUCAGACACGGUCCCUUAUUCAGAACUGUGUAUGAUAUGUGAACAUCACAAACAAUUCCGAUAGCUUAACCCGUGUGUGUUGAGUUUGAACGUCCAAAAUUUUGGUUCGAAUUUCCCUGGUUACAGUGGUCAUCCACGUCAUUGCAUAAUUUGGGUACAUGAAGGAGACUAACUUCUUAAUCGAGCAAGUUCAGCAAUUAAACAGAGCUAGCUGACCUAAACAUUACUCUAACAAAUUAAAUACCGGCGCUCUUAAUUAAACAAAACAAAGAGUACUACUACGGCUGGUGCUCGUCGAUCUUCGCCGCCGCGUCCAUGUCCAGCUCGCGCCCGACGGUCUCUUGGGGAAGGGGCUCGAUGGCAUCAAUUGGACCAUACUCGGCAAGCAUCUCGCCAUCCGCGUCCGCCAUAUCUUUGGAAUAGGCCGCCAUGAGCUGGGCGUGGGCGGCCACGAUCUGGGUUCUGGCGGGCUCCCUCGUGGCAAGGUAUGCCGCGCAGGAACGGACGGCUGCUCGAACUCUCUCGGCGAUUGCCAGCUCUUCGGCCGUGGGUUGCCGACCAUUGUCGGAGAAGCUUCGUUCAAUUUGUGCGGUGACCGCCACGAGCUAGGCGUCGACGGCCUCGACAUGUUAGUGGGCAGCCUCCAUUACGGCUAAGGCCGCCGCUGCGGAAUGCACAGCUGUCGUGCCGCUCUCGCCAGUUGCUAUCCCCGAGGCAGAUGCUACUGCCGCCGCCUGAGAAGCAACAACGGCCGUUUGGGCUGCCUUGGCCGCCCGGACGCAGACUGCAGUCGCCCUCAUGAAGCUUGUUAGCACGCGCCUGGCGGCUGCGGCCGCGCUCUCGCCGGAGUGGGCCGCCGAAGUUAUCCUCACGACGUGGGUCCACGUCCCCAUCUUUCACCGGCGACGAAUGAACAAUGAAAUGAUAUUUGGGGAGUGAGCUAGUGUGCUUCACAUGCCGGCUGUGGACUGUAGCCGACGCACCUUCUCGCGUAAGCCAUAGGCAUACUAUACACCGACGGUGCUCCAAGAUAUUUUGUGCUGCAUCUCACACGGUUGGUGAUAAUAAACUUUGUGCGAUCUACUUGAUUUAUCGUCUUGAUUUGAAUUACGUAAUGGGGUCACAACUACAAAGGAUGGUGUUUGAAUUGUUAGAACUUUUAUCUGUAGUUAACAUGCAACUAUAGGUGUGUCGUCAAAAAAAUUGGAAUUAUUCUGGGUUCGUUUGGACGUUUUUAUAUAUUAACUUGGUUUUGUAGGCAUUUCAGGUGCAUAAUUCUAAUUUGAACUACAUGCACAUGCUCCAGUGCAUAUAAACGGGUUGAAAAAUCAAAUAUGUCUCCUUGGUUGCAUGCUUAGGUCCCAUGCAAGAAAUGGGAAUGAAUGUCACACUCCCCGCCAUCGUCACUCGGCCGCAAACAUUGAGAUUCCUGGUUUUUAAAUUCUAGUAAAUCAAAAACUUGUUUGAAAUUCAUGAAACUUGGCAUGCUAUCAUGGAGCGGCAUCAACAUGCCGUGGUAAAUUAUUUGUCCCAUUUGGGGCAGGUUUGGGUAGAAGCUUCUCACAAACCAGAGCUUCUCACAACAAGCAUGAUGGUUUCGGUAGGGAACGUGCCACCUUUGGGGACGAACCGAUAUCCAUUGCCUCUUAUUGCUUUCAAAAAAGUUCGAGUGUCGACAUAGAACAACAGGUGUGUUGUAAUCAAUUUUGGAAUUUUUUGGGGUUCGUUUGGACAUUUUUAUACAUUAACUGGGUUUCCUAGGUAUUCUAUGCGCAUAAUUCAAAUUUGAACUACGUGCACAUGCUCCAGUGCAUAUAAACUGGUUGAAAAAUCAAAUAUAUUUCCUUGGUUGCAUGCUUAGGUCACAUGCAGGAAAUGGGAAUGAAUUUCAAACACCCUGCCACCGACACUCGGCCGCAAACAUUGAGAUACGUGGUUUUUAAAUUCUAGUAAAUCCAAAACCCGUCUGAAAUUCAUGAAACUUGGGAUGCUAUCAUGGAGCGGCAUCAACAUGCCGUGGUAAAUUUUUUGUCCCAUUUGGGGCAGGUUUGGGUAUAAGCUUCUCACAACAAGCGUGAUGGUUUCGGUAGGGAACGUGCCACCUUUGGGGACGAAACGAUAUCCGUUGCCUCUUAUUGCUUUCAAAAAAAUUCGAAUGUCAACAUAGAACAACAGGAGUGUUGUGUUUAGUUUCGGAAUUUUUUGGGGUUCGUUUGGACAUAUUUAUACAUUUACUGGGUUUCCCAGGCAUUUUAUGUGCAUAAUUCAAAUUUGAACUACAUGCACAUUCUCCAGUGCAUAUAAAUUGGUUGAAAAAUCAAAUCCAUGUCCUUUGGUGCAUGCUUAGGUCCCAUGCAAGAAAUGGGAAUGAAUUUCAAACACCAGGGCACCGUUGAUUGCCGGCAAAACAUUGAGAUGCCUGGUUUUUAAAUUCUAGUAAAUCCAAAACUCGUCUGAAACUCUUGAAACUUUGCAUGGUAUCAUGGAGCGGCAUCAACGUGCCGUGGUACAAAUUUUGUCCUAUUUGGGGCAGGUUUGGGUAUAAGCUUCUCACAAACCAGAGCUUCUCACAACAAGCGUGAUGGUUUCGGUAGGGAACGUGCCACCUUUGGGGACGAAACGAUAUCCGUUGCCUCUUAUUGCUUUCAAAAAAUUUCGAGUGUCAACAUAGAACAACAGGAGUGUUGUGUUUAGUUUCGGAAUUUUUUGGGGUUCGUUUGGACAUUUUUAUACAUUAACUCGGUUUCCCAAGCAUUAUAUGUGCAUAAUUCAAAUUUGAACUACAUGCACAUUCUCCAGUGCAUAUAAAUUGGUUUAAAAAUCAAAUAUGUGUCCUUGGUUGCAUGCUUAGGUCCCAUGCAAGAAAUGGGAGUGAAUUUCAAAACUCAUGCCACCGUCACUCGGCCGCAAACAUUGAGAUACCUGGUUUUUAAAUUCUAUUAAAUCUAGAACUCGUCUGAAAUUCAUGAAACUUGGCAUGCUAUCCUGGAGCGGCAUCAACAUGCCAUGGUAAAUUUUUUGUCCCAUUUGGGCCAGGUUUGGGAUAGACUUCUCACAAACCAGAGCUUCUCACAACAAGCAUGAUGGUUUCAGUAGGGAACGUGCCACCUUUGGGGACGAAACGAUAUCCAUUGGCUCUUAUUGCUUUCAAAAAAUUUCGAGUGUCAACAUAGAACAACAGGAGUGUUGUGUUUAAUUUUGGAAUUUUUCGGGGUUUGUUUCGACAACUUUAUACAUUAACCGGGUUUCCCACCCAUUUUAUGCGCAUAAUUCAAAUUUGAACUAGAUGCACAUUCUCCAGUGCAUAUAAACUGGUUGAAAAAUCAAAUAUGUGUCCUUGGUUGCAUGCUUAGGUCCCAUGCAAGAAAUGGGAAUGAAUUUCAAACACCCUGCCACCAUCACUCGGCCACAAACAUUGAGAGACCUGGUUUUUAAAUUCUAGUAAAUCAAAAACUCGUCUGAAGUUCAUGAAACUUGGCAUGCUAUCAUGGAGCGGCAUCAACAUGCCAUGGUAAAUUUGUUGUCCCAUUUGGGGCAGGUUUGGGUAUAAGCUUCUCACAAACCAGAGCUUCUCACAACAAGCGUGAUGGUUUCGGUAGGGAACGUGCCACCUUUGGGGACGAAACGAUAUCCGUUGCCUCUUAUUGCUUUCAAAAAAUUUUGAGUGUCAACAUAGAACAACAGGAGUGUUGUGUUUAGUUUCAGAAUUUUUUGGGGUUCGUUUGGACAUAUUUAUACAUUUACUGGGUUUCCCAGGCAUUUUAUGUGCAUAAUUCAAGUUUGAACUACAUGCACAUUCUCGAGUGCAUACAAAUUGGUUGAAAAAUCAAAUCCAUGUCCUUUGGUGCAUGCUUAGGUCCCAUGUAAGAAAUGGGAAUGAAUUUCAAACACCAGGGCACCGUUGAUUGCCGGCAAAACAUUGAGAUGCCUGGUUUUUAAAUUCUAGUAAAUCCAAAACUCGUCUGAAACUCUUGAAACUUUGCAUGGUAUCAUGGAGCGGCAUCAACAUGCCGUGGUACAAAUUUUGUCCCAACCAGAGCUUCUCACAACAAGCGUGAUGAUUUCGGUAGGGAACAUGCCAACUUUGGGGACGAAACGAUAUCCGUUGCCUCUUAUUGCUUUCAAAAAAUUUCGAGUGUCAACAUAGAACAACAGGAGUGUUGUGUUUAGUUUCAGAAUUUUUUGGGGUUUGUUUGGACAUUUUUAUACAUUAACUGGGUUUCCUAGGCAUUAUAUGUGCAUAAUUCAAAUUUGAACUACAUGCACAUUCUCCAGUGCAUAUAAACUGGUUGAAAAAUCAAAUCUGUGUACUUGGUUGCAUGCUUAGGUCCCAUGCAAGAAAUGGGAAUGAAUUUCAAAACUCAUGCCACCGUCACUCGACCGCAAACAUUGAGAUACCUAGUUUUUAAAUUCUAUUAAAUCUAGAACUCGUCUGAAAUUCAUGAAACUUGGCAUGCUAUCCUGGAGCGGCAUCAACAUGCCAUGGUAAUUUUUUGUCCCAUUUGGGGCAGGUUUGGGUAUAGACUUCUCACAAACCAGAGCUUCUCACAACAAGCAUGAUGGUUUCAGUAGGGAACGUGCCACCUUUGGGGACGAAAUGGUAUCCAUUGCCUCUUAUUGCUUUCAAAAAAUUUUGAGUGUCAACAUAGAACAACAGGAGUGUUGUGUAUAAUUUUGGAAUUUUUCAGGGUUCGUUUGGACAGUUUUAUACAUUAACUGGGGUUCCCAGGCAUUUUAUGCGCAUAAUUCAUAUUUGAACUACAUGCACAUUCUCCAGUGCAUAUAAACUGGUUGAAAAAUCAAAUAUGUGUCCUUGGUUGCAUGCUUAGGUCCCAUGCAAGAAAUGGGAAUGAAUGUCAAACACCCUGCCACCAUCACUCGGCCGCAAACAUUGAGAGACCUGGGUUUUAAAUUCUAGUAAAUCCAAAACUCGUCUGAAGUUCAUGAAACUUGGCAUGCUAUCAUGGAGCGGUAUCAACAUGCCGUGGUAAAUUUGUUGUCCCAUUUGGGGCAGGUUUGGUUAUAAGCUUCUCACAAACCAGAGCUUCUCACAACAAGCGUGAUGGUUUCGGUAGGGAACAUGCCACUUUUGGGGACGAAACGAUAUCCGUUGCCUCUUAUUGCUUUCAAAAAAUUUCGAGUGUCAACAUAGAACAACAGGAGUGUUGUGUUUAGUUUCGGAAUUUUUUGGGGUUCGUUUGGACAUAUUUAUACAUUUACUGGGUUUCCCAGGCAUUUUAUGUGCAUAAUUCAAAUUUGAACUACAUGCACAUUCUCCAGUGCAUAUAAACUGGUUGAAAAAUCAAAUCUGUGUCCUUGGUUGCAUGCUUAGGUCCCAUGCAAGAAAUGGGAAUGAAUUUCAAAACCCAUGCCACCGUCACUCGGCCGCAAACAUUGAGAUACCUGGAUUUUAAAUUCUAGUAAAUCCAGAACUCGUCUGAAAUUCAUGAAACUUGGCAUGCUAUCCUGGAGUGGCAUCAACAUGCCAUGGUAAAUUUUUUGUCCCAUUUGGGGCAGGUUUGGGUAUAAGCUUCUCACAAACCAGAGCUUCUCACAACAAGCUUGAUGGUUUCAGUAGGGAACGUGCAACCUUUGGUGACGAAACGAUAUCCAUUGCCUCUUAUUGCUUUCAAAAAAUUUCGAGUGUUAACAUAGAACAACAGCAGUGUUGUGUUUAAUUUUGGAAUUUUUCGGGGUUCGUUUGGACAGUUUUAUAGAUUAACUGGGUUUCCCAGGCAUUUUAUGCGCAUAAUUCAAAUUUGAACUAGAUGCACAUUCUCCAGUGCAUAUAAACUGGUUGAAAAAUCAAAUAUGUGUCCUUGGUUGCAUGCUUAGGUCCCAUGCAAGAAAUGGGAAUGAAUUUCAAACAUCCUGCCACCGUCACUCGGCCACAAACAUUGAGAGACCUGGUUUUUAAAUUCUAGUAAAUCCAAAUUUCGUCUGAAGUUCAUGAAACUUGGCAUGCUAUAUGGAGCGGCAUCAACAUGCCGUGGUAAAUUUUUUGUCCCAUUUGGGGCAGGUUUGGGUAUAAGCUUCUCACAACAAGCAUGAUGGUUUCGGUAGGGAACGUGCCACAUUUCGGGACGAAAUGAUAUCUGUUGCCUCUUAUUGCUUUCAAAAAUUUCCAGUGUCUACAUAGAACAACAGGAGUGUUGUGUUCAAUUUUGGAAAUUUUCGGGGUUCGUUUGGACAUUUUUAUACAUUAACUGGGUUUUCCAGGCAUUUUAUGUGCAUAAUUCAAAUUUGAACUACAUGCACAUUCUCCAGUGCAUAUAAACUGGUUGAAAAAACAAAUAUUUGUCCUUGGUUGCAUGCUUAGGUCUCAUGCAAGAAAUGGGAAUGAAUUUCAAACACCCUGCCACCGUCACUCGGCCGCAAACAUUGAGAUACCUGGCUUUUAAAUUCUUGUAAAUCCAAAACUCGUCUGAAAUUCAUGAAACUUGGCAUGCUAUCAUGGAGCAGCAUCAACAUGCCAUGGUAAAAAAUUUGUCCCAUUUAGGGCAGGUUUGGGAAUAAGCUUCUCACAAACCAUAGCUUCUCACAACAAGUGUGAUGGUUUUGGUAGGGAAUGUGCCACCUUUGGGGAUGAAACAAUAUCCGUUGCCUCUUAUUGCUUUCAAAAAAUUUCUAGUGUCAACAUAGAACAAUAGGAGUGUUGCGUUUACUUUUUGAAAUUUUCGGGGUUCGUUUGGACAUUUUUAUACAUUAACGAGAUUUUCUAGGCAUUUCAUGUGCAUAAUUCAAAUCUGAACUACAUGCGCAAGCUCCAGUGCAUAUAAAUUGUUUGAAAAAUCAAAUUUGUGUCCUUCGGGGCAUGCUUAGGUCCCAUGCAAGAAAUGGGAAUGAAUUUCAAACACCAGGGCACUGUUGAUUGCCGGCAAAACGUUGAGAUACUUUGUUUUUAAAUUCUAGUAAAUCCAAAACUCUUCUGAAAUUCAUAAAUCUUGGCAUGCUAUAAUGGAAUGGCACCUGACUUGCUGUGGUAUUUUUUGUGUCCAUUUUGAGAGAAGGCGCACUUGAAUAACAGCCAACAAAGGCAUUUUGAAACAAAUAGCUACCACUGUAACAUCUCAAACGUUUUUUAUAAUUUAAAUUGUGUGUGUUCUGUUAACCAUUCACGUGACGCCAUGCCUCACUCUUUUAAUGGCUAGGAGGUGUCGUGCGAACAGGUGCUUGAGUGCUUGACUAAACGGAAGGCGUGCGAGCUGUACUCCAAUGCGGAGGCUCAACGGGAAGCAUGUGAGCAGUACGCCACGUAGGCUCACCGGGAAGCAAGCCCUUUGACUUCCAUGGCCGCCCGCCUUGCUCGCAUCCUCUACAUUAAUGGCGCCCAAGCCGCAGUUUAAUACGGUUUUUAAAUAUAAAACACUCAUUGCAAACGAUAGCUUCCCCAGGAAGCCAAGUGAAAAUGUGCCGAGCAAGAUUUCUACAGCUCUUGAUCGCAAACAUUUUAGAUAGAACACCCGUAUGCAAAGUGAGAGCUAUGGUCUUCCCCCUUAAGUCGAGGGAAAGUCCGCAAUGCAGGAUUUGUGCAUCCCUUCAACGCAAACGGUUGUUUUGGAUGACCCGUGUGCAAGUACAAACAAUUUGGUAAGAUUUGCAUCUGUCAUAUUGGGUAUGUUGCCAUUUGUCAAACUGGAAAGAUUUACAUUUCUUGAUCUAGUAACGUUGCCAUUUGUGAAUCCUUGUAACACUGUGAUUUGUCAAAAUAUGCAGCUAGAAAUCACUAGCACUGUCUAAUAUUUGCAACUAAAAUUCAGUAAUUAAGCAUAGAUUUCAUUCAUAGAUUAAGCAGUCGUUCUUAAUUUAUACAAACAGUUCAACUCGACAGCCGAACCGACCAAACUUUUCCCCAAUUGUUGCCAACCACGUACUGAAAUAGCUAGUUCAACUAUAUAUACUAGCUAAUUUUAAGUACGUUGUACAGUUCGACCACACAUCUAUAGUCAGAUGAACUGAACAAAAUAUCCCCUAAAUACUACUACUACCACGGAGGGGCUUUGUGCUACUUCCGACAGCCUCUCCUCUGUCGAGCGUGCUAAGUAAGAGGCAGAGGAGGAGGAGGAGCCUACCGACGAGCUGGAGAAUGCAAUACGAUGCAUGCCGCUGCCGCACAUUCAGCGACACUCGCCAGCUCGAACACCCACUGCCGCUCCAGACGAUCCCUCUUGAAGCGGCCGAACUGCUCGUAGAUCUCCUGAUUCCUCGCCUUUGCGACGGCGUGUGCUGCGGCCACGGCAGCGGUAAGGCUCUUUCCAUGCUCGACGAGGCGCUCCUCCUCCUCCCUUAGGAACUCGAUGUAGUGCACAAGGUCACCGAUGUACGCGCGGGCCUCCACCUCCACCUCCCUCCUUCGGGCAGUGGUGGCGGAGCGGGUGAUGAUCCCGGCUGUCGACGGUGGGCUGGUGGCCACGGCGGCCGAUGAUGGGGUGGCGGCCAUGAUGAGUGACGGUGUCCUGGACUAGGGGGUACACACCACGUCGUCUCCCGACCAGUGGGUUGGGCCGAGGACCCCCAUGGCGGUUCACUAUUGGGCCAGUUCGGACAGCCCAUGCCGCAUACAAGGGAGAUCCCACAAUUGGCGCCCGAGACGAGGACUCUCCUAAACCCUAGGCCUCUGGUGUGUUAUAUAAACCGAGGCAAGGCUAGUCAAUAGACAUCUAAUAUUCAUUAGAACAAUCUCGUGGUAGAUACAUAUACUCUGUACUACACCUCAUCUGAAUACAAUCAAAAGCAGGACGUAGGGUUUUACCUCCAUCAAGAGGGCCCGAACCUGGGUAAAAUCCCGUGUCCAUGUUACCAUCGCUCCGAGACGUCUAGCUUAGGACCCCUACUACGAGAUAUGCCAGAUAUGGAACCGACAAUGGUGCUUUCAUUGAGAGCCUGCUAGGUGUCGCCGCGUUGUGAUGGAUCCUCGGCCGAUGUCAAAUCAGGUGUUACUUCUCCAAUUAGAUUACUUUGCAUCAGUUGAUUUCUUCAAAAUUAUUGCUGUUGGCUUUGUGCUACUUUGAUCGUAGUAUAAGAUCGAGAUCUGGGGAAUUCUUUUAGGGCGGCGUAACGUCGGGUGAUCAGCCAAGUUCAAUUUCUGCUGUAGCAGUCUUUUUGGUCGAUCUGUUUGCUGGCCGAAGUGCCGAACCAGGGAUGUGGCUGUGCGCAAGGCCCGAGGAACAAGAGGCAAUGCUAGUACUAGUGCUUCUCAUUGCAAAUACUAGUACGAGACCACGUGAUGGCUACUGGAGUAUGGAUUGCCUGUUGUCAGCGGCCGGCUUCGUCGUUCUGCUGCAGGACAGUUUUGUCAGACUUUGUUUUGUCUGCCUUCGAUUUGACUAACCUCUGGUACUACUGCCAGGUGCUAUCUCUCCAAAGUAUUUUCAAAUACACAAUAUUUUUUGGGAGAAUUAUUGCUUUGGCCAGUGUUAUUUUCUCUGCAUAGUACGUCGGAUCGAAGGUCUACCCAAAAACGAGUCACACCGUGCUGUGGAAGGACCUGAAGAAGCGCGUGCGUACAUGCAGCCGAUGUGUAAGGCAAUCCGGCCCGUGACGAUCCAUCAGAGGAAAAUGAGCAUGGCUGCGUAUAGUCCACGGGGAGGAAUGCCCAUAGCUGACACGAAUUCAACUACUCCGUAUAUGCGGCAACGCAUAGGGAAAUCAAUCCUUUCUUUUCUUUAUUUUAUAUUAAGAUAAGAGGUUGUCUAUGCUUUUAACUUGUGGUCUGCCUUUGGUGCACUUUUUCACGCAUUAGGUUGAUUUGACCAUGGCGUAACAAGUAGUACUAUAACUAGUGCUUGCUAGUAUCGUACCUGAGAUGCUAGACCUCAUAAGCCAUUUGAAUUAGGAUCUUCUGUCGGAUUGCUACAUCAUCAGUUGAUUGCCACAACAAAUAAACCAGGAAAACUACUUUGCCUACACCACCUCGAUGAGCAACCUUGCGUCGGCAUUCGAACAACAACGAUCCGGCCGAGGUGGCUCACAGGGCUAGCACUACGAAGAGUGCACCGGGGCUGACAUGAAUUCAGCUUCGCGGCAUGAGUCCAGGAAGAUUCCUUCUCCUCUUCUUUUUAAACUCCAGCGACUAGACGGCUCUUGUUUUCUGAUAUUUUCUGUUUAGGACUAACCAUGGAGCAAUUAGUCUAAUAUAGCUACCUCUCACGUGAACGCUCUAAGAGCACUUUGGUGCAGUUUUUGUUCCCACGAUUACCCGGGUUCAGGUGCAAUUUUUCCAUUUAUUUGUUUUGCACAUUUUCAUACAUCAAGAAAUCCUUUACUUCGGAUUUGCACUUUUGUGUGCGCAGGCCGACAUCGCUGCCACAGGGAUCCCGACGUUUUUAGGCCACCAUCAAGUCGCGUCGACACGUUCCUAGAACAAGUUGGGACUGCGUUGUGCCAGCGUAAUUUCCCCGCAUAUUGGGACAUGCGUUGGCAUCCACAUGAUGUUACUUCGCCGAGCCGACCUCGGCAUCUAGGCUAUUUUUCUUUAAGUCUAUACCUCCUUAAAUUAAUUAAGUAGAGGAGAUUUAUCAUUAGUAUUAUUCGUUAUUACUUUUUGCACUAUUUUACCUGUGUAGGUAUUCGAAUUCGACUGCGUCAUGCGGUCACCUCGGCGUGCCGGUGUCGUCGUCCUGCCUUCGUCAACCAAAUUGUGUUACCACUUUGGCGCAGGACAAUACACCUUUUUGUCGGCAUCACCGCACCAUCACUUCUCCAACCUACUCCGGGGACUUCGGCGUUACCCCGCCGACCUGCUCCGUCACCUUGGCUAGACUGGGGGCUUCACCUCUUCGGAUUGCCGAGCUCUUCACUCGGCCACAUCGGGACCGGCUUGGGGGCUGGGACCUUGUCCCACCGUAAGCUCGGGCCACAUCAUCUACACCAAACACAUUAGCCAGCUAAGUCGCUUCCAUGCUCAGUUUUUUUAAUGCUUGUUCGGUUCGACCAAACAUUAUAUUUGUGUUAAAAACUUAGGUUGUGAACACAAGUUGUUUGUUAAAAACACUUCCUUUCCCAUGUUAACUGGGGGCUCUUAAAUUUGUACGAGCCGUUCUAUAGUAAUUGUUUUCUUCCUGGUCGUUGCAAAGUUUUUUUUUCUACCACUCCUUUCUCGACUCGAGUGUGUGGUCAACAGCCGGAUAACCUGUUUUCUCUCUAAUGCCGCUCGAGUUUAGUUUGCUAAACAGGCCUAACGAGUAGUACUCCGCCUUCAGGAUAGGAGGUUGCAGCCGUAGGCUGACCCGCUUGAAGUCUUGAGAUCGGAUGUGUCAUAUUAAUGCACGACAGAAGCACAAAAGUAAGACCAAUUUUUGGAUUGGCACCAAAUGACUCGAUUUAGUUCGGGCGUAAAGUUAUUACUGAAGUUCUUUGGUUUUCCAAACCUAUGGCACUUUUAAACUAUCUGUGUGUUUCCAGCAUAAGUCUCGUAGUCCAACGCCGGACACCUUUAGAGAUUCGGCAAAAACAUUCUCGGAUAUUGCUAUAUAUGCAUCGGUUUCGAAUUGUCUCUUCGUCAAUAGUUGGGUUGCCCGGCUCCUAUGCUUGCCUUCUACGUUCCGCUUUGUUCGGCUAGGUGUGCAAAGGGAGAACCACUGCGAUUGUGCUUCUAGCUCGAAUGGUUAAGCACCUCAGUGGAGAAAGCCGAAAACUGACUGUCACAAUGGGCGUAAACUGGCCAGCGGUCCGAUGACGGUAUCAAACUAUAGAUCGAUAUCGAUUACCCCGUGUUAAACGAUGGGCCUUUCAUAACAUUGGCCGAAGUGUUAAUGGCUAGACUUUGGUCGGUGCCGAACACUAAGCGGGGGCUCGUAGCUAGCUUCCCCAGUUUAAAGCUUCUAUGACUAAGUGAAAGUUAUAAAGCCCGCAUAUCUGAUUGCCUCGUUUCCGCUAACACAACCACCUUCGGGCACCGAGACGUCGGCUAAGGGUUGUUUUGUUAUUGCGGAAACACCCUGUGUAGCAUCUACAAGGGGGUGGAAGCCGACGAUGGGCCACUUUCCAAUGAUAAACGGUCGCAGCAGAGUCAAAAUAAACAUAUCAUCGGCGUUUGUAUUUAAUAUACGAGGGCUGCCUUCCGUAAGUAUCGUUAUAAAGCCAUAAAUAUGCAUCAAUUUGACUUAAAAUUUUGGCCAAGCUGGGUUGCCUGGCUCCCGUGCUUACCCCUACGUUCCCGAUUGUUCGGCUAGGUGGUAAAGGGAGCACCUCUGUGAUUGUUACUACCGGGUCAUCCGAGUUAGUACCUCAGACUGGGUGAAGCCGAAAGCUAGCGAUCUUAAAGGAUAUAAUUGCUCGGCAACGACGGAAGUGAAAAUUUUGGUUCACUAAAAACCAUAGAGUUCGGAAACUUUCCCCAAACUUAAUCCUCAAUAUUUUCCUCCCACAUUGCUCGGAGGUGAGGUUUCAUGAUCAUGAUCAGCAUGAAAACCCAAAGAAAGGAACCAUAGCAGGACUAUUUUCUUUGGAAGAUGUUUCUUAUGAUUAAAAGUAAUAUAACAUAUCUCUCCGUGUACCUUUGUUUAUAAAACCGAAUGGACGGAUUGCCUUGUUUGCCGUAAAUCUUUGCCCUUAUAAAGGCUUUAUAAAGUAGAGCAAACACUCCUCGGCUACUGGCCGAGGAGGUUGAAGCCGAUGGUCGGUCAACAAAGUUUCGUACAAUGCGGAUCCGAGCAUUAAUGAUGUAGAGUACUUGGAUACAUAGAAUCAUUACACAUAAUUUGUGAUUUACUCAGAAUAUUGAUCCUUAAUUCGCCCACCCGUGCCCACAUUAAGGCUCGGGGGCUACUGUGCUUCAGGGUUAUCAUUUACUAAUAUUAAAGGGGCACAUCGAUCCCCUGAUCUGGUGUUGCCACCUGACCAGUGGCUCCGGGGCUACUGCAUUGCCUAUUCAAUGCAGAAAAUUCAAAGUGCUCAGUGUUCGGCUUAACCGAGCUAUAAGCAAACGCGUCUUCGGACAAUAAUAGGUACCAUCUUGGGCCUAUUCGGCAUAAAGCUUAGAUACAAAUGGUUGGCUCCAUAGAGGGCAUUUCCGGCAUUAAGCUUGGCUAAACUCCUUCGACUUUUUUGAGCCAAGAUGAUCUAUGACACUUCAGAUACUCUCCGGCAUUGGAGCUUGGAUAUAGUCCGGCGUUGGAGCUUGGGUAUAGUCCGGCGUUGGAGCUUGGAUAUAGUCUAGCAUUGGAGCUCGGAUGCGGACCGACGUUGGAGCUCGGCUGCAAAAAUACACCUCGAAUGCAGUCCGGCGUUAGAGCUUGGAUAGAGUCCAUCCUUGGAGCUCGGAUGCAAGAGGACACCGCCGCACGGGAACAACUUCAAACCCGAGGUAUGGCGUAAAAAAUAGCAAGGCAUUGAUAAAGGCCGAAAACUUAAAGGUCUCCUCGGAUGCCCGAUGUGUGCACUCUUCGGAUUCAGCUCGGCAAUCCUCAUUCAAAGAUGGGAAAGAUUUGUUGAACCAGUUUUCAAGACCGACGAUCGAAGAUGAAGAAAAGUUUGGAAGAACCGAGGAGCGUCCCCAACUUGAAGACCGGUUCAGGGGGCUACUGAUUGUGUCCUGGACUAGGGGGUACUCACCACGUCGUCUCCCGACCAGUGGUUUCGCCGAGGACCCCCAUGGCGGUUCACUAUUGGGCCAGUUCGGAUAGCCCAUGCCGCAUACAAGGGAGAUCCAACAAGACUUGGCGCCCAAGACGAGGACUCUCCUAAACCCUAGGCUUCUGGUGUGUUAUAUAAACCGAGGCCAGGCUAGUCAAUAGAUAUCUAAUAUUCAUUAGAACAAUCUCGUGGUAGAUACAUAUACUCUGUACUACACCUCAUAUGAAUACAAUCAAAAGCAGGAUGUAGGGUUUUACCUCCAUCAAGAGGGCCUGAACCUGGGUAAAAUCCCGUGUCCAUGUUACCAUCGCUCCAAGACGUCUAGCUUAGGACCCCUACUACGAGAUAUGCCGGAUAUGGAACCGACAACGACCACCUCCCACCUUCGGGCCAUGGUGGCGGAGCGGGUGAUGGCCACGGUGGCCGGCAGUGGGGUGGCGGCCACGACGGUCACCUCUCGCCUUCGGGCCGUGGCGGCGGAGCGGGUGAUGGCCAUGGUGGCCGGCAGUGGGGUGGUGGCCACGACAGCCACCUCCCACCUACGGGCCAUGGCGGCAGAGCGGGAGAUGGCCCUGGCUUUCGAUGGUGGUGUGGCGGCAACGGCGGCCGGCAACAGCUGUCGACGGGCAGCGGCGGCGGAGCGUGUGGUGGGUGUUCCGCGCACACCCAACAGGGACUCCACGCGCACUACACUACGCCGGGGAUUGCGCCGCCGCCGCAGUGUAGCCUCCCAGCUGGAGCUGUCCUCUGAUGACGGCGGAGUGGCUGAGCGACGACGACGGACCGGUGCCAUUGGCGAUUGUUGGAGAAGCAGACGAGAUAAGCUAGAGGGAGGGAGGGGAAAAUGCGACGCAGGACUCGCGGGCCGUGAGGGUUUUUAUCGCAGGCCAGUAAGCAUUGGGAUUUUGGGGGAUUUCACCGAGUCGGGCGGUAAGGUUGCGCAGGAACCUGCGAGGUUGCGUGGGAACGGACUCACCGACGAUUCAUUGGCGCCACUUUGAGCCACCGUUUGGCCAAAAGAACGCCCCCGCGCGUUGCGCAAGCUUGCGCUGUAAGCCGUCUGCGGCAGCUGGGUGACAAGACGUGCGAGAGGAGGACGAAAGGACACGUACACAUACAGUUAAUACAACAAAAUGUUUGCGAUUUAAUUACCUACUAUACCCCCGUCCUGGUUUAUAAGUAGGAUUUAACUAAUAAAAUACGAAUGCAUGUCGCCAAAGAUUAUAUCGCUGGAGUCGUAUUUGAACAUAGUUUCCAGCUAUACAAUUUUUGUAACACGCAUUAACACUUUUUUGGUUAAAUUUAAGGUUAUAUACCAGCAAGCGUCUGCCCGCAACACACGGCUUAUUCUAUCACAAACAGCUCAGAUGGAUCAACUGUAUGCCACGUAUCGCACAUGCAACUCUAAUCUGUUUCGUGCUUGAUGUCUCCGACAUCGCUCGCACAGUUCGUCUUAUUUGCCACGUAUCACUGUGUCGGCCCCUGCUCGCGUCCCUCGGCAAGCUCUGCACGCCGUUAGGCGCCAGAACGCGCUGUGCUCGCCGUUAGGCGCCGCGGCGCGCUCUGCUCGCGUCCGUCGGUGCUCGUCUUAUGGACAACUUUUCCUUGCGCGUUCAACUGCUAUAUGCAUAUAUAUAUGGUUGCUCGCCGUUGAGGCGACCGUGGAGCGCUCUGCUCGUGUCCCUCCGCGCGCGCUCUGCCAGUGGUUGGGCAUGCACACGAUCACGUCGGGAGCCCCAUAUGCAUGUGGUUGUGCCGCGCACGUUGCCAUGCGAUGCAGGUACGUGCGGCAUGAUGGAGUUACACGCUGCAAAUUAGAACUGCCAUCAGGACCUGCCGAUAUUCCUGGUCGUUCGGCUUCCCCUUUAAUUCCCGCAGCCAUUUAGUCUCUUCAACCUUUCGAUCGCGCCACACAACACAACAAGCACGCCCACGACGAGACAUAGAGAGGGGAUGUCCAGCGGCGCUCCAAUGGAGUUCGGCGAGCAUAGAGUGGAGACCCACGCGAGGGAGAUGGAUCUCUCGGUGGUGUACACCAUCUACCCGGCCGUGGUGGACGACUACAUCAACAGCGUUGAGCAGUUGCUUGCUCGAGACAAGUACAAGGUGGUCGGCAUCGACCUCCAGUACACCGCCGGUCAUCCCAGCAUAGAUCAGAAGGUUGUCGUCGCCCAGUUGUGCGUGCGCCAUCAUGUCCUCAUCUACCACUACUGCGUGGCCACAGAGCCUUGCGACCGUUUCAAAAGGUUUGUCAACAUCACCGACUACAAGUUCGCCACGGUGGAAACCAAAGACGAUGUAAAUGCGCUCAGUAUUACGGGCUUGGCCUACAAGAACCUUGUCGAAAUUCGUGACCACUACAGGGUCUGGGGCAGCACGAAGAAGGACUCCUUGGUCGAACUCGCCUCGGCCAUCAUCGACCCCUACUACGAAAAGAUGAAGCAGGAUGCCCAGAGAACAAGUCCCCUAUCCUGGCACAGGGCCUGGAUGGGGCAACUGGAUGAACCUCACCUCGUGUUCGCGGCCAAGAGCGUGUACACAUGCUACGAGAUGCACAGGCGGAUCAUUGACAUGAGGAAGUGCCUCGUUACCCAAAUCGACGAGUCCGGAUCGAGCCACCAGCAGAGCAAGCGUCACAGGAAGUAGAUGAUGAUCAGAUGAUCGUUUAUGCUAGUUAAUCAUGCAUGUAAUAUAUAGUUUACUUUAUUGGUGUGUGGAAAUGUUAUGUGUGUAGUAGCCACCUAUGUAAUUAUGCAUGUAAUAGUUUACUUUGGUGUGUGCAAAUGCCAUGGUUGUAGUAGCCACCUAUGUAAGUGGAUGUUUAAUUUGGUUAUGCAACCAUGUCCUUAUAAGUGUGUGUGUAUAUAUAUGUUGUUGUUCUGUAUGCAAUCCCAUCGCACAACACACAUGUCUUAUUAGCAGCAACCAUCUCUGUUAUUACCGGUCUUCACACACAUUUCUGAUUACAGACUUGUUUGCCACGUAUCACACACAUCUUGUUAAGUUGAACCGUUUAUGUUCUCAUGUCUCAAUGCAAACAGUUCAUCUGAGUGAACUGCAUGCCGUUUAUCGCACACACCUUCAUCUGGCUGACCAUUUCUUUUGUGUUGCCUAAUCACAAACAGUUCAUCCGAGUGAACCGUAUGCUGUAUAUCGCACACACCUCCAUCUGGCUGCCCGUUUCUUUUGUUCCUCCUCAUCACAAACAGUUAAUUGAACUGAACAGUAUGCCCUGCAUUGCGCAUGCAACUAAAAUCUGAACCGUGUUUGAUGGCUCCGCCAUCACAAACAUUUUGCACAUUUUUUGAUGUUUUUUACACCACCGUUUGCGAUUAUGGCAUCGCACACAGUUUCGUCGAAGGGUCUCUGAUCGUAGUGUCGCGUUAGCAGCAUCCUGAAGUAGCGAUGGCCAGCAAGCAGCCGGACCUGUCGCCAGACCCCAAGGAGUCAGAGACUCAGGGCUCCUUCCAGCCGGCCAAAGAGACCAAGAAGAUACCCUUGGACCCGGAGCACUCGGAGAGGCACGCUAUCAUGGGGACCAACCUCAAUAGCAAAUAGGAAAGUGAGCUCAUCGAUUUCCUCCAUGAGAAUCGGGAAAUCUUUGCAUGUUCUCCCAAAGACAUGCCGGGUGUUUCAACGGAUUUCGCCGAGCACAAGCUACAUGUCAGAUUGGAUGCAAAACCAGUCAAGCAACCCCUCUGCCGCCUUUCAGAAGAGAAGAGAAGAAUUGUUGGUGAAGAGAUCGCCCGGCUUCUGGCGGCCGGCUUCAUCAUGGAAGUGUUCUUUCCAGAAUGGCUUCCCAACCCAGUCCUUGUGCUGAUGAAGAACAACAAGUGGCGCAUGUGCAUUGAUUACACCAGCCUCAACAAAGCCUGCCCCAAUGAUCCGUUUGCUCUGCCUCGGAUAAACCAAGUGAUUGACUCCACAGCGGGAUGUGGGAUGUUGAGUUUUUUGGAUGCCUACUCUGGUUACCACCAGAUCAAGCUGAACCCGGCCGAUCGGCUGAAGACCGCCUUCAUCACACCAUUCGGAGCCUUCUGCUACCUAACCAUGUCAUUCGGCUUGAGAAAUGUUGGUGCCACGUUUCAGCGUUGCAUGCAGAAGUGCCUCCUCAAGCAACUCGGCAAAAAUGCCCACAUCUAUGUAGACGAUAUUGUGGUGAAGACGGAGAAGCGUGGCACCCUCCUGGAAGACCUCAAAGAGACCUUUGAUAAUCUGCGCCGUUUUCAAAUCAAGCUCAACCCAAAGAAGUGUGUCUUCGGCGUCCCUGCCGGCCAGCUCCUUGGUUUCCUUGUCUCAGAACGCGGCAUCGAGUGCAACCCUAUUAAGAUCAAGGCCAUUGAGCGGAUGGAGAGGGCCACACAGCUGCGGGACGUCUAGAAGUUCACCGGAUGCUUGGCAUCCAUCAGUCGCUUUAUCAAUCGGCUGGGUGAGAAGGCUCUUCCCCUGUACCAGCUAAUGAAGAAAACCACUCACUUUGAGUGGAACGACAAGGUGGAUGAGGCCUUCCUCCAGCUCAAGAAGAUGCUGACUACGCCGCCUGUCCUGGCGGCUCCGGCUGCUAAGGAGCCCAUGUUCCUCUACAUCGCCGCCACCAGCCGGGUGGCCAGCACCGUCAUCGUGGUCGAGCGCCCAGAGGACGACAAGGCACAGCCAGUCCAGAGGCCCGUCUACUACCUGAGUGAAGUGCUAUCAGCCUCCAAGUAGAACUACCCCCACUACCAGAAGAUGUGCUAUGGCGUGUACUUUGCCGCCAAGAAGCUCAGCAGUACUUUCAAGAGCACACCAUCACGGUCGUCUGCACCGCCCCGCUUGCUGAUAUCAUAGGCAACAGAGAUGCUUCAGGCCGGGUGGCCAAGUGGGCCAUCGACCUGGCUCCACACACCAUCCUCUACCAGCCCCGCACCACCAUCAAGUCCCAAGCGCUGGCCGACUUCCUUGUACCUGCCGCCAGUGCUGGAUUCCAUCCAUUGGCAGAUGCACUUUGAUGGCUCGAAGAUGCGCACCGGUCUGGGAGCCGGCAUCGUCCUCACCUCUCCCAAAGGCAAUAAGCUCAUAUACACGCUACAAAUUCACUUUACCGCCUCCAACAACGUGGCCGAGUACGAGGCGCUCGUACAUGGACUCCGACUGGCCAAGGAGAUUGGCAUCCACCGGAUUCUGUGCUACGGCGACUCGGACUUGGUAGUCCAGCAGUCGUCUGGCGACUGGGACGCCAAGGAUGCAAACAUGGCGAGCUACCGCUUCCUCGUCCAGCAGAUCAGUGGAUACUUUGACGGGUGCGAGUUCCUUCAUGUGCCACGAGCCGACAAUGAGAAAGCUGACACACUGGCACGGAUUGGCUCCACCUGCCAAGCGAUACCAGCCGGUGUCUCCCUCCAGUGCCUUCGCAAGCCGUCUAUCAAGCCUUCGCCGGAAUCUGAGUCCAUCUUCGUGCCGGCUGCUCCCAGAACAGUCGGAUCCGACUCGAGGGCUGCAACAGCCGGCCCGGGGACUUCGGCAGGCGGCUCGGGGACUGCAGCAGUCGCACUCGGCUCGGGGACUUUAGAGCCCGGCCCGGGGGCUACGACAGUCGGCCCGGGGGCUACGGCAGUCGGCCCGGGGACUUCGGCAGGCGGCUCGGGGACUGCAGCAGUCGCACCCAGCCCGGGGACUUCAGAACCCGGCCCGGGGGCUGCAGCAGUCGGCCGGGGACUUCAACGACACAACAAGCGGCGGCCGACUCCAACCCGCCUCCUCCCAACCCAACCGCCCUGGUUCCAGUGGCCGUAAUGACAGUGGUCGAAGCACCAUCAUGGGCGGAUCCCAUCCUCAACUUCCUGGUGAGCGGAGAGCUACCAGCCAACGAGAUCUCGGCCCGGCAAGUGCAACGCUAGGCAGCAGCAUAGACGAUAGUGAACAGAGAGCUUGUCAGACGCAGCGUGACUGGCGUCUUCCAGCGCUGCGUUGAGCCAGAAAAAGGCAAGGCAAUCCUCAGAGACAUCCAUCAAGGCGAAUGGGGCCACCACGCGGCCUCCAGAUCCCUUGUCGCCAAAGCUUUCCGCCAUGGAUUCUUCUGGCCGACUGCUUUGAACGACACCAAGGACUUGGUCAAGAAGUGCAAAGGGUGCCAGAAAUUCGGCUCCAAGCAACACCUGCCGGCCUGUGCACUCCAAAUCAACCCCCUCACUUGGCCAUUUGCCGUCUGGGGGCUGGACAUGGCGGGCCCAUUCAAGACAGCACGCGACGCCAUGACCCAUCUGCUGGUCGCCGUGGACAAAUUCACCAAGUGGAUUGAAGCAAAGCCAAUCAAGAAGCUGAACGGUCCGACUGAUGUGACCUUCAUCGCAGAUAUCAUCACCAACAAUGGCACAAACUUUGCCAAAGGCGCCUUGGCCCAUUUUUGCGCGACGCAGGGCAUCCGACUGGACUCAGCGUCCGUUGCCAUCCGCAGUCAAACGGCCAAGUCAAGCGAGCAAAUGGCCUCAUCUUCUCCAGCAUCAAGCCCCGACUGGUCGAGCCGCUGGAGCGCUCGGCCGGCUGCUAGAUCGAAGAGCUGCCGGCCGUCCGCUGGAGUCUCCGGACUGAUACGUCUCCGUCGUAUCUACUUUUCCAAACACUUUUGCCCUUGUUUUGGACUCUAACUUGCAUGAUUUGAAUGGAACUAACCCGGAGACGUUGUUUUUAGCAGAAUUGCCAUGGUGUUAUUUUUGUGCAGAAACAAAAGUUCUCGGAAUGACCUGAAACUUCACGGAGAUUAUUUUUGGAAAUAAUAAAAAAUACUGGCGAAAGAAUCAAGGCCAGGGGGCCCACACCCUGUCCACGAGGGUGGGGGCGCGCCUACCCCCUUGGGCGCGCCCCCUGCUUCGUGGCCCCUGGUGCUCCACCAACCUCAACUCCAACUCUAUAUAUUCGUGUUUGGGGAGGAAAAAAUCAGAGAGAAGGAUUCUUUGAGUUUUAGGAUACAAAGCCGCCGCCAAGCCCUAAACUCUCUCGGGGGGGGGGGGCUGAUCUGGAGUCCGUUCGGGGCUCCGGAGAGGGGAAUCCGUCACCAUCGUCAUCAUCAACCAUCCUCCAUAAACAAUUUCAUGAUGCUCACCGCCGUGCGUGAGUAAUUCCAUCGUAGGCUUGCUGGACGGUGAUGGGUUGCAUGAGAUUUAUCACGUAAUCGAGUUAGUUUUGUUAGGGUUUGAUCCCUAGUAUCCACUAUGUUCUGAGAUUGAUGUUGCUAUGACUUUGCUAUGCUUAAUGCUUGUCACUAGGGCCCGAGUGCCAUGAUUUCAGAUCUGAACCUAUUAUGUUUCCAUGAAUAUAUGUGAGUUCUUGAUCAUAUCUUGCAAGUCUAUAGUCACCUAUUAUGUGUUAUGAUCCCUUACCCCGAAGUGACAAUAAUCGGGACCACUACCGGUGAUGACCGUAGUUUGAGGAGUUCAUGUAUUCACUAAGUGUUAAUGCUUUGGUCCAGUACUCUAUUAAAAGGAGGCCUUCAUAUCCCUUAGUUUGCAAUAGGACCCCGCUGCCACGGGAGGGUGGGACAAAAGAUGUCAUGCAAGUUCUUUUCCAUAAGCACGUAUGACUAUAUUCAGAAUACAUGCCUACACUACAUUGAUGAAUUGGAGCUAGUUCCGUGUCACCCUAUGUUAUAACUGUUGCAUGAAUAAUCGCAUCCGACAUAAUUCUCCAUCACCGAUCCAAUGCCUAUGAGCUUUUCACAUAUUGUUCUUUGUUUAUUUACUUUACCGUUGCCACUGUUACAAUCACUACAAAACUAUCACUGUUACUUUUGCCACCGUUACCGUUACUUCCAUACUACUUUGCUACUAAAUACAUUGCUGCAGAUACUAAGUUAUCCAGGUGCGGUUGAAUUAACAACUCAACUGCUAAUACUUGAGAAUAUUCUUUGGCUCCCCUUGUGUCGAAUCAAUAAAUUUGGGUUGAAUACUCUACCCUCGAAAACUGUUGUGAUCCCCUAUACUUGUGGGUUAUCAAGACUAUUUUCUGGCGCCGUUGCCGGGGAGCAUAGCUCUAUUUUUUGAGUCACUUGGGAUUUAUAUCUGCUGGUCACUAUGAGGAACUUGAAAGACGAGAAAACCAAAAUUUAUCCCUCAACUAGGAGGGGAGGUAAGGAACUGCCAUCUAGCUCUGCACUAGAUUCACCUUCUGUUUUGAGUAAGCUUGCGACACCUAAACCUGCUUCUGCUAUUAAUUCUGAUAUGUCGCAUGUUAUUGAUGAUGCCACUUCUGCUAUGCAUGAUACUUAUGAUGAAACUACUUCAUGCUUGAUACUACUGUGCCACUAGGUGAAUUUCUUGAUGAACAACUUGCUAGGGCUAGAGAUAAUGAAAUUAUUGAAACUGAUAAUAUUGAUGAAAGUGAUGAUGAAGAUUCUCCCCCUAGAUAUGAAUGGCCUGUUGUAACAUCCCAAAUUUCCAAUUUGGAAUGUUAUGAAUUAGAUCAUCUUUGCAUAUCAUAUUUUAUUGCAUUUUUUGGCUUGAUCCUAGAAAUUCUACGCAACUGAAGGACCCACGGAGAGAGUUGGGGAUUUCGUUAUUUUCAUAUUUGAGUUUUCUCAAAUUUUGAAAAGAGGAUCGUUUGAUUUUAAUUAUUUUCUCUUCGAAUAUUUCUUUUAUAAAAAUAAAAGAGAGAGGAUAAAAUGACUUCCUCAAAAUAAAGAAAUAUUGGAGAUUUAGUAUUAAAAUCAAAUAAGAAUUUUAUUCGGAAUUUUAUCGCUAUUUUAUUUGAAUUAGGAAAAAUAUGCGUUUUUCAAAAUUGCUUUAGAGUCCCAAAUAAAUGUUCACGUUCUCGGCUAGAUAUUUAGAGGACGGGGAAAAUUUAUUUCAGGAUAUUUGGAGUCUGUUUAGUAUUUCUUUUAUUCGUUUUUCUGCGCGGAAUUAUUUAAAAAAAGUGUCAAUCGACUUACCAGGCCGUGUCCGACCUGGACACUGCGCCCGGGCGGCUUUAUAAGCCGAGCCCACGACCCCGCCGAGGCCCAAGUCGCCUGCCCCGCCGAAACCCUAGCCCCGUCGCCAGCCCGCCGCCGCCGCCGACGNNNNNNNNNNNNNNNNNNNNNNNNNNNNNNNNNNNNNNNNNNNNNNNNNNNNNNNNNNNNNNNNNNNNNNNNNNNNNNNNNNNNNNNNNNNNNNNNNNNNNNNNNNNNNNNNNNNNNNNNNNNNNNNNNNNNNNNNNNNNNNNNNNNNNNNNNNNNNNNNNNNNNNNNNNNNNNNNNNNNNNNNNNNNNNNNNNNNNNNNNNNNNNNNNNNNNNNNNNNNNNNNNNNNNNNNNNNNNNNNNNNNNNNNNNNNNNNNNNNNNNNNNNNNNNNNNNNNNNNNNNNNNNNNNNNNNNNNNNNNNNNNNNNNNNNNNNNNNNNNNNNNNNNNNNNNNNNNNNNNNNNNNNNNNNNNNNNNNNNNNNNNNNNNNNNNNNNNNNNNNNNNNNNNNNNNNNNNNNNNNNNNNNNNNNNNNNNNNNNNNNNNNNNNCCGCCGCCGACCAGCCGGAGCCGCGUCGCCGCCCCGCCACCCCGCCGCCGUCGCCGGAGUUCGUCGCCGCUGCCGGUUUUCUUUGCCGGUUCGGUUUUUCGGUAAAACCCUAGAUGCGUUUUUUUAUUAUAUCGGUUUUAUUUUUUUCGGUUAGGUUAUUUAGCGAACGCCUGUUCGUACGUUCGUUUUAACGAACGGUUUUCACCGUUUAGCCGCAGACAGCGAACGUUCGUUCGUUAGCCUGUUCGUCAGUUUUUCUUUUUCCUCGGAUUUUUCGCGAUUAUUUUCGAUCGCGAUUUCUGACCCAAUUUUCGUUUUAGUUUAUCUUUUCGCUCGUUUAUCGGAAUCAGGCGAUUCAAGCGCCUAGAGUUUCGUAUCGAAACCCUCUUCCUAUUUAAUCAACUUAAACAAGUUUUUUGCUACUGUAAAGUUUGACUUUAGUCCAGAUUAGUAAUCGAAGCUUGUUUCUUUCGCAGUUCGAGUUUCGUUGCUUCGUUUGAUUUGAUUCUUUUUGCAAACCGGAGUUCUUAAGUUGAACCUUCUGGUUAGAUCUUCUUAUUUGAGUUUUACCCGUGCAUCUUGCUUGAUUGCUUAUUGUAUGCUUGUUUGUUUGCGAUAGAGUACCCGGAGUGCGAAGCGUGCUACUACGAGUCUCUAGGUUUCACGGCUCAUUAGCAAGGCAAGUAACACUUUGAUCAUACCUCUUUACUACCCACUUUUAUUGCAUUAGAUAAAUUCUCAAACAAUUGCAUGGUUAGGAUCUGAUUAAAUUGUGGGUUUGGGAAGUAGAUGAGGUAGUACCUAUUCAUCUGUUUAUUAUCAAACCUAUGGGAGUACUUCUACGUUGCUUAUAUUGCUAUGCUAUGCUCGUAGACAUGGUUUGGGUUUGAGGGUAUUCAUGACAGAUGUGAGUAUUGUUAAUUAAUGGUCAACUUAAGGUGACAACUUUAAUACACAUCUGGGUGGAUUGAGGCACCUGGGGAACCCAGUGUUGCCUGUAUUUUUUUGGAAAUCCCGGGGUACCGUGUGAUUCUCCUAUGGACUGCCACCCAGGCUCAAAGGGAUCAUAAGAUUAUUCAUGCUAGAAACUUUCGUGUGCAGCCACAAGCCAUUAUGGGCUCUGGCAUAGUUGAGUAAGUUGUGGGAAUCUUUCCAUGAUGGGCUAGCAGAUGUAGGGGAUUGUAGGUGUACAGGCCUAUCUAUCGGUUAAGGGGACCUCUUCGGAAAGACUGUGUCUCGGUCAUCCGUUUCUCAAACAUUAUGUAGUGCAAGAAUUCCAACGGAGGAGAUCGAGUCUUGUGGGGAAAAGUGCGCAAACCUCUGCAGAGUGUACAAACUAAUCAUGGUUAGCCGUGUCCCCGGUUAUGGACAUCUUGAGUAUCUGGUUCUUGGAUUAUCAUGUGGAUCUCAUCACUCUUAAUAUAAUUUGAUUUGGUUUAAUGAUGAUGCUUAAUUGGGAUUGAGUUGGGUGAACCUUCUCAAUGUUUAACAACCACCAUGAUAGUUAAAUAAAAUUUAUUCCUUUGUUGUAGGGAAAAAUUGGCUUUUCGCAAAACAUAUUAACCAUACAGCCUCCACCAGCCAUAUAUGCAUGUAGUGAUAGCAUUAUUCUGUUCAUUAUUCUCUUGUGUUACAUUGCCAGCAAAUUCCAUGUGCUGACCCGUUUCGGGCUGCAACCUAUCAUGUUGCAGACUUUUCAGGCGACGAGUAAGGAGCCAUAGGUCGUUGUCUUUCACUCAGUGAUGCCGUUGGAGUUGAUGGACUCACUUUAUCUUCCAAGCCUUCCGCUGUUAUUGUAUUAGAUGGCCUUAAGCCAUAUUUAUUGUAAUAAGUGUGUGAUUGCUACUCUGUUAUAAAUCCUCAAGUACUGUGCGUGUCAGCAUUACCGAUCCAGGGAUGACACUGAUGCACAGAGAUCAGACUGUUUGAGGUCUGGUCGGUACAAGAUGGUAUCAGAGCACACGCUGACUGUAGACCACGACCACUAAGCUAAAGCCCUAGAUCACUACUCUCUUCUCAUUUCUGACUCCUCUCCAUUUUCUACUCUUUAGGAUGGCGGACGCAAGGAACAAGUUUGCACAACCGGAUGAAGACACACCUUUUGGAAGCCACUUGAAGGAAGUCACUAGGUACCUGAACAUCGGAAUACCAAGCUUCACUGGGACUUACAACGCCACUUUACCAGAAGAGGAGCGCUGGAUGAUUCAAGUUCAAGUUCCAGGAAGGACAUUUACGCCAGUCACUGAGCCCAUAGAGUUUUCCUUUGAUGCACCAACCUGGAGUCUAGGAAAGAGUAUGGCAGCCCACAUCACCAUGGGACGCAUUGGAGAAGUUUACCACAAGGAUCUCAAGGAUACUAUCUACCAGAUUUGUGGGAGCCGAGAUGAGCAAUGGGAGAUGAUCAGCACCAGGAAGGAUAGAUCCAUUGCAGCUUUCAUCCAGGAGUUAAACCAGCACAUUCGACGACAGGAGAACCAGAUGUGUGCAGGCAUGACAGAUUUGAAGAAGGCGAUGACAAGGAUCACGGAGCUAGAGGAAGAACUCAAGUCUACACGCGAUGGAUAUGAGGAGGAAAUCGCAACACUAUUGGAGAAGAAUGACGACCUGAUAAAGAAGAUCGGAGUAUUCAGGGGAGAUUCCGCGCCAGGAGGAGAAGACGACGAUUCCACUUGCUUGGAGAACUACAUCAUCAUUGAUGACACUGACUCAGACCCCGACGAUAGCUAUGAUGACUAUGUUUAUGAAGAUGGAGCGGAUAUCAUGGAGUCUUCGACCGAUCACUUUUUCUAGUCGACCACCAUAUCUGUAGUAGUAUUCCACCAUGUAUAUAAUAUAGUCUGAGCACUUUUGUAACGAUAGUUCUAGACCGAUUGUAUGCCCUUGCUUGAUUGAUUGAGUGAUAUGAUUGUGUUUGUAUCAUGUGCAUAUGGGUAGUGUUAUCCUCCUAGACCUCAUUCUACUCUGUUUCCUCAUCUUUUCUAAACCCAGCAGAUGCCUCUACGACGCGACAAUGGAUUUGCUUUCCCACCGGAGCUCACUCAGUUGAUCCAGCAGCAGAAUGCAUUGAUGUAGAUACUAGUCCAGAAUCAGAAUCAGGGGAACAACAAUAACAACAACCCACCACCACCACUUGUUGAUCACUUAGCCCGUUUUCUAAGGCUGAAUCCGCCGGUGUUCUCCAGUAGCACCGAGCCGAUAGUUGCAAAUGAUUGGCUCCGCAAGAUUGAAAGGGAGUUGAUCACAGGAGGAUGCACAGAUGCGGAGAGAGUGCGUUUUGCCGCACAUCAACUUGAUGGACCCGCAGCAUCAUGGUGGGAGAAUUUCACAGCCACUUACCCCAUCGACACUGUUACAAGGGACCAGUUCCAGCAGGCUUUUCGCACUGCCCAUGUAUCAACAGGAGCUAUGGCCAUGAAGAAGCGCGAGCUCCGCAACUUACACCAAGGAGGACGCACCGUUGGCCAGUAUGUGGAUGACUUUAGUAAGCUAGCACGUUAUGCCCCAGAUGACGUCGCUACAGAUGCAGCUAAGCAGGAGGAGUUUCUGGAAGGACCGAAUGAUGAGCUGAGAAAAUUUAAAUAACUACCUGAUACGUCUCCAUCGUAUCUACUUUUCCAAACACUUUUGCCCUUGUUUUGGACUCUAACUUGCAUGAUUUGAAUGGAACUAACCCGGACUGACGCUGUUUUCAGCAGACUUUCCAUGGUGUUAUUUAUGUGCAGAAACAAAAGUUCUCGGAAUGACCUGAAACUCCACGAAACGUGUAUUUGGAAAUAAUAAAAAUCCUUGCAAAAGAAUAUGAUGUUGCCUAAAUUGGAUACAUUUGUUUUGCUUACAAAUGAAGGGCCUAGCUUGGAGAAGGAUGAACAUUGGAGCAAGAACAAGCAUGGAGUUGAUGGCAUGUGCAAGGGGAACAAGAACAGAGUUACAAGUGAUGAUUUCAGGACUUUGAAGCCACCAUAAGGAGUGCAUGAAGCCUUGGACGAAAUAUACAAGAUGCCACUUCAUAAAUUUCGUCCAGAGGCUAUUCUAGGUGCUGCGUCACCUUAUUAUUGGGCCAGGCCCAUGUAAUUUCGAAAUGCUUAAGUAUAGGCUAUUUUUAGAGUCUGUAUGUGUGGGGAAACAAGAGUUAGGGUUGGUUUCGGACCCCUUCUCCAAGGGCCACGAAAUCCCCCCUUCUUUCUCUAUAUAUACAACCCUUAGGGCACCGUUUAGACUUUGGGUUUUGUUUAGAUUAAAAGUUUGCCAUAGCUGCAACUUCGCGUACUUCGUUUGUGUUCAAUGACCAGACCAAGGCGUCACAGAACCCCACCUUCAUUAAUAAAGCAUUCCUCUUUUAUUCGCAAUAUCCAGAUUGCAAUCUUAGUUUCUUGCUUGUUCUUUGUUUACUCGCAGGAAACAGGCCCUCGUGGUCAGGUUGAUAGUGCUCUGGCAUGGCCAAUAACCCUCGGAAGUUGGUUUAGCGAUUGCUAAGGCGCGACGUCUCGCACGUUCGUAGUCGGAUCGUCAAGGUCGACUCCCACAGAAAACGAUAGCCAGCAUCUCAUCGAAACAUCGGGACACCUUUGCCUCUAUCAAGUGGUAUCAGAUUUUCAGGUUGCUCGGUGAGAUUUUACAGUUUUUCGUAGUUUAGAUCAAGUUUGUUCUUCAUACCUACAGUCCACGAAAAAGCCAUAAAAAAAUUAGGGUUAGUUCAUCAUAUCCGAACCAAUCUGAGCCUUUGCGUAAUCUUUUCUGUAUUUGCUUUGUUGAAUUUGCGGUUGCAUCGUCGAUUCUAGUUGCUGGUCUUAGCGUCUAGUCUUUUAGAGUUUUGAGUUCUGUUCACUGGUAUUCACGCCGCCACCGCACCAUCAUCAUUCGAUGUCAUAUACCACCACCACACCAGACAGAUCACCGCCGCCAAAUACCACCAUAUAUCCGCCACAAAUCCGAGUCCAUAUAUACCAUGCCACCAAUCCGAGUCCACAUAUAUCACCGCUUGUCCAUCACUAAUCCGAGUCCACAUAUACCACAUAUACCACCGCCUGUCCAUCACCAAUCCGAGUCCACAUAUACCACCGCGUGUCCAUCACCAAUCCGAGUUCUUUUCAUAUUAGGUUUGUUUUCGAGAUCCAUCUAUUUUCCGUUUCGUGUUUCCUUGCCUGAGUAGGUCUCGGAAAAAAAGUCUGGAGACCCCCGGGCAGUUUUUAGGCCAAAAUUUCGGCGACCAAAAAUAUUUUUUCCUUAUCCAAUUUUUAGGAUUUUCUGAGUCUUUUGAGCCACGUGCCAUCAUAGUGAUUUUUUGUCGCACUUUUUCGUCGUCGCUGCCCUGAUUUCCAAAAAAAUAGUCAAAAAAUUUCGUGCCCAUCCUGUCAUUUUGACCUGGGAAGAGUUUUGAGACAGUCGUCAUUAUAGUGAUUUUUCGCAAAAAAAAUUAGGAGCAUAAAAAAAACAAAGCGAAAAAAAUCCAGAGUGUGCAUUUCCCUUGUUUAUGUGCAGCGCCGUGAUUUUGUUAGUGUUCUAGGCUCGCGUCUCUAGCACAGUCUAGCCUAGGACCAGCACAGUACCGUCGUUGAGCGUUUAUUCAACUUUGCAUCUCUGAAUUGAUUAUUGCUGACCCUUUUUGCUACCAUAUUAUAAGCCUUCCCAGCUCCACAUACAUCUACAUCAUGCGUUUGACUCUCCCUGGUAAUCUCUCUAUCCAAGCUUUCAGAGUUUUGACUACAUCGGUUGCCGAUCACCGCCUGCUGCUGGGUAAGAACUGGUAAGAAUUUGAGAUUUGCUUGACGGAUUUGUGACACCCACCACCACCACCACUUGUUAGUAGUCUGUAGGAUCAUAUUCGUGUGUGUUUCUAUUGCUGCUAACCAUGCCAGGAUCACAAGCCGACGAGAUUGGCUAGGAGAACUUAACGAACAAGGAGCUUCAUGAUAAAUUUCAGCAAAUGAUGACUGAACAGGUGCAAGAUGUGCUGAACAAUUUUGAAGAGGCCAUGGAGAAGAUCACUGGCCUUGAGAAGACAUUCGAAACAAAGCUCGAUAACAUAUUUAAUGAACUUCUUGCGCGGCUUCCACCACCGGUUGCACCUGCCGCACCUCUGCAACAACAACAACAACAACAACAACAACAACGACUACCUCCAUGUCGCGAAACAGCCCUCCGCCGAGCGAGCCGUGUCCCUCUUCAGCCUAGCCAAACUGCUGGUGCUGCUAUUGAUACUUCUAUGGCUCCUGCUGCUGAUGUGGAGGAGGAUGAUUAUGCGGGAGAUUACGAGGAUGAGGUUGAUCAAAAUCAGAACUACGUGCAACCACCAGCACCACAACUACCAGGUCGUCCAGAUGCAAAUAAUCACAAUGGUAGGGCUCUCCCUCAGGUACGAGAUCAUGACCAUCUUCGUAAAUUGAAAUUGAAUAUUCCACCAUUUGAGGGUAGAUAUGUUCCUGAUAUAUAUCUUACUUGGGAGUUAGAAACCGAACAACGUUUUACAUGUUUAGAAUAUCCCGAGGAGAGACGUGUUGCUGCUGCACUUUAUGCUUUCACUAGUUUUGCUUGUGUGUGGUGGUCUGAUCAUAGAUUAUAUCCGAAUGAUAUUCCAACUACUUGGGCCGCUUUGAAAACUGCUAUGCGUACUCGUUAGGUUCCACCAUAUUAUCAACGUGAAUUACUUCAAAAAUUGCAGCGUUUAAGACAAGGAAAAAAUUCUGUAGAGGAAUAUUAUCAGGAAUUACAAACUAGCAUGAUUAGAUGUGGUAUUGUUGAGGAUAAUGAAGCUAUGCUUGCAUGUUUUAUGGGUGGAUUAAAUAGAGAGAUUCAGACCAUUCUAGAGUAUAAGGAGUAUAAUAAUAUCACUCGUUUAUUCCAUCUUGCUUGUAAAGCUGAACGUGAAGUGCAGGAUCGACAGGCAUUGGCGCGAACUAACUUUUCUGCAGGUCGACCUUCGUCAUGGACAGCACGUGCAUCCUCUACUUCCACUGCACCAUCACCUCCAUCAGGUGCCACCUCCAAUCGUGAUACAAGACUGCAGGCACAACUACCACUAUCUGCCAAGAGCACACCCGUCGGGCCUGCACAGAGUUCUUCUUCUUCCAUGGCAUCAACAGGGCACACAAGUGAUAUUAUUUGUCGUCGUUGUAGGGGAAGAGGUCAUUAUGCGAGAGAAUGCAAAUCUCAGCGUGUGAUGAUUGCUACUGAGGAUGGUGGGUAUGAGUCCGCUAGUGACUAUGAUGAGGAGACUUUGGCUCUUAUUACACGUGAAGAACACGGUGGAGAUGAUUCUGAUCAUGAGACGCAAUACAUGGCUCCUGAAGAUGCUGACAGGUAUGAAUGUUUGGUUGCUCAACGUGUUUUGAGUGUGUAGGUUACACAAGCUGAGCAAAAUCAGAGGCAUAAUUCGUUCCAUACAAAGGGAGUUGUGAAGGAACGUUCUAUUCGCGUCAUCAUAGAUGGAGGGAGCUGCAACAACUUGGCUAUCAUGGAGAUGGUGGAGAAGCUAUCUCUCACCACAAGACCACAUCCACAUCCUUACUACAUCCAAUGGUUCAACAACAGCGGCAAGGUUAAGGUAACACGUACUGUUCAUGUGCAUUUUAGUAUCUCUACAUAUGCUGAUUAUGUUGAUUGUGAUGUGGUACCUAUGCAAGCAUGUUCCUUAUUACUUGGUAGACCAUGGCAAUUUGAUAAAAAUUCUGUACACCAUGGUAGAAACAAUCAGUAUACUCUUGUUUCAUAACGAUAAAAAUAUUACUUUGCUUCCUAUGACUCCUAAUUCCAUUUUGAAAGAUGAUAUUAAUAGAGCUAAUAAAGCAAAACAGGAGAAAAAUAAGAGUGAAAACCAGAUUGUGGCAAAAGAAGUUGAGAAACAAAUGAAGGCUAAUAAUAAACCAUCUAGUGUUGCUUCUGAAAUUAAAUUGAAAAGUGCAUGUUUACUUGCCACCAAAUCUGAUAUUGAUGAGCUAGAUUUUAGCAAAUCUGUUUGCUAUGCUUUUGUGUGCAUAGAGGCAUUAUUUUCAUUCAAGGACAUGCCUUCCUCUUUGCCCCCUGCUGUCACUAACAUUUUGCAGGAGUUCGCUGACGUCUUCCCACAAGAUCGUUCCACCGGGAUUACCACCUAUUCGAGGGAUUGAGCAUCAAAUUGACUUAAUUCCCGGUGCAUCGCUACCCAACCGUGCACCAUACCGUACCAAUCCAGAGGAGAUGAAGGAGAUUAUGCGUCAAGUACAGGAGCUGCUGGACAAAGGUUAUAUACGCGAAUUUCUUAGUCCUUGUGAUGUUCCUAUUAUACUAGUGCCUAAAAAGGAUGGUACGUCGUGUAUGUGUGUUGAUUGUAGAGGUAUUAAUAAUAUUACUAUUCGUUAUUGUCAUCCUAUUCCUAGGCUAGAUGAUAUGCUUGAUGAAUUGAGUGGCUCUACAAUAUUCUCCAAAGUUGAUUUGCGUAGUGGAUACCAUCAAAUUCGUAUGGAAUUGGGAGAUGAAUGGAAAACAUCAUUUAAAACUAAGUUUGGUUUAUAUGAGUGGUUAGUCAUGCCUUUUGGGUUAACUAAUGCACCUAGUACUUUCAUGAGACUAAUGAACGAAGUUUUACGUGCUUUCAUUGGACGAUUUGUGGUAGUCUAUUUUGAUGAUAUACUGAUUUAGCAAAUCUUUGGAAGAACAUUUGGAACAUUUACGUGCUAUUUUUAUUGCUCUACGUGAUGCACGUUUGUUUGGUAACCUUGGGAAGUGCACCUUUUGCACCGACCGAGUAUCUUUUCUUGGCUAUGUUGUUACUCCACAGGGAGUUGAAGUUGAUAAAGCCAAGAUUGAAGCUAUUGAGAGUUGGCCGCAGCCCAAAACGGUCACACAAGUGAGGAUUUUUCUUGGACUCGCUGGUUUCUAUAGGCGUUUUAUGAGAUAUUUUAGCACCAUUGCUGCACCUCUCAAUGAGCUUACAAAGAAGGAUGUACCUUUUGUUUGGGGUACUGCACAGGAUGAAGCCUUCACGGUAUUGAAAGAUAAGUUGACACAUGCUCCUUUACUCCAACUUCCUGAUUUUAAUAAGCCUUUUGAGCUUGAAUGUGAUGCUAGUGGAAUUGGAUUAGGAGGUGUGUUAUUACAAGAUGGCAAACCUGUUGCAUAAUUUUCUGAAAAAUUGAGUGGGCCUAGUCUGAACUAUUCUAGUUAUGAUAAAGAAUUAUAUGCUCUUGUUCGGACCUUAGAAACAUGGCAACAUUAUUUAUGGCCCAAAGAAUUUGUUAUGCAUUCUGAUCAUGAAUCUUUGAAACACAUUAAAAGUCAAGCAAAACUAAACCGUAGACAUGCUAAAUGGGUUGAAUUCAUUGCGACUUUCCCUUAUGUCAUUAAACACAAGAAGGGUAAAGAAAAUGUUAUUGCUGAUGCUUUGUCUCGUCGUUAUACUAUGCUUUCACAACUUGACUUUAAAAUAUUUGGUUUGGAGACCAUCAAAGAUCAAUAUUUGCAUGAUGCUGAAUUUAAAGAUUUAUUGCAAAAUUGUAAAGAAGGUAGAACAUGGAACAAGUUCGUCGUUAACGAUGGAUUUGUGUUUCGUGCUAACAAGCUAUGCAUUCCAGCUAGCUCUGUUCGUCUUUUGUUGUUGCAGGAGGCGCAUGGAGGAGGACUAAUGGGACACUUUGGGGUGAAGAAGACGGAGGAUAUACUUGCUACACAUUUCUUUUGGCCAAAGAUGAGACGGGAUGUUGAGCGUUUUGUUGCUCGCUGCACUACAUGUCAAAAAGCUAAGUCACGACUCAAUCCUCAUGGUUUAUAUAUGCCUUUGCCUGUACCUAGUGUUCCUUGGGAGGAUAUAUCUAUGGACUUUGUUUUAGGUUUACCUCGAACAAAGAAGGGGAGGGAUAUCAUAUUUGUUGUCGUGGAUAGAUUCUCGAAAAUGGCACACUUUAUACCAUGUCAUAAAAGCGAUGAUGCUGUUAAUGUUGCUGAUUUGUUCUUUCGUGAAAUUAUUCGCUUGCAUGGUGUGCUAAAUACUAUUGUUUCAUAUCGUGAUACUAAAUUUCUUAGCCACUUUUGGAGAUGUUUAUGGGCUAAGUUGGGGACUAAACUACUUUUUAGUACUACUUGUCACCCCCAAACUGAUGGACAAACUGAAGUAGUCAAUAGAACAUUGCCUACUAUGCUUAGGGCUGGUUUGGAGAAUAAUAAGAAAAUGUGGGAAGAAUGCUUGCCUCAUAUUGAAUUUGCUUAUAAUCGUUUGUUGCAUUCUACUACUAAGAUGUGCCCUUUUGAAAUUGUGUAUGGUUUCCUACCUCAUGCACCCAUUGAUUUGUUGCCUCUUCCAUCUUCGGAGAAGGUUAAUUUUGAUGCUAAACAACGUGCUGAAUUGAUCUUAAAAAAUGCAUGAGUUAACUAAGGAAAACAUUGAGCGUAUGAAUGCUAAAUAUAUACUUGCUGGAGAUAAGGGUAGAAAACGUGUUGUCUUUGCACCUGGAGAUCUUGUUUGGUUACAUUUGCGUAAGGAUAGAUUUCCUGAUUUCGCAAAUCAAAGCUAAUGCCACGUGCUGAUGGUCCUUUUAAGGUGUUAGAGAAAAUAAAUGAUAAUGCAUAUAAACAUGAGCUACCUGCAGAUUUUGGGGUUAGUCCCACUUUUAACAUUGCAGAUUUGAAGCCUUAUUUGGGUGAGGAAGAUGAGCUUCCGUCGAGGACGACUUCAUUUCAAGAAUGGGAGGAUGAUGAGGACAUCAAUACCAUUGUUACACCCACAACCCCUACUGUUACAUAUAUUGGACCAAUUACUAGAGCUCGCGCACGCCAAUUAAGUUACCAGGUACUUUCGUUUUUGGUAAUGAUUCUAAUGUUCAUGAGAAUAUGAUGCUGCCUAAAUUGGAUACAUUUGUUUUGCUUACAAAUGAAGGGCCUAGCUUGGAGAAGGAUGAACAUUGGAGCAAGAACAAGCAUGGAGUUGAUGGCAUGCGCAAGGGGAACAAGAACGGAGUUACAAGUGAUGAUUCUAGGACUUUGAAGCCACCAUAAGGAGUGCAUGAAGCCUUGGACGAAAUAUACAAGAUGCCACUUCAUAAAUUUCGUCUAGAGGCUAUUCUAGGUGCUGCGUCACCUUAUUAUUGGGCCAGGCCCAUGUAAUUUUGAAAUACUUAAGUAUAGGCUAUUUUUAGAGUCCGUAUGUGUGGGGAAACAAGAGUAGGGUUGGUUUUGGACCCCUUCUCCAAGGGCCACGAAAUCCCCCCCUCUUUCUCCAUAUAUACAGCCCUUAGGGCACCGUUUAGACUUUGGGUUUUGUUUAGAUUAAAAGUUCGCCAUAGCUGCAACUUCGCGUACUUUGUUUGUGUUCAACGACUAGACCAAGGCGUCACAGAACCCCACCUUCAUUAAUAAAGCUUUCCUCUUAUAUUCGCAAUAUCCAGAUUGCAAUGUUAGUUUCUUGCUUGUUCUUCGUUUGCUCAUAGGAAAUAGGCCCUCGUGGUCAGGUUGAUUGUGCUCCGGCAUGGUCAAUAACCCUCGGAAGUUGGUUUAGCGAUUGCUAAGGCGCGAUCUCUCGCACGUUCGUAGUCGGAUCGUCAAGGUCGACUCCCACAGAAAACGAUAGCCACCAUCUCAUCGAAACAUCGGGACACCUUUGCCUCUAUCAGUAAAUCUUUAGUGCAUAUCCCAAAUUAGUACCACCUCGUUUAUAUUAUGAUUUUGUCCAUACAAAUUGUAAAAGCCUAUUAUGACAUGAGAAGAAAGCGUAUUGUGACGGUGAACCCGACAAAGUCAAUCCGUGCUUUAUUAUUAGGGAGAGAUUAGUUUUUCACGAAAACAACACUACGCUAGUUAUUUUUAACUUGCUGCUGUUUUCUGUUGUUUUAAUUAUUUUAAAAUUUAUUUUCACCUCUGUUAUAUUUUAUUUCAGAUUUGUUUCUGUAGUUAUAGAGGGUGAACUUUUAUUUACAGAAAAAUAAAAUGUUUUAUUUCUUUUUCUUACUAGUUUUGUUUUAAGCAUAAUUAGAGUUUUAAUUUAGCUUUUUAUGUGUUUCCUUUUGCUAGUAAAACUUUAUGAAAAAUACUUUCUGUUAACUUAGUUGAUUUGAAUUUUAUUUCCUGUUAAAAUUAUUACUUUAGUAUUUUCUUUGUUAAGUUUUACUUAGGACAAAACUAUUUUUGUAGUUAAGGCAAAAGGUUUUUCCUAGUAGGUUGUUUAUAGUUUUCCCCUAUUAGUUCUUUCGAUGUGUUAUUUGUUUUGUAUUGGGUUUUCUUAUUGAGUUUUUUUAUUGUUAGACUUUCUUGCUAGAAUGCUUGCUUAUGUGAAUGUCAUGUUUGUUAUUAUAGAUUUCAUCAAAGAGUUGUGUAUAGUCCUAUCAAGUUAUUUUCAAGAGCGUUGUUAUCCUUGUCAACUAACCAGGCAAGUUCACUUUGACCAUGUUUUUCAUACCUAUGUUUUUAUUUCAUUUAGUGUCAUCUUUGCAACAAUCCCUCCAGUAGUGUUAUUGAAUCUUGUAGUUGAGUAGAAUGCAUGAGGUAGGAACCACUACAAAAAAAGACACAUCCGUGACAUUUUGGGCCGAACGAAAAAAAUUCUGUCAUACAUACGACACAUCUAUGACGAUAAUUGUGACAAAACCCGGUAUCAUCAUAGAUGUGGGGGCUCCUACUUCUAUGACAAAAAAUCAUGACAGAAAAUGGGCUUUUCGUCCUGGGCGGGCCGGAGACGCAGCUGCAUGAAAUUCUUUGGGCCGUCCAUGACAGAAAAAAACCAUGGUAGAAACGAGGGGGAGGAAAAUUUCAGGGAGUUCCCCGUUACGGUGGGAGGUCGGGGGCCGAGCGAUGUGCGUUUCUCUCGUACACGUACGCGCGUGUGUGCGAGGCAUUGGCUCUAACUGAACCCGAGCGAGGCGUUGAACUCUAACUGAACCCGAGCGAUUGCACUGCAGGCUACGCGUUACUGAACCCAAGCGAUCGAUCGAUGGCUGUUCACUGAACCCGAUCGAGCGAUUCCUUCGCUGCUGCUGCGAACUGAAGCCGAUCGAUUGGAUGAAUAGUGAGCGUUGCNNNNNNNNNNNNNNNNNNNNNNNNNNNNNNNNNNNNNNNNNNNNNNNNNNNNNNNNNNNNNNNNNNNNNNNNNNNNNNNNNNNNNNNNNNNNNNNNNNNNNNNNNNNNNNNNNNNNNNNNNNNNNNNNNNNNNNNNNNNNNNNNNNNNNNNNNNNNNNNNNNNNNNNNNNNNNNNNNNNNNNNNNNNNNNNNNNNNNNNNNNNNNNNNNNNNNNNNNNNNNNNNNNNNNNNNNNNNNNNNNNNNNNNNNNNNNNNNNNNNNNNNNNNNNNNNNNNNNNNNNNNNNNNNNNNNNNNNNNNNNNNNNNNNNNNNNNNNNNNNNNNNNNNNNNNNNNNNNNNNNNNNNNNNNNNNNNNNNNNNNNNNNNNNNNNNNNNNNNNNNNNNNNNNNNNNNNNNNNNNNNNNNNNNNNNNNNNNNNNNNNNNNNNNNNNNNNNNNNNNNNNNNNNNNNNNNNNNNNNNNNNNNNNNNNNNNNNNNNNNNNNNNNNNNNNNNNNNNNNNNNNNNNNNNNNNNNNNNNNNNNNNNNNNNNNNNNNNNNNNNNNNNNNNNNNNNNNNNNNNNNNNNNNNNNNNNGGUCCGCUACCUCCGUUUUGCCGUAUGCCACACCCCUCCCGAUCAACAGGACCCCCGUUUCGACUGUAGGAGGUCCGUUUCCUCCGUUUUGCGGUACGCCAGACCCCUCCCGAUCAACAGGACCCCGUUCCGAACGUAGGAGGUCCGUUUCCUCCGUUUUGCGGUAUGCCACACCCCUCCCGAUCAACAGGACCCCUUUCCGAACAUAGGAGGUCCGUUUCCUCCGUUUUGCGGUACGCCAGGCCUCGUUUCCAUCGCCUGUUCCGUCCAUGCCCUCCCGAUGAACAUGACCACGCAUUCCGUUCCGACCCAGCCGGUUGGCUCCCAUGCGUUCCAUUGCCUCCCGAUGAACACGACGCAUUCCGUUGCCUCCCCAUGAACACGACGCAUUCCGUUGCCUCCCCAUGAACACGACGACGACGAUGUUUCUCCGUUCCGACCCAGCCAUGUACACGAGCCCUGGCCAUACGUAUGCGCGAGUAGGCGUUCGAGACCCCGCCCAUAUGUACACAUACGUGGCCGUAUUUUCUUUCUUACACCCUGGCCGCUGUACGUACAUGUACAUGCUACGUGCGCGCCUCUACUACGACACGUGCGCGCCUCUACAUCCACCAGUAUAUAUGUACGUACACGUUCGCGACCAGAAUGACAAUGCUACGCACGCUUCGACCAGGUGGGUCCCGACUGUCAGGCACUUCCUUGCCUGCAAAGAUGUAGCUGGUGGGUCCCAGCAGUCAGGGGGGCGAAUCAUUUUUUUUUGCCCGGACGCACUUACUUGCGUGCGAAAUGUAGCUGGUGGGUCCCAGCAGUCAGGGGGAAAUGUUUUUUUCACGAAAUACAGUGGCCCGUCCGGUGGGUCCCAGCUGUCAGGUGGAGGAAUCAUUAUUUUCCGCGUAAUAAGGAGGCACUUCCUUGCUGUGGCCGUGGACCCAGCUGCCAGCCUCUCCAUGUACAGUCCACGUCCGAUGGAAGUCGUUCCUUGACCACGUUGACCACACCGCGCGGACAUCACCAGGGCGGUGGACGACGGCGAGGCCUAGGAAGGGGACGACGGGGAGCCGGGGAAGACGCGGCAGUGGAAGCCCGCGCGGAGAGGAGUACAAGGGUUCACUGGUUCGGCUGCGGUGUGAGGCUGCCGUCGCCGCAGGGCCUGGCCAGCGGUGGGAAUAGUAGGGGGCGGUGAGGCCUCCGCGGCAGCACAGCCGGCCAUGGGAGGCAGGAGCAUGCGGCACGACUGGCGCUGCUUUGGGCGGCUGGAGCAAGAAGCCCAAAGGUUGAAGAAGCACUACGGCCGUUGGAUGGACAUCGUAUGGUCACUGGAGCUAGAAUCAUUCAUAUUGACUAAAGUUGACAAAGGCCCCCGUCCCAGUCAACUUAGUAGGCCCACAAGUCAGCCUCCCACCAUGGUGGGUCCCAGCUAGCAGGGGGAGUAUUCAUUUUUUUGUGCGUAAUAAGGAGGCACUUCCGGUGGGUCCGAGCUGACAGCGGGGGGAACAUUUUUUUCGCGAAAUACGCUGGCCCGUCCGGUGGGUCCCAGCAGUCAGGGGGGAAACGUUUUUUUCGCGAAUAAGGUGGCCCGUCCGGUGGGUCCCUGCUGUAAGGUGGAGGAAUAAUUAUUUUGCGCGUAAUAAGGAGGCACUUCCUUGCGGCCGCCUGGACCCAGCUGUCAGCCUCUCCACGUACAGUACUCUUCCGAUGGAAGUCGGUCGUUGACCACGUUGACCACGCCGCGCCGAGAGCACCAGGGCGGUGGUCUGGACGACGGCGAGGCCUAGGAAGGGGAAGACGCGGAGCCGGGGAAGACGCAGCAGUGGAAGCUCGCGCAGAGAGGAGUACGAGGGUUCACUGGUUCGGCUGCGGUGUGAGGUUGUCGUCGCCGCAGAAUAACAGGGGGUGUGGGUGAGUAGAGGGAUGGCCUGGCCAGCGGUGGGAGUAGUACGGGGCGGUGAGGCCUCCGCGGCAUCACAGCCGGCCACGGGAGGCAGGAGCACGCGACACGACCGGCGCUGCUUUGGGCGGCUGGAGCAAGAAGACCAGAGGUUGAAGAAGCACUACGGCCGUUGGAUGGACAUCGUACGAUCACUGCAGCUAGAAUCGUUUAUAUUGACUAAGUUGACAAAGCCCUUGGUACGCGUCAACUUAGUAGGCCCACAGCUCGGAUUUGGCAGAGAACAUAUAGCCCAUUUGCGAUUUGUAAGAAUGUACAUCCCAUUUUUUAAUUCUAAUGGAAUUUACUACAGCCCAUUUACAGUUUGUUAAAAGUACAGCCCAACUUCUAGCUAGGACAACGAUUAAUAAUUUCAAACAACCGCUCAAAGCAGAAUUCAAAAAAAUUCCCACAUUUUGAUGGGAUCCGAAAUAUUUUUAUCCGAAAUUUCUAGUCAGGUUAAAUAUAAUUUCAAAAUAAAGUUGUAUUACGUUAAAAUCCAACGAAAUAUUGCGCGCGCAACAAGUAAUGAAAUUAAAAUUUUCAAAUUCCAAAAAUAAUAUAUUUUUCAAACUAAUUACGUGUUUGGUGCUUAGUAACUGUCCAGUUAUUAUAAUUACAUCCCAUUUAUUAUUUCUUAAAGUCCAUUUUCUUGUUAAGCCUAAUGCAUACCUACUAGGAAAAUUUGCGGCCCAGCGGGGCGGAGAAUAACAAGUUGACCCGGAUAUUGUGUACACCUGUCGGCCCAGUUGCAUUGCUGAUGUCGAAAAAAAGGCCUGUGUAGUACAGUACAACGUAACAUGGUUACUCAGCCACAUUCAGCGAUGCCGGAAAGGCCCAAACAAGGCUUCUGUACAACUUUUUGAAGUCACUGAGCUCAAUUAAUAACUUAAGAAAAAAGUUAGAUUACAGUGGAACCUAAUUAAAAGCUGUCACGAGGAAAUAAAUAAUUCAACGGGUCCCACUUGUGCGUGUGCACGUGUGUGUGCAUGUGAGAAAGAGAGAGAGAGAGAUAUACAGAGAGAGACCCAUCGGUCGAUGCUCGUAAAUAGCCAUAUGCAUUGCUGAUGCUCCGUAAAAACUUAUAUAGUUGACACAAUCAUAUAGAACAUCAUAGCACACUGAACUUGCAUACAAAAAUUUCAUGCAGGCGGCACAAUCAGGAUGGAAGUAGUGGAUCGCUACGGGAAGGGCUAUGUUGAAACCAACGAAGUCGUACAUAACGGUUCAUCGUCUUUAUCAAUGACGGGGAAAUAUCUUGAAUGUUGUGCAAAGAAAACAGACAGACAACAUAAUAAGUUCUGCUAGCACAUUAAGUUGACGUAUAACCCUUUCUAAAAAAAAAGUUCAGGUACAAAAUUAGAACAGGUCACAAUCAAAUAUACUGGCAUAUCAGUGCUUCACACCCAUAGCUCGGAUUUAACUAGUAUCUGACAAGAUUCAGUUGUUACCUCAAAUUAGAGCACAUCCAGGCAGCCAGCCCUGCCUCUUCUCCCAAAGAAGCAGUGGCCUCCGCCGCGCGAUGGAGUAGGCCCUGUGCCAUCCAUCGUUCCGAGCAACACGGGGAAAGUCUAACGUUGACUCCUGUAAUGGACGUCGUCGACGGACCCUGGCACUAGCGGCGGCGGCAGGACUUCGAUUGAUGGAUUGACCACUUCUUCGACAUGCACGAACACUCGAUACAGGUACAUCCCUAACGUGGUCCGCGGCGGCCUUGGUGGCGACGAAUAGUACAACCCCGGUUCCUGCACCGGUAUCUCAACACCAAUCACCUUCGGUAUGGUGGAUGACUUCUUCAUCCAUGCCAUAACCAUCAGAGCCCAGCUGUCUGGAGGAACAAACAUACUUACGAGCUCACCUCCAAGGUCGUUGAUAAGCUCGUUCAUGGACUCGCUGUUCCAAGCACGUCGAGGCAUGCCGUGGAAGGUAAGCUUUGUUAAAAACUCAAGCUCAGAGGGCACCGAGCCCCAUCCUGGGUGCCACCGAUCAAAGCUCACCAGCGCGCCAUCGCAGAACAAACGCCGGGAAGAUUCGAACACACGACUGCAGUCGAAAGCUAUCCGGAACCUGACGAAGAAAUCAGCCGGUGGCGGAUAGACUUCGACGAGCAAGUCACUUAUUUGGAUGCCGUGCGCAAUGCCAAGAGCUUUGACAAGGUCGUCCGGCGAGACGGGAGGCCGGUCGCUGUUGAUGGUUACCAUCAGCACUUUGCCGGCAAACUGGUCGUCAAGCGCCGCCAUGCCACUCUUGAGCGACAGCACGCAGCGACCGAAGGCAGGACGGACCUCAGGAUCUCCGGCUCGGAGAUCCGCGUUGACCGGCGACAUGAUAGUGCGCUUGAGUACAGGGAGUACAGGAGGGGAAUUUGGGGGAACUGGAGUAGGAAUCGAGAUUCCAGAGGUGGGGGAGGGGCGGGAGACUAGGGAUGAAAAGGUAGCAUGAAUUUCGAGCACGCGCCAAUAUGCUCUCGGUGCACAAGCGCACGAAAACACUGGUGGCGCCCACAUGUCGGCCUAAGAGUCCUUAUUCUUUCUUUUUUGGAGAGCCCGGCCUUUUUUUCAGGAUCUUUUGAGAGCCCAGCCUGAGAGUCAUAAUUGACCUGUUUGGCAUUGCGUUACUACUCGGCCCAUAUUCAACGACACCUCACUGGCCCAAACAAGUGUACAUCAUCGAAAAGACACCGAGCUCAAAUUAUAUAACUUGAAAAAAGGAGAUAUACUCUGAACACUGGAGAAUGGUGAUGCCCUCAUUUAGCCCACCAGUAGUUCGAGACAAUAAACAGUUCGAAACAACGAUAUAUACAACAUUCAAACACUGACUAAUGACUACUACUGACAUAAACAACAAGACAUGAUAGUUCAUAAGAAGUCUUGCUACACCACCAAAACGCACCCAUCUGCAGCGCUCAGACUCUCGUGAUCCAGACGAGAAUGACAUUCUAAAUAGAAGCAACUUUUACAUAGUAAGAGUGACAUAGACGAGGAUGACCAAAUGACAAGGAAUAUGCAUAACAAAAGAAAGAACUACCCAUCCAGAACCAGCAGCAAAGACAACAAAGUCAUUCGAAGAGAUGAUCCAACACCAUCAUAAUUUGCAGCCCCGCUUCAGCGACCAGUGAUCCGGAGAAACCAGUACUCCACCCUUUCGAUGCAACAGCCCAAUUACCUAUCAACCUGAAGGCUUGAACCACAUCACUGCCUAUCGUAAUUGAGACAUCCAAGGAUCAAAGUUAAUCCGGAUGCAUUUGUCAUUCUCACCUUCUUUUGGGUGCAGGCUGUAUCGUUGACAAUCAGGGGGGUUUGCUCCCGAACUCCUAGGGCUCGCCGUGUAGACACAGUUUUCCAUAGCAAACAGAGCCUCUCUACCAUCAAGGUCUUUGCCAACGGUGAUCUCCUGGUUAAUCGGAUAAUUGAGUCUGAGAAACAGAGAGUGUGAACCAAGGCUGUUUACCCGCCUCCAACUAAAAAAUCCUAAAGGCCCCAACAAGCUGGUAUCCUGCUACGUAACAGCCACUGUCCGGAUACUCACGUAUUACACAGUGCUUGUAUACAGUGGGGUUUUUGCAAUAUAACUUUUCCGGCUCAUGUGUCCGAAUGAUCAUCAAUCUUUUGCUGUCGUCUGAUCGAGCGAGGAACCAGUUGUGCUUCCCUGUUUUUGGCAAAGGUGGUGUGAUUACAAAGGGCAGUAACUGUAGGGACACUGCAUCAUAUCAAAAAGGACAGGCAUUGUUAAUGUAAGAUCAGCAUUGUUCAGAGUAUGAGUAGGAUAAUGCAAGAAACAACAUUGAUAUGUCCCUGUUGGAACUGGGAGGAAAAUACAGGGAAAUGUAUACUGGGUUCGAAAAUAUAGAAGUGCCAUGCAUGGUUAUACUCAUGUUAUCUCGCAAUCGAUUCUUCACAGGAAACUACCAUGUCAUGCAUGUUAUGUACUCCCUCCGUUCCCAAAUAUUUGUCUUUCUAGGCAUUUCAAAUACACACAACAUACGGAUGUAUGUAGACAUAUUUUAGAGUGUAGAUUCACUCAUUUUGCUCCGUAUGUAGUCACUUGUUAAAAUCUCUAGAAAGACAAAUAUUUGGGAACGGAGGGACUAAUCAUGUUCUAUCCUCACAAACAAAUUCUUCAAGGUAAUUAACAGACCAUGCAUUGUUAUAUACUCGUGUUCUGUGGGCAAAAUUUUUGUGAGGAUAUUAUUCUAGCCAUUGAUUGCUGAAGGGCGAAUAUAGGUAUGUACACAUGGUAAGCAUUGCAGGAUUUCACUACUUCCAAAUAUAGAGUUCUCCAUAUGCACAUUUACUUCCCUAAUGUAUGGUUAGAUGAAACCAACAGUGUGGUGCAUGUUUCUACAUCAUGAAAAUGAGGAAACUAACAUGGCCAUAGAUACACACUCAUAUUUAGUAGUAGUAUAUAGAUUACUAUAAAAUAAGGAUAAUAUCCAGAUAUUCCUAACUGUUUGAUUAUUCAGGGUACAAAUUGGCUGUAAUGACAUGGUCAUAAUCGCAUGAAUUAACUCAUUCCAAAUAUAUCCGAUUUACGGCGUCUCUAAUACAUUGCCAUAGUUUUACUCAAAUUCUGCUCAAACAGGGAUAUGCCAAACAUCACAAAAAGUUCAAACAGUGUCAUGGCGUCAUCAUUAACAUGAGAUGGAAACAACUUACACGCGCCGUCCCAGCAAUACGUGGUGCCAUCUGCUUUGUCGAUCGCAUCACAAAACAGUAUCAGUGUGUAUCUGCCAUCUGUUUUGCAGAUGAUGCCAUUGUGUUAAAUAGCAUCACAAAAGUGUGUAUCAGCUUUGACGAUGAUCCACUGCGAGCCAAGUUGUCUCCAGCUAAAGAAGGCACCGGCGUAAAGAUAGGCGAGUCCGCGGUCGAACAAGGCAAUUAGCUUGAAGUCUGCGUAAUUCGCAUGUCGUGUGGGCACUUGGCAGAUUACAAUCUUCUGCAAAACAAGGUCCGUCCAACUGACGUAGUAAUCUAGAUGACUUGGACCACGAUGGUAAUACUCUAUAUAAUCCAACGGAGGAAGGAUAAUCUCAUGGGAGGUCUAGAAGUUCACGAGCACCAACUUUUUACCGUCUUCUUCGAAGGCAGCCAUCCAGUGGGAGUUCAUGCCGACCCAGUACAUACCUGCCAAGAAGUUUUGGGCGAUGGUGAUCGGAUCGAUGUCGAGGGAAAUGAUGUACGGCGACCCACUACAUACCUGCAAAGAAGUUUCGGCUAAUGGAGAUCGGAUUGAAGUCGAGGGGCAUCAUGCAUGCCUCCGUAUUAUGGUGAGCCAAUCUCGCAAGACCAGAUAGCAGCAAGCAGGGUGUCUUGAAAAGCUUAGGCCUCGCUUCGACGAUGGCCGUGUGCAUGUCCCUCGAGCAUGCAGCCAGCCGCAGGGCGCUCAACAUAUCCAUACACGAACAACAGAGGUCGAGGAUGUCACUGGGGAGAUUGCUCCAAUCGCGGCUCAUUGGAUGCUGCGCAGUUCGCGUUCGGCCAUGGUGGAGUUUGGAAGGGGGCUUGAUUUACGGGGGAGAAGGAUGUCAGUGCUGGAGCGGCUAGCGAGGGAAUAGUGGUACUGGGGGAGGCGAGUGAGGCGACGGUACACGGGGGCACAGUGAGAUGGAGACGGAGACGGAGAAGGAGAUGGAGAUGGAGUGGUGCUAUGGGAGCGGAGAGGGGGACGAGGCGAGGCGCCAAUGUGCUGUACAGCGGCGGUGACAGACUGCACAGUGCACAGGGUGAGGCUGACUUUGGUAACCCGAACACGCCGCCUGGACUAGUGUCAGGCGCAGGGUGUUGUCACUUCAUUGUGAGGACCGGAUGAAUAGUAUUUUGACCAUCAAGUGUACCACAGUUGUACUACUACUACUAGUAGUAGUAGGAACAUGAGUACUCCAGUAUUGUAUAGCGGAAAUAGGUCUCCCGUGCUAGCAUUCCUGUUCACUUCAUUGUUCUGGUAUCAUCCGUAUUGCGAGCAGAACCAAAUUCUCGUGCAUGCCCAAUCAACGCCCUGCCGUGAUGCAUGCAGUGGUCGUUCUAGUGCAUCAAGGACGGCAUGCAGAUCAUUCCACACUUGAGAAGAGGAAAAAUGGAAAGGUAGAACGCGGCAGCAGAGGAAGAGAACGCUGGCUAACGAGGCUGGGAGGGGAUCGAGCAGGAAGUUAAUGCUCCACGCCUAAAGGUUUUGGGAAAACCUGAUUUUCAUAAGGUGACUUAUACUCACCUAAACGGAGGGAGUAGUCCUUAACCAGAGAAUGUUGUGUCUCCCACUCACGCGCUCAAAAAAAACUACGACACAUUUUUUUAUCUGUUUGCAUAGGUCCCACCUAUCAGGAAGGAUGGGCACGUACAUGAACAGGUAUGACUCAUCAGUCUACCCGCAUAGCCUUUUCGUUUAGUCUACCUAGCCGUCUAAUCAACUGCCUGCAUGCCACUUCUCCUAUUUACUUCUCCAUCGGGAACCGAUUCUCCUCGGCUUCUUCACCUCCCCUUCGUCUUCAUUUGCAUCCAAACCCCACUGCGUUCACAUUGUUUUAACCUCUUUAAAUAAUCAUCUACUACUUCACUUAGACUAGCCAUCUAAUCCUAAUUCUCCAAACCAUAGCCCUCCGUUCCAGCGGUUCCAAAUGGCGAAAGAGAUCGAGAUGCAGGUUUUUAGCGUCCAACAUGUCCUCGUCGAAGGCUCGAUGCGCAUAGUUGCCACCGUCACCGUCCACCCAAGGGUUGUUCGGCAGUGGAUCAACAAUGUAUCCAACUCCCUCGAAAAGGUAGAGACGAGGGUCAUCGGUCUCGACGCAGAGUACAUGGAGCAUGCCCCUGGGAAGAUCCAGCGCGUCAUCGUCCUUCAGCUGUACCUCGAAGAUGAUGUUUUGGUGUACCACAUCAUACACUCACCCUCCAUACCAGGUGAGCUUCACGAUUUCUUGUCUCGGGAGGACGUAUAAUUCUGUGGGGUAGCCAUCGAAGGGGACAAACAGAAGCUGGAGCCGUACAACCUUGAUUUGAAAAGCAUCGCUGACCUACAAACCAGAAUCAAAAUUCCUGUAGAAGAUUGUGAUAAACAGACACCAUCCCUAUUCGACGUAGCAAAUUUUGUGCUCGGUACAAAUCUUCAGAAGGGUGACGAGACGGUGGCAUUAAGGUCGUCUGGAUGGGAGAAUUAUCCCUUGACGUACGAGCGGAUAAAAUAUGCUGCCCUCGAUGCCCGUGUGAGUUUCGAGAUAGCUGCAAGGUCCAAAGAGCUUGUAGUCCAAAGAGCUUGUUGCAAAGCCGUCUCCCACAGAGAAUGAGAACAAGAAGAAGAAGAAGAAGGAGAAGAAGAAGAAGAAGAGGAAGAAGAAGAAGAAAAGGCUGCACCAGUAGGAGGGCAUUAUGGAUGGAUGAACUAUUUCAUCUCUUGUAAAAAAAUAUUCCCUCUCGGUGUAUAUUGAUAUAGAUGGACUAUUUCGAUGGUGUGCAUGUCUUUGGAACAGAGUAGUAGCGUGGAUCCGCUUGACUAUAAGGAACUAUUUAUCCGCAUAUAUAGCUUUCUCUGCUACUCCUUCCAGUGAUCGGUAUGCAGUGCAUGUGUCCGUAGACAUGACAGCUUGUCCAUGGAAGUUCAAUUAUGGCGACCAUCACGUUUCAUCUCGCGAUUCCCACGACGCCUAUCCAACCCACGGCACCACGCCCCCGACGUGCGCCUCACCCCUCUCGGCCACACCGCCCCUCUGCCUUUGUGUGCGUGACAUGUGGGCCACCUAAAAUGCGGCGAGCAUCAAGUUUCUACCACAGCCACCCGCGAUUCCCAUGGCGCCGCUCUAACCCAUGAAACCACAUGUCCCCCGACCUGCGGCUCACCCCUCUUGGCCCCACUGCCCCUCUGCCUACGGGAGCAUUACAUGUGGACCAGUCACCUAUCGGGUCCACAUGUUAUUGACUCAAAGGUAGGUGUAGUAAGGCGCUGAAGCUCAGUCCCGAUGGCCCUAAGAGGGAAAUGUAACUCCUGCGCCAGGGCUUAUGGUGCUCCCACAGCACGAACUCGUGCCAAACUCGAGAUUUGUUUCUUUACUAUACAUGCACGCAACGAUUUAAUGGACAUUGUAAUCUCAACAUGUGAUGGGGAGCUCUAAAUUUGAAUUUGAAACUUCUAAAACGAAAAGAUUCAAAACAAAUAAAAUGGGAGAGAGGAAGUAUAUCGUAGGAUGUGUCCCAUACAAAAUAAGUCCCCUGGUUUGUCACCGCGAAGAUGCGGUUAAGAAGGAGCACAGCGUCUUCCUACUCGUACGACAACAAAUCGGCCGCAGACAGCAUGGUCCGCCUUUGACCGCCAUGUGCAAGGUUCGUGCUAUCUUAUUCAAUCUCACCGUGGUUCCAUCAUACCAAUUCAUGCGGUGGCCCGUUGCAUGGCCGAUCCCAAUGUUGGACAGAGGUUCUACGGGAACGGUGUCACCAUUGUAAAUGUUGUGCAAAUUGAUGUUGGUACCCUCCCGUACAUAUGCAAGCCAAUCUCCACUCGCACCGAGCCUAACCUGUGAAACAGUGGGCAGGGGGAGAAUUAGGAAAUGGACACGGAAGUAGUCUUUAGAAUGCAUUUACUACGUGAUCAAACUCAUCUUACCUGCUCAUCGGAGGAAAUCCGAGUGCCCCUCAACGUCCGCAUCUCAAGGGGCGUCAACUUGCAACUACGGCCACGCCGCGCUGGAGAGACCCCCAAGGAAACAUCCUCGUGCGUUCCACGGAACAUCAAGAUGCAUUUGUAUGAGUAGUUUAUCUUGUGAGAGAAAAGGAUGAACGAGGGAAGGCCUCUAGAGAUAGAGAUGGACACUACUACUACCAAUGUGCUGGCCCGUGCGUUGCAAUGGAUCCAAAGUAGUAGAAUAAUACUUCUUCACGUGCUUGAAAUAUAAACACUCUAGUUUCGAUAUACAUGUGUCAGCAGACAUGACAGCUUGUCCAUGGAAGUUGAACCACAGUGACCAUCACGUUUCUUGUUUCUACCACUGCCACACCCACACGCGAUUCCCACGACGCCGCUCCAACCCACGGCACGAUGUCCCCAGACGUGGACAUGGAUCCUCUAACGUGGCUAUCACUGCCUUGCCCUGCCUUUCUUCGCUGACAGGUGGGACCCACGCUUAUGGGUCCCACAUGUCAGUGACAGAAUGGUAGGAUUGUUCGCGUCAGGGGAUCCUCAUCCCCCCUGACGUGCCCCUCGUCCCUCUCGGCCCCACCGCUCCUUUGCCUUUGUGUGCAUGACAUGCGGGCCAGCUGAACUGCGGCGACCAUCAACUUUCUACCACAGACACACCCGAUUGGACGCGGUUUGCCUGCUCCGCUGCUGUGCUCCGAUCCGUACUCCCGCACCAUCGAAUUUUCAUCCAGCGGCUGUGACACAUUUUGUCCCGGGCAUCAAUCCUCAGCUGGAGUACUUAUGUACUACAGGUAGUACCCGCCGGUGUGGCCAUCUACACCUCGUAACGCCCCGACGCCCAGCUGUGGCACCCUCGCCACGGCCACGCCACCACCGGCCAGUUCAUCUCGAACGAGUGAGUCGCGAACCACGCCACCACCAUGAGAAUGACAUGUGGGCCAGCCGCAUUUAAGGUCCGCAUGUCAUUGACUCAUAGGCCGGGCACUAAGCCACUGAAGUUCGGUCCCGUGGGCCCCGAGAGGGAAAUGUAACUCCUGCCGCAGGCCUUGUGGUGCUCCCACAGUACGAGCUCGUGCCAGAACUGGAAUUUGUUUCUUACUACUACCAACUAGUACUAGUAAGGUACACGUGCAUUGCACGCAUGAGAUUCUGGUGGUUUGUGCAUUAUGCUUCUACAUGUGGAGCUUUCUGGAUUCUAACAUGUGGCAAAAUCUGGUGGAAUGUAAGGUUAGGCAAGUUUGAUUAACUUAGGUGAGUGUUUGGUUCAAGCCACACCUUAGGCAAGCCACACUAAGGCCCCACAUGACAUACACACAAAAAAUGUGGCAAGAUUCCCUUAGGCUUGCCAACUUGUGGCUCUCAUUUUGAAGAACUAAUAACUUUGCCUAAGCUUAGUUGUGGCAAAGUUAGUCAUGAAUUAAGUUCAACCAUGGAGUCUUCUAGAUUAUACAUGUGGUAGAAUCUGGUGGAUGAUAUCCAACGGCCAGUAGUGCUUGGAUUUGCCAUCUUUGUACCGUCGGAUUGGCUUCAUCCAAUGACCAACUUUCAAAGUUUUUCACACACUAUAUAGGGGGUAUAGAUAUAGAUGUGCCGGUCCGCUGCAAUGGAUCCAAAGAAUAUCUAUUUAGUGGAGUGCACUCUAAACACAUUAUCUAUUUAUUUUUCUCUAACCUUCCGUAGCCAUGCAACCAAGCCACAUAAGCUUCAUGGGUGCCCCCCACAUCAUAUUAUUCAUACUACGUUGAUUGAAAAAAAGAUAAAUCACCCAAAACAAGAUCUUCCCUUUUUUGUUCCUACGAUGUUGUGCCGUGCACGUACCUACUAGUUGUAUAGUGGUAGUACUAGUAAUAUAGUAUUAGGAGUACAAACCUGGUACUAGUAGGAGUAGUACUAGUACGAAAUGCUCCUACUCUAUCAACGAGCCCCGUCUGAAACCAAAUUUCUUGGCUUCCGUGCUACAACUAGACCUUCCCCUCGUUUCUGUUUUCCAACCCGGCGGCGGGUGGGGUGUCGGUUUCCUCAACGGCGGUCCCACAUGAAAGUGAAAAUGCUAGGCAACAUGCCUUCCCUAAGCUAUGUGUCGUGCCGGACGGGCCGUGUUGUACUCCCGAUUCCCGGGCGUGUGGGGGUGCGAUGCGAACGCGGCAGGCCUUUUCCUUUUACCAGCAAUGUGCCCGUGCAUUGCGACGGAUCCAAAGUAGUAGAAUAGUAGUAUUUGUUCACAAACUUGAAAGAAAUCACUAUUGUUUUGAUAUACUCCUAAUAUAUUACUCCCUCCAUACCUAAAUAUUUGUCUUCUUUGAGAUUUCAAAUGGACUAUCACAUACGAAUUAUAUAGACAUAUUCUAGUGUUUCUAGCAAGAUGCCUGCGCGUUGCACGAAGUUGAUGGAAAAGGUAAGCACAACUUAUAAAUUGACGGAUGGAGUACUAGUUACAGUGAUGCAUAUAAUUAAGCAAAGGCAUCGCACAUGUCGGUAUUGACUGGAACGAGAAUGCAACAGCACAAUAAGAAUUAAGGCCACGAUGAUGCGAUCGCAGAGGUGGUUACAGAAGGCAAGAAGAAAGAUGGAUCCACGAACGUACGACCUCCUCCUCCUCAACUUAAUGCGCCGGGCCACCGACCGGUGGCUAAGGAGCGGGGGCUUUUGUGGCGAGCUCGAGGUGCUUCUCAGCAAAGGCAUCCAAGGCUUCCAGCCGGUUGAGGAAGGCCAAUGUCGUAGCGUCCUCACUGUCCUUGUAGAUACCUAUGUACACAAUUUUCUCAUACACGUGGAUGUGUAGGUCGAUGAAUUCUUGCAGGGCGAGGCGCCUCGCGGCGAGCGCGACCUCCAGGUGGACAUUCUUUGUGGCGUCGGCGGGCAGUCACAGGGCCACCAGUGCUUGAAAGAGGUUCCGGCCAUGGAGGCCGAUUAGGGUGGCAGGCAAUGAGGAGCCCGGGCGUGCGGGCUGGAGGAGUACGGCGAUGUCGUCCGCGAGCUUCUUGAGGAUGGUGAACUUGUUGCUGGUGGCAACGAUCAUCUGGUCCAACUGAGAGUGGUAGUUGGCGUCGACGGCGGCCAUCCACCAGCCGGUCUCCAACACCGUCUGGAGAUGAUCCUCGGCGCCAUGCCGCAGGCCGGCGUCGUGGACCAUCUGGCGCAGCCGCUGGCCGCUCACGCGCAUCGCUGCCAUGGGUCUGGAGUGAGCUCUUUUGCGCUUAGUGUAGGUGCUUAGGCAAAUGCUUAGGUGCGUACGAUGUGGUAGAUGCAUUGGAAUGGAGGGGCGCCUUUAUAUGAGGGCAAACUGCGUUGCAUUCACAUCGUGCAGCCUCUUUUCCCGGACCUCCUCCCAUUACUUCCCUCAUGCAUUAAUUGAAGGAGGAUGCAUUGGCCGUUCAACAUAUCGGGAACCGCUAGUCCCUCCCUCGUCUGCAUUAAAGCCGUAUCGGGAACUGCGCCGCCCGCUGUCAAAUCGAAUACUCCCUCCGUCUAGGUGAGUAUUAAGUCAUCUUACGAAAACCAAAUAGUAAGCACAUAGGCGUGGUGCAUUAACUCUCAUGUUGUUUCUUAUUUUUUGACAUAAAUAGAGGAAUCAACCAAGAAGAGAUGUGGGGCUUGUAUGCUUUUAAUGACUUGAGACUAUCAAACAUGACAUGCAGUGGUCAGUUCGUUGCACAAGAACAAAUACAACCCACGUUAGCACACACGCAUCUUAUAUAGCAUCACAUCCAAUGGCUAUAAAAGAUGAAUGAGACCAAAUUAUAUUUCAUCUAGAUGAGUUCUAGCAAAACUGUAUUAAUAAUACUUAGUACUCCUACGCCAUGUAUCAUAUAUUAGUAUCAUGUAGUACUUUAUUUAUUGCCAUGUAUGACACAUAGUACUCAACUCUCUCUCUUUCUUCAUUUAAUUCUAUGACACCUCAUCAAAAUUGCUAAGGCUAGUACCAUUACAACCAGCCUUAGCAAAUACUAAACAUUAAGUUCUCUCGUUUUCCUCUCCACCUUGGUCACCUAGACGGAGGGAGUAUACUGCGCGGGCUUUUCCUGCGCGGUAGGCGGGGCAGUUCCGCCUAGUUGGUUCGACAGAGACGCGAGAAGACGAGGGAGUAGGCUGCUGCAAACGUAGGGCUGUGUGAUUUGACAGCGAGUUACUACUGGACAGGUGGGGCCCCGUUAUUUGAGUUGCCAUUAUCAUUUUAACUGCGGCGCUACGACCGGCGUGAGUCUCCCGAUUCCUGACCACCUCCAUACAUGUGCCUCUCCCAAUGCUCCACCAUGUAAUAGUGGCUGGCUCUUGCAUGAGAGCCCACUUCUCCACUUUUUCCUUGCCUCUCUUUCCUCCACAUAUGUAAACAUGCCAUGUAAAGCGCACUAUUGUACUUACUUGCUCCUACAUGUGCUUAAGCUUGCCACAUAGGCAUAAAGUCUGAUGUGGCAAGUUAAUCAAGAAGAGAGAGACUAGUUUGGUGACCUAAGGAAGAAACGGUGCUAAGCGCGUGUACCUAGGUGAAAAGACAAUUUUGAGUCUAUAGCUACUUAAAUGAAGCAAACUUAGCAACACCAUUUCAUUGGAAGAGGUCACUCCUUGGCAAAUGCAAUAAAUACUAGUACUCCCUGUGUCCCAUAAUAUAAGAACGUUUUUGGCACUACACUAGUGUCAAAAACGUUCUUAUAUUAUGGGACGGAGGGAGUACGAAGAAAGAGAUAGAGAGAAGUAAAAAAAUACACUUAUAGCCAACCUUAUAGCCAAUACCUUGUUGUGGUAUGAGUGACUAAGUGAUGACUAUGUAUGACAUGCCAACAUCAGAUAGCCUAACGCACCGUGUUAAAUCUCCAAGGGCGCGACCGCACGAGCGACGCGACGGUCGUGGUAGGCGCGACCACGAUACGGGCUGUUGGUAGCCCUUGGAUCUGAGAUCAAACGGUCGCUUGCUAAGUUGCUGAAAAUUUGCAGAAUAACCCUCCGGGAUAGGAUAUUCACCCAUAGGUCUAGAAUCACGCCAUGCAACCGUUCGAUCUCAGAUCCAAGGGCUCUCGGAAGCCUGUAUCAUGGGAGAAUGGAAAGCCACUACCCUGCCGUUCGCACGCUGGCAGUUCGCUCCUACUCGUCCCCGCACGUCCUUCAAUAUUACGGCGGUUCGCUCCUAGUCGUCCCAUCCAUUCACAUUACGGCAGUUCCACUAAUCCUAACCCACCUCCCAAAUCCAUGGCGUCCCAAAUCUCCCCGAUCGGCGAUGAGUACAAGGUUAGAACCAUCACCGGCGAUGAGUUCGACGUCAUCUACACCCGUUCUUCCACGACGGUGGAAGGAUGCCUUUCUCGCUUCAGACGCAUGUUUGAAGACUCAGAUGAUGAGUGGGUCACUGGGCUAGAUGUUGAGUACACCACAGUCCUGGGACGAGAGAAGGAUCUAAAGGACGAAGAGAGGAAGAAGCCCGCCGUGAUCUAGGUUUGUGUGCAUGACUUAUGCUUGGUCUACCACAUAUGCCAUGCCGACGUUGAGUGCCAGGAUUUUAAGGACUUCCUCGAGAGCAACCUAGUCAAAUUCGUUACUGUAGACUUUGGUAACGACAAAGAAGUCCUGCGUCGGAUAGGCCUCGUUGUAGGCAACAACUUCGACCCCCAGAAGAAUCGGCUGGUGUCCUCUCGUCAGCCUUCAAUGCUGACCCUGGCAGGAACCAUGGUUCAUCCUUCGUACGGUAAACUGGAGAAACCUCCAUACACGUUUCAUCGUCAUGCAUGGCAGCGGAAUGUACUAGAUAUAGACCACAUCCACUACGCUGCAAUGGAUGGCUACCUUUGCUUCAAUAUCUACAAGGGUUGGAUGAAGAGCAACAGCCAAGUGUGCGGUUCAAGCAAAGAAGUAUCAGCCAAGAGGAAGAGGGACAAGGACGAAGUCGAGGACGUGGACGAGGACUCCGAGUAAGGUGGCAGUGUCGUUGCUCAUGGUGGUUCUAGUGCAGUGUCUACCGGAAUAGUAGCAAAGUUUAAUUUUAGGUGUGCUUAAUUUAAUUUGAGGGGUGUGUUGUGCUGAGCCCCCAGCAGAACUAUGUUAUGUUUCUUCUUGUUACUUUAACUCUUCAGUACGUACAUACUAGUAUUUCUUACAUUUCAUCUUUUAGUUGGUAUAGUACUACCACUCGUUUCUUCACAUUAUAUACGUACAAUAUAUAUGGUCAACAUCAUAUAGCCAGCAGUUUAGUUGUCAAAGAAUUUCAGGGUGCUUAGUUUUGUCAAAGAAUUCCAGGGUGCUUAGUUUUAUUUGAGGGGUGGGUUGUGCACUUGUGAUGGACACCAUUAUUGUGACAAGCCUUUUUAAUAGUACUAUAUGCAUAAUUUGGCGAUGAGCGCUCUCUAUAUGUACCACCUUUUUUUAAUUUCAAAUUUUGCUCCAUGGUGCAAUCCAUCGAUACUACUACUGUACAAAAGUGGAGUAUAUACAUUUUUUAAAAGGCUAGAGGGCGGGGCAGUCUAGCUCAGUCGGUUUCACGAGAGGCGAGGGUCUUUGUGAUUUGACGGCUCAUUAAUGCUGUCAAAUCGAAUAGUACUGCGCCGCCCGCUGCACGCCCGGCGCCUCCAUUAAACCCCUCCGUUAAACCGGCAUCCAAACCGAGAAUCCUACUCCUGCCACACGUCUGUUCAUGAGCGGGCCGGAAUUAAACGCAACACCGGCCGAGCUCCUCCCGUCCGCCCUCAGUUUAAACGAGGCCAGACGCCGGCCAAGCUCCUACCGUCUGCCCUCUAUUUACAUGAGGCCAGACAGACAAUGGGCAAGAAUCGCACCCCUCCGCCGCUCCCCCAUCUUCUCCUUCACCAUUUUCUCCACUCUUCCGAUGGCUUUCGAUGAGCCGUUCUCCGGCAUAUUACCCAGCUGGGUGGCCCGCCGAGCCCUCCGGAUACGGGCGAGGCCGCUCGGUGCUUCACCAACCUCGCUUGGCCCGACGGAGCCAGUUGCCGCCCCAAGCAGGCGCGUGGUUCAGCAACUCGCCGCUCCAGUUCAGCUCGAUGAGGAGUGGUGAGUUGCUCCACGCCGGCACGACGGCUAGCACGCCGGUACGGGCACCGUCGCUGCCGUGUCGUACCGCGCCACCAGUGUCAGCGGUGGCCGCUCCUCCCGUGUCUGUGGGCGCGUCUCCCAUGCCUGCGGCAGAGCCAUGCAGGCAGAGACAGAAGCCGGGUGCAUGGAGAGCGACGAGUCGGUGGCCAGCUUCUCCGUGUAAACCGCCAUCAUCGAGGAGAAGUAGAACACGGGAGGCCGCCGCCACUUGGGACCCUUGAAGGCCACCGCCGAGGCGACGACCGCGGAUUCGGGUGGUUUCUUUGCUGCUUCGUCUCUUCCGAGGACCUUCGUCGACCCCGCAAGUGUCUGACGGACAAGAGGAAGACAAAGGGAUCUGUGGGCGGCCAUUUAGAACUAAAAUAAGUCUAGAUACAUCCAUUUCUAGGACAAGUAUUUCCGGACGGAGGGAGUAUUAAUUAUACAAGAGAGCCGGAUUGGCACCUCUUAGUUCAUCUAAAUGUAAUGAAAUCCAUCAUGUUUAUAUGAAGAUCCGGCUUUUUUAUACGAAAUCCUUCAUGCUUAUAUGAAAUCAGUCCGUGUUUGCACGAAUUUCAUCUGAUUGGUUAGAGUUGUAAAAAUGUAUGCCGCUGGCGUUUGAUGUCGUCCUCCGCUUAAGGAAGCGGGAGGAAAUUUGCCGGCUGCCGUUGGAGAUGCUCUUUAUGCUGGAAAUAAUAGAGUGACAUCCAAUUCAUUUGAGUUAAUUGCCUGUAUGAUUGUCCCUCUAUAAAAAGUUAAUUGCAUGUACAGUGUACACGUGACUUGCAGGAUGGCUACAGCUUCGUACAGAAAGUUAAAAAGAAACAAGUCCAUCCUUAAUCUUGUAUUCUAAGUACUCUGUGGGUUCCACUGUCAGUACAGUAGCGAAAGAAGUAUAUAUUAAAUAAGUAGAGUAAUAUAUAAUAUAAAAAUAUAAAGUUAAAAGACAGAAUUCAAACUCAUGUCAUCGCGUUGCGAGCAUCCGGCGCUAACCAGCCCAGCACAUUUUUGUUGUAGACCAUGCUGGAGAUAUAUCUCCAUGUCUACUCUUAUAUAUACUCAAUUCGUUCCUAAAUAUUUGUCUUUUUCAGAUUUCAAAUGGACUACCACAUACGGAUGUGUAUGUAGACAUAUUUUAGAGUGUAGAUUCACUCAUUUUGCUCCGUAUGUCUUUUCAGGAAGGGGUCAGAUUUGUCCUUGAUUUAUUUAUGAGGUAUCCAGAUUGCACUGCACCGCCAAGAAAAGAGGGUAACAUCAAAAUUAUGGACUACUUUUUUGAGUAUGUUGGUAAGGUCCGGUCAUGGUCACUUGUUGAAAUCUCUAAAAAGACAAAUACUCCCUCCGUCCGGAAAUACUUGUCAUCAAAAUGGAUAAAAGGAAAUGUAUCUAGACGUAUUUUAGUUUUAGAUACAUCUCUUUUUAUCCAUUUUGAUGACAAGUAUUUUCGGACGGAGGGAGUAGAAAACCGAGUUGGUGAUGAUGGUGUGCGUGCCAUCCUGCAAUAUAGGCCGUCGGAUUUAUAUCUAACGGAUAGGAAAGAAACUAUGGCAAUUUUGCAAAAAUAUACCCACACGUCUCUCCACGUUCGCAAAUAAGGCCUUCCCUCGUUCAACCUUUUCUCUCACAAGAUAAACUACUCAUACAAAUGCAUCUUGAUGUUCCGUGCAACGCACGGGCAGCUAGCUAAUUUCUUUUAAAAUAGUUGCUGCGAUAAUUGGGUUGAAGUGAUAUAUUUUAUGUCUGCCCCGAAUGAUUUCAGAUUCACUAGUAGUAACAAAGAAAAGGUUGCCUUGUUAAUUAACAGAAAACAGGGUGAAAACUAUCACAUGAGGCCGGUAAAAACAAGGCACACUGGGUUCAGCGUCAUCGGCACUACAGCUGUGCGCGCGUGAGAAGUCUACAUAUCGAGGGGGCUACCGAGCGAGGCACCGAGACACAAUGUUUGAGAGAGAAACCAAUUGACAGAUUAUGAUUAGAUCGAGUUGUCACCCUUCUGCUGUCAUUGUUGGGGGGGAGGGAGAGAAAGACGUAUCGAGAGUGUGCGCGGUAGGCACAGAGGCACAACUAGCGAGUGUGUGUGUGUGUGUGUUUGAAAGAGGAGUAGAUAGAUUAUUAUCAAGAUCGAUGUGCCACCCUACUCCUUCGGUGCCGGGUAGUGUGUGUGUGUGUAUGUUUGAGAGAGAAGCCAGUCGAUAGAUUAGUAUCAAGAUUGAGGUGUCACCCUACUCCUUCGGUGUUGGGAAGUGUGGGUGUGUGGGGGGGGGCAGUGACACUCACAUAUCUCUACUCUUAUAAAAAAAGAGUUGGUGAUGAUGGUGUUCCUGCCAUCCUGCAAUAUAGGCCAUCCGAUUUAUAUCCGACGGACAGGAAGGAAACUAUGGCAAUUUUGCAAAAAGAUACCCACACCCCUCUCCGCAUUUGCAAAUAAGGCAUUCCCUCGUUCAUCCUUUUCUCCCACAAGAUAAACUUCUCAUACAAAUGCAUCUUGAUGUUCCGUGCAACACAUGGGCAUCUUGCUAGUAGGGAGAAGGAGUUUGUGUGACACAUAUCUAGCUAUAUUAAGGGAUAGGUAGAUAGCAUAUGUGUGAGAGACAUUAUUAUACUUUGAGACAUUAGUGGCUGUGGGUGGGCGGAAUUAAAGGGGUGGGCGUGUUAGACAUAGAGAGCGUGUGUGUUUCUAUGUGAGAGACUUGUAGGACAGGGUAGAAAGACGAAUUUAACCCUGACGGAGGGAGAGAAAUACACGAAGUGCGCGUCUGUGAUUCCGAUGCCCACAGGGAAAUGAGAUAUGUAUGCGUGUGAGAGAGAUUGCACAACUCAUUCACGUAUCACUAUCUAGCGAUCGUGGACGUGCAUCGCUUGAACAUAAGUCAAUAUCUACUUCGUAUCGUGGCCAAAGGUACAAUAUCGAUUCAACGCUAUAAAGAUUGGACACUCAAAUAUCACAUUUUUUCUAUUUAAAUAAACCUUUUCAGUUGUGCAUGCCAAAGUUACAGUGAUGUUUCUUCAAACAACCAAUGUAGCUAUCAUGUAUAUGCACCAUUGUUACUCUUGCAUUCAAAUUCAUUAGUCUUGGAUGAUUUAAGUUUCUAUUUUGAAGUAAUAUAUGUAAUAUUCAUAUAUGAAUUCAACGGGUACGCAAUUUAUGAAAUGGAGGCUAUGUAAUCAUAUGAGGUAACACUUUUAAGUAGCUAACUACAAUAUCCAUUUCUUUUUGUGCGCCUCUACACUAACACGUCAAUGCAUUAUGUUUAAAGUAAAUAACCAAUGGCACUAAAUUAUCUAUUUACACGAGAAAUACAUAGGCUGAGCGUUUGAUCCCUUUUUUGUGAACGCGCCACUACACCCGUACGAUUGACCGCGCCUGUGUGAACGUCCAAGUUAUCGGCGCAUCAUCCCGAGUUAUUGUCUUUUUUUCUGGGGUGGACUUCACACUAGUUAUUAACUGCUGACGCAUGCCCCGUGUACACAGUCUAGCAUGACCUUCCCGCUAGCACGGUCCAAAAUUAGUUGAAACUGGAUACGAACGAUCCCGCGGGCGGCAAAAUCUCCCGCCUCCUUCUAAAAUUUCCGCCACCUUAGUCUUUAGCAUGCGAAAUCCCUCUUUUGUCCUUGGUGCACGGAGACCAACAGUUACAAUACCGCCCUCAUCUACAUGAUAGGUCAGGGCUGCUUUGGUAACUUCCGGUUCCCCCACUACACGGCACCCCCAUUUCCUCUCCCCCUCCCGCAAAAACGACUAACUCCACAGCACCAGAGCAUCUUACAUCACGCCGUCCGUACUUCAUCGCCCUUUCUCCCCUCCCCUCUCGAAACCCUAGACUGCUCAUCCACCGGCAUACCAUAGCCCAUUCACUGCCAGCGGCAUCCAACUCGCCGGAUCUGCUUCUGCGGCCGCAUCUACCCCUCCCACCUCCCCUAGAAACAAGUAGACUGCUCAUCCACCACUGUACCACAGCCCAUUUAGUGCCGGCCUUGUCCACGGCGCCGGAUCUGCUUCGCCGGUACUCUCAUCAACCGCCGCGCAUCUGCAGCGGCUCAUUCGUACUCCCCACCGGAGACGCUUCGUCCACACCCCCCGGAGCCGCCCCACCGACGCCCCCAUCGACGGCCUCUGAUCCUCUUCGCCGACACCUUCCUCAACCCUACCGGAGCCGCUUCGCCGACACCAUCGUCAACCCUACCGGAGUAGCUUCGCCUAUACCAUUCUCAACCCUGCCGGGGCCGCUUUGCCAACUCACAAGUCCACGGCCUCAGAUCCGCUUCCUCGCACCCUCAUCCAACCUACCGGAGCAGCUUCUGACGCCCCGUCCACGGCCGUAGAUCCGCAUCGUCGACACCACCCUUAACCCAACCACCGGAGCAGCUUCUGAUGCCCCGUCCACGGCCGCAGAUCUGCAUCAUCGACACCAUCNNNNNNNNNNNNNNNNNNNNNNNNNNNNNNNNNNNNNNNNNNNNNNNNNNNNNNNNNNNNNNNNNNNNNNNNNNNNNNNNNNNNNNNNNNNNNNNNNNNNNNNNNNNCCACGGCCGCAGAUCCGCAUGGUCGACACCAUCCUUAACCCAACCACCGGAGCAGCUUCACCUACGCCCUCGUCCACGGCCACAGAUAAACUUCGCCCACACCGUAGUCCACCCUACCGGAGCCGCUCCACAAACACCCUACUCGACGGUUCUAGAUCUCCUUACCGGACCCCGACAGCCAGCGCAGCGUCAUCACCCUCGACAUUUCUAACCUGAUUCCCACCGUCUGGAGAGAUGCCAAGCACCCACCAUGGCCUAGGUACUUGUCACCUUUAAACCCGUCCAGCAUCACCUGCCCGAUGUACUUCAAAUAUACUAACCGGUCGCUGUUACCUGUUAUGCAGCUGGCAAAAACUACAAGGACAAUGUUUCUUCUGGAUCUAACAGCUUGGCCAACCAAGAUCCUGGACUGAGGCAUUGCUAUGAUCUUGUAAGCGCGUCUCUCUCUCUUGUAUUGUUCUGUGCCUGCCAGCGUGCUUUGCUAGGAUUUUCGACCAGUAAUCCCUUUGUGCAGACAAUGAUUUCUACUACUGGCUGCUAAAUUAGAUAUGUAGAUGUCAUACAUGAUACUACCUCGUACCUCCGUUCCUAAAUAUAAAUCUUUCUAGAGAUUCCACUAUAGGCUACAUACGGAGCAAAAUGAGUGAAUCUACACUCGAAAAUGCAUCUAUAUACAUCUGUAUGUGGUCCAUACUGGAAUCUCUACAAAGACAUAUAUUUAGGAACAGGGGCAGUACAUUACACAAAAUCGUAGGUGGCAUGUAGGAAUUCCAGUGCACUACAUUAGGCUCCCUUAGAGUGCCUGCUAGUCCAGCAUACAGAGUCAUGGCUAGUUUAUGGUACGCACACAAUCGUUAAUUGGUGGUUUAAAUAUGCGCAAGGGAUAUGCAAUGUAGUAUCAUGUAGAGAUGUCUGAAAUUAGCCGUGUCAACUUGUAGAUAGGGUUACACAAUGAAAAAGUACAAGAUGUAUGUGGCAAUUUCAUGGAACGUCGCAAAAAAAGGAGAGGCAGCGGUGAGCCUAUACAGUGUGCUAUGGUACGUCACUCCUCCAUUGCAAUCAUCGUGACAUGUUAUUUGUAUGCCAGUUCUAUUAGCCAAGUUUCUUAGGGACAGUUAUUACGAGUUAUCCUAAGAAAAUAAGCACCUGUGAAUAUAAGCUCCAUGUAAUAAGCCAACCAGUUCUUUUCAUUGCGUUUUCAGCUUAUCUUUGGUAUGAUCAGUGGAAAGUCUAGAUUGCAUUAUAUUUUUUCAUUUUUCUGCCCAUAUGGAAAUUAAUUUGACUUGCAAACAUCACAAAUUGAACCCAGUGCAAUAAUUAAUAUGAUAGGAAAAUAGACCAUCAGUAUUUUCUCAAAAUGCAAAUACAAAGAUACCAUCUACUUGGCACAAUCUACUUUGGUCAAUGUUUUCCAUAGAGAUCCCAUUGCCUAAUUUAAACGAAGAACGCAUGACCCACAUUUAAAUGAAGAACAAUUAUUUAUUGAAAUUCGAUGGUCCAAGUGGCUGGUUAUUAUCGUAUAGCAGCACCACUUGAAAGCAUCAUAUAGCAGCAACAGCAGCUCAUAGCAACUCAUCAUACAACAGUAGCAGUCUGCAAUUCAUCAUAUACCAGCAGCAGCUCAUAGCAAUUCAUCAUAUAGCAGCAGCAGGAGUAGCUCAUAGCAAUUCAUCAUAUAGCAGCAGCAGGAGCAGCUUGUAGCAACUCAUCAUAUAGCAGCAGCAGCAACUCAUAGCAAUUCAUCAUAUAGCAGCAGCAGCUCAUAGCAACUCAUCAUACAGCAGCAACAGCACAUAGCAAUUCAUCAUAUAGCAGCAGCAGGAGCAGCUCAUAUCAAUGCAUCAUAUAGCAGCAGCAGAAGGAGCUCAUAGCAAUUCAUCGUAUAGUGGAUCAGAAUGAAAAUUUGGCAAAAAAUCAGAGGAGAUCCUCACCUUGUUGGAUGAGCUCAUCCUUCAACAGCACCUCAAGGCCAUGGCCUGGGAGGAGGGGAGGGGGAAUAAGGUGCCUUCUGCCGCAGUGUGGCAUCAACCGUAGUUGUGCAGCGCCCGCCGGAGUAGUGCGUUGGACGAACCACAAUGGAGCAGCUGCUGGAGACCAUGAGAAUGAGGGGCGGCGCCAGAGGGAGGAGCAGCCAGGGAGAUUUGCCCCUACCCGCCGGCCAUGUAGCCUAGCUGGACAUAGCAUCGUCGAGGACCAGGCCAGAUGGGACCAGUGGCGACGGCUCGCUGGAGGAACCCUAGUGCUGCAGGCAGGGGAUCGAGGUGAAGGGAAAGGGAAGAGGAGAUGCAAGCGGGCAGGGCAGUGAAUGCUUGUGUGUUUGUUUUCACUUGAGGGUCGGGUGUGACACGGGUGUCAGCAGUUGCAUUUUGAGUGUAAUAUAGGCAGACAACAGAUUCAUUUCACUAUUCCCCUUCCCUUCAAUUUUUAGUGAGGUUCUACCCGAAACACCCCCCUCCAAAGCGAAAUUAGUUAAGCCCAAGCCCAUAACUCAAAAAUGACUUCUUUACAUCUUUUAUGGCUUAUUUUGACAAUAUGCCCUGAAAAGGCGGAAUCGAACUGGCCCUUAACCUGCAAUUCAAUUACGCGUGCAAUGAUGAAUCACUCCUGCCUGCUAUCUUUACAUUUAGGCAUCAUCAUACAUGGCAUAACCUAAUACAUGUGCAUUCCAUUGUAGAAUCUGGAAUAUGCAAUGUUUAUGUUAGUUCAUACGUUGCACAUGAUGUUUAAAUGCCCCUUAAAUCUGGUCAGUCAAGUGAUGGUCUUUAAGCCUCCUUCUUUGCUUCUUUUCUUGAUAUGUAAGAUUUGCUCACACAUCUGUUCAAUUGCUUGUUUGCAUCAACCAACCAUACUAGGACUGUUUGCUUUGAUUACUUGCUGUUCUUGACCUAACACUCUAACAGAGCUUGUCAACAAUUUAAACACUAAGGGCAGCUGUAGUGGGGCCUUGUCUAACUCAUAGGUGACAUAAAGGUUUGGCUGUACACUACAGUAGGCUCUCCAAGAGUACCUGGAGUUCCAGUUCGAAGGUAUGCCUAGUUUUUACAUAGUGCAGACAUAGUAAAUGCUCAUUUCAUUGUGUGCAAGUGCAAGAGAUGCGGCAUGUUUCAUUAUGUGGUGUUCUUUUGUUAUAAUCUCAUCCUUUUGUGUUCACAGACUGGAAAGUAUGCAUAUUUAUCUUCCAAGGAGACGAGUAACUAGUUUGUGUCACCUUGCAGAGGGGUGCAAUGAAGAUAAGAUUGAGGAUUUCCAAGUACAAGAUGUUAGGAAGGAGCCUUGCAAGAGAAGUAGGAGCUGCGUUGAGCCUCUUCAACCUGCUAAGGUAAGUCACUGUAUGCAACUCAACAGUUCAAUUCCUUGUUUGUUUCAGGCAUAGUUAAUUUUCUCUUUUCAAUUGCUUUAUUUGUCCUCAGUUAAUGAGAUGCCCAAAUAAUCAUGCCUGAUGUUCGGUACUUGUAUCACUAUUAGUUGACAUAAUUAAAGGCCUUACCAUUUAAUUACUCUGCCGAAGUGUGCCUGAAGCUUUGAAGUCUAUUAACCAACUAUUAUUGCAUGAGGCUCACAAUCUAGUUUAUACUACGCUAAUAAUUGCAUAGUUUUGCCUGCUGUAGUAUGUUUGUAUGAAACCCUCUGCUGUUCAUUAUGCUCCCUAAGACUUUAAUUGAGGCACAGAAUGUCCAACUGCUUGCUUACUUAUACACAAUGUGCUGCCUAAAUUUGUAACUUGUCUAUGUUUUCGAUUGGGCCCCAACAUCAUGCUCCUCUGGUGAGCUAAGAGGGAUUUCUGUAUGCAGGCUGCACAGACUAUCUUUUUAUAAUUUUUAAAAUAUCACCUGCUUAUGCUUCAUGACGUGUAACAUUUUUUUGAAAGUGACGUGUAACAUUAUUGUUAGUCCUGUUUUGCCAUGUAGUACAAAAUAGUGUCUUGUUCGCUUCACUGUUGUAACUAUAUUUUUGCCCUAGUCAUGUGUACUUACAGAAACAUUUCAGGAUGAAGCGACAUCAACACAAAGAUCUGCGAGCAGUGCGGCAUGGCCGUUACCGAAUGAUUAUGGAUUGGAAUUGGAAUGUGCUGAUGUUCUCGAGCAUCAACUAGAGGUGGCAAGACAACAUGUACAUGAUUGUCAACGUAUAAUCAACAAGUUGAGACUGGACAUGCAGGUAUUAGAUGCCAGAGUCAAAAAAAUGAAACAAGACACUGAGGUAACCAUGAAGGAAUUGGAGAUUUGUAGACUAAAAUUUGUGCUAUCUGAAUCCGGCCAAUCCUAUUUUCGGAAGAGAUUAUAGUUCAAAUGGAGUUAAGUUGAUGCGCGUCCAUGAUGUAUGAGCUGUAUUUGCCCUAUGUAUGUAAUUUGCUGUUUGUGUAUGCUUUAUUAUCACCUAUGCCGAACCAUAAUGCCCAGUGGGUAUAAUCGGCUAUAAUUUCUUUAUUGUAUAGUGUAGGAUUAUUCUACCUUUCUAUGCCUUGAUGUCUUUGUUUUAUAGUGUAUGCUUUUUAGAGGUGAUAGUAUUGAGUAGAUAAUUCUUUGAAUAAGCUAUAUCGUUCAAACGGGGGCCAACUCGCCCGACCAUGGCCCUUCACGGGCCGUCGGAUCCAUGCGGAUCCAUGGGCCUUCUACGUCUCGUAGGAUCCAUGGGCCUUCUACGUCUCGUAGGAUCCAUGGGCCUUGUACGUCUCGUAGGAUCCAUGGGCCUUCUACGUCUCGUAGGAUCCAUGGGCCUUCUAUGUCUCGUAGGAUCCAUGGGCCGCCGACUCAUUUAUGGGUCUUGUAUGGGCCUUUAAUGGGCCGUAGAUGGGCCUUUAAUGGAAAUCGUACGUUUUAUGGGCUGACCAUAACGGGCCGUUAAUAGGCCGUAUUUGGUGAUGCUAUGAAAAUGGCCCAAUAGACUAACGGUCCACAAACGGGCCGACUGUAACAACGGGGGCCCACAAGCAGAAAAUCAUAGUAACGGGUCGUAAGUAACCGAAUGAUGCAAAUGAGCCCAAGAAUAAAUGGGCCCUCAGAAGGCCGAAAGUUAACUUGGGCUGGAAACGGCCCAACGGAAUAACGGGUCGUUAAUGGGUAUAAAGUGAUACACUGUUCAUUACGGGCCAGUUUCACCACGGGCCGUUAAUGGGUGUAAAGUAAUACACUGUUCAUUACGGGCCAGUUUCAGCACGGGCCGCUAAUGGGCCAAGAGUUACAAAGGGCCUCAUAUGGGCCGAAAGACAUCAUGGGCUAUACAUGGGCCAGAAGUGAAAACGGGCUGGAAUCAUAUUGGAUGGCCCAGAUGACGCUACUGGGCCUAAUUCGGAUAGGGCGUAACAGGCCUUGGGUUAGCGGGCUGUAAAUGGGCUAUAUGCGAAUAGGCCGUUAACAGGCUUUCCAUGGGCCGGCUUGCCAGCUUUUGACCAAGUCAAACGGGCUGGCCUUUUCACAGGAAUGGGCCACUGUUGGGCUGUGCCACGUGUCGACGUAUCAUAGGCGCCUUCUGUCCAGUGAGUGGAUGACAUCUAUCCCAACGAUGAGCCGACACGUGUUUCCUCUAGCCAAUGAUGAUUUUACACAUGGAAAAACCCCAUUGGUCGGGGCUAUUAACGGGUUAUCGGAUCCAAAACCCGACCGAUAGCUUAACCCGGUGGAUGCCACGUGUCGAUCACCCUUGACGAAAGUACUUCUGUGACGCGCGAUUUAUCGUCAUGGAAGUGGAUACUUCCGUGAUGAUAAUUUUGGUAAUGUCAUGGAACACUUCUACGACAGCACAGGUAUGACUAUCUUGAUUCUGUCAUAAAUUUGUCAUGGAUGUACAUGCAUGACAAAAAACGCGACCUACUGUGACAAACACGUAUCAUCACGGAAGUGUAUUUUUUUUGUAGUGAACCCAUCUCCCUGUUACCAAGCCCGGGACGUUAUAUAGUUUUAAUGCUAUGCUAUAGUAGAUGGGGUUUGGUAUGAGUGCACGAGAGUGGUGUGAAGAAGGAGGACUCUACGUCAAUAACAACAACUCCAUGAUGGAAUCUGCAAGGACUGCAUCUUCAAGGCCUCAAGACGACUCGAGACAAGAAUUCAAAACACACUACUGGGUGAAGGACGGUUGACGGGCACCCUGGAGCAACCAGUGGAUGGCCAGGAUGCAUGGAGAAGUGCCAUGACAUCUUGCGGAAAGCUUCACCCAGACUCAAAGAGACGGAAGAAUACUUCAUGCCCGGAAGCUUACCUGUGCAACCGCAAGUCACUAUGGGCUCUGGCUUGGUUGACCUUAGUUGUGACUCUGGCUGGGACGGUGCUAGCAGAUGUAGAACUAUGGUAGGAUUGGAUGAGCACCGGACAGUGGUCAGAGGAACUCUUCGGAUGACCAUGUUUCGGUCAUCUUGUUCUCGAACACCCUAAAGUGCGAGAACGUAAAAAGAGGGAUCGAAUCUUGCGGGUAAAGUGUACAAACCUCUGCAGAGGGUUAAAACCUAAUCGAUUAGCCGUGUUUCCGAUUACGGACAAUUUGAGCCUCUGGACUUGGAUCUAUAUCGGAACUCUCAACACCGGACUGAUAACUUAAUUGUGGGCAACUUAUGAUGAUUUGGGUUAUGAGACAUCGGUUGGCGGAACCAUGUCAGGUAUAGGUAUCUGCUUUGUAGUAGAGAUUUCUUGGACUAUCCUUUGUUGUAGGGAAAAUAAAAUUAGCUUUUAUGCAAAACAAAAACUCAGACACAGAGCCACAAAGUAAUAUUGCAUAUAGAAUAGUUAUAUCAUCUGCUUUCUCUUAUUGUGAUCUUGCUGGUACAUUCAAUGUACUGACCUACACGGCUGCAACGUCUCAUGUUGCAGAUACUUUUCUUCUGACGAGUAAGAGUACGGUACAGGGUUACAGUCUACACUCAGCCUGUCGAUGGCGUUGAUGGGACUCCACACCCGUUUGAUUGUUUCCGCUGAGAAUUAUGAGGUAUAUAAGUUUUACGUUAUUUAUACAUGUGAUUGCACUUUGAUAUAUACAUUGACGUAAUGUGUGUGCCAGCAUACCGAUCCAGGGAUGGCACAGAUACACAGAGACUUGACCAUCUGAGGUCGGGUCGCUACACCCCUCAGCCGGAACAAGAAGAGCCUGAACUAGAAGAGGUUACUGCUGCGGAUGACCUGUCAAUGCUUGACAGAUUACGUAGAGGUGGCCUUUCACAUGAUAAUGAUGCAUUUAUUAAUGAUGAUGAUGAGCACGUCAUUACUGAUAGUGAUGAUGAUGAUGCAUUUAUUGAUCCCGAAGCAUUUACUGAACCAGAUUAUGACUAGGUAUUCAAUUUUUUAUGUUGUACUUGAUUUAUAUAGUUACUUGUAUGAUUGUAUGAUUUAUAUAGUUACUUGUAUAUUUUUCUUACUUUUUAUUAUUGUUUCUUAUACAUAGUGCCAUGGUCUUGAUGUUCGUCCCCGUCGGCCCUCGUCCGCUUUAUGAUUAAGAUGUGGUAAAUUCUCUUUCAUAACUAUUUGUUGCAUUUCUCAUUUAUGACAAUUAUGGCCAUCAAGUUGACAUAGAGCAUUUUCUUUUUCAACUAAAUUUAACUUCUCGACAAGAGGGUCGGUUUCAAAUUCUGGUUCACAUACCUCCUAGAUGAGAAGAUGACAUUGGAGUUGUAUGUUGCCGAUGUCGUCGAUGAUCACAAGAUGAAGAUGAAUGCAAUGCGCUUGAAGAUGGAUGGAAUGCGCCUGAAGCUUAAGAAGACUAGAAAAUAUGCCAUUGAUAAUGAGGCUUGGUAUCAUUAUGUGACGCCCCAGGACCGACGCUCCAGACGCCUUCCAUGUUUUCCGGGUUUCUCGUGUGAUUUGUUUUGUUUGUCGCAUUUAUCAUUGCAUCAUGUCAUUUUGCAACCGUUUUAAAACUCAAAUAAAUUGCAUAGAUCGUUGAUCUAUUUAAAUCGAAGGAAUUCACAUGGUGACUUCUCUUUAUAACUUAUACUCCCAAUAUUAGGGAGCUAUUAUAAAAUAUUCCAUUGAUGUGGAAUUACCUUUGACACACUUGCAAUAAAUCCCAAUGCCUUUGUUAUCUCAAUUCUUGGUCUCCGACUUGUCCUCAUAUUCUUUUAUCGUUUUAUCGAGGCUCUUCCUAAAUGUUCAACAUUUUGGAAACUUCGGAUUCAUACUCCUUGUUCAAACCAGUUGAAUUAAAUUCAAAUGCAUUUGAAUUUAUAUCUUUCAAUCUUGCCAAUUCUAUUUUUCUAGAUCAAGCGCAUUUUUAUGAGCCCGGGAAAAUUAACCGCAUGCGCAAAUUCUUUCUCUAACCCUCUCUUUCUUUUUCUUUUCUCUAAUUCUUUUCUGCCAAUGAAAAUUAGGGAGAGAGAAGAGAGAGACCCCCAGCGCACCCCAGCCGGCCACUUGGGCCUCCUGUAGCCGCAGCCCAUUAGGCCCAGCCUUAGCCUCCUUCCGAAACCCUAGCACCCCUGGUUCGAUCCCCUUCAUCUCUCCCGAUCGAUCCCAUCUCCCUCUCCCUCUCGCUCCCUUGCCGCCGCCACUCAACCACGCGCCCACGCUCGAUCUCCUCACCCCCUCUGUGCCUCUGCGUCGCCCCACGCGCAAAGGAGUGGCGCCCCGUGCACGGCUUCAUUCUCGCCGCCGGCGACGACCAAGACUCCUCCCAAGCCGCCUCUCCUCCUGCUUCUCCUCGUUGCCAGCAACCCGCCUCGACCUCACCGCGGGCAGCAGCAGUUGCUGCUGCACCCUCUCGCUGACGCCGCGCCCGAACCUCCCCCGCGCCUCGCCUUCGACCUCGGCUUCCGCAUCCCAUGGCCACGAGCGCCACCAGCAGCAGUUCCAGGCCUGAGCCCCGUCGGCCUCCUCGCCGCCGUCGUGCCCCCUUCCAUCAGCAGCCGCGCCCUUGUCCCGUCCCCUCUGCCUCCUCCUCGUCGCCUGCAUCCACCGCCAGCCACCGCAGAACCAGGCUGCUGCGGCGCCAUCUCGCCUCCUCCUCACCUCACCAUGCGCCGGCACUGGUGACCUCCGCCUCCAGCCGUGCCGGCGAGCAAGCCGCUGCCGUCCGCCUCGUCGCAUUCCCCUUCGCCUUCGUCACCUCAAGUUCCAUGCUCGAGCCCUCUGCUCGACCAGGAGCUCGUCACCUCCAGCGCCUCUACAUGUCCAAGCCCCCUGCCCCGCCUCUGCUUUGUUCGAGCGGGGAGGAGGACGCGCCUCCGCUCGCCCGCAUCGACCAACGCCAAGUCCCUGCCGCCGGCCUCCUGUCUUGCUUCUUUUGGACCAGCAAGAACUCCGCCAAGAACCGUACGUAGACACAUCGUCUCCAGGAUUUUUCGCCAAGUACCUCUACGUGCGGACUUGCCAAGUACUUGACCCAGAUGCGCCAAGUUUGACUAUGAACGGCUGCAUGUCUGACCCCGUAUUCGAACCUCAAGCGCCAAGUUCCACUACCGUUGUCGUGCAUAGGACAAGGCCAAGUGUACGACUACGCCCGGCGAUGCGGCAAGUCCCUCCAUGAUGACCCGAACAUCUACAGAAAAAUGUGUACCACUAUCGUCGAGGACCGAUAGUACCACUACUUCCACUAUCGUCGCGAGAACGUCUACUUCCACUACAAACCCUACCCGCUCCGAAAAGGCACGCUUCAAAGGUAUAACCCCGAGACGAAAUUCGUGGAAUGAAUGCAUGAGUGAUGUGUAAGAUGCCCGUGGUUGCACCGUUUCUGAGUUGUCAUUGCACGUUACUCCUCGUUUGCCAUGCCACCGACAUGUGGGAACCCAGUGAUAGGGAUCACCCCACCAUCUCUAGCAUGUUCCGCACAUCCGCGCACUUGCUUCUUUUGCAUCGAUAUCUCAAUGAGUUGUCGGAACCGGGAUGUUGCCGUGGCACCAUUUCCGUUUCACCGCUGUGGCACCCUUUUCCUUCCGCCAUGGCGACAAAUGCCUCGUAACAUGCUGAUGUCAACAUUUUCAUAAAAUUGCUUAAAACUUGCAUAUGUCACUCGCAUCAUGAUAACAACAUUUAAAAUGUUUAAAAUUGUGUUUGCAUUUAAAUUGCUAUAUGCAUGUGGGGAUUUUUUGGAAUUGUUGUUUGUUAAUUCUGGCCUCAUUUAAACUUGCCUAAAUAGAUAGUUUUAUUAUGCUUCACCUCUUGCAUGUUUAACAACAUUUAAUAUUGUUGUGUACCUAAACGAGAGCGAACUAAAUAAUUCGAAUGUGGUGUUUCUUCAAUAUGCAACUCGUUGCAUAUUGUUUGUUGCACUUUGCCAUGCCAUGCCUCAUUUAAACCGGACAUGCAUCAUACUUGUUUGUGCAUCAUGCCAUUUUUAUGUGAUGGUUGUUUACCAUGUUGUUUGCUUCUUUCCAAUUUUCUUCUCUCGUUAGCUUCGGUUUCGUUCCAGAGUUGUGAGGAUUCAUUCGACUAUGUCCAUUUGUCUUCUUCAUGGACUCCUUCUUCUUCCUUGCGGGAUCUCAGGCAAGAUGACCAUUACCCUCGAAAUCACUUCUAUCUUUGCUUGCUAGUUGUUCGCUCUAUCGCUCUGUUUGCGCUACCUACCACCUGUUUAUCAUGCCUCCCAUAUUGCCAUGUCAAGCCUCUAACCAUCCUUUCCUAGCAAACCGUUGUUUGGCUAUGUUACCGCUUUUGCUCAGCCCCUCUUAUAGCGUUGCUAGUUGCAGGUGAAGAUGAAGUUGGUUCCAUGUUGGAACAUUGAUAUGUUGGGAUAUCACAAUAUCUCUUAUAUUAUUAAUGCAUCUAUAUACUUGGUAAAGGGUGGAAGGCUCGGCCUUAUGCCUGGUGUUUUGUUCCACUCUUGUCGCCCUAGUUUCCGUCAUAUCGGUAUUAUGUUCCCGGAUUUGCGUCCCUAACGUGGUUGGGUGAUUUAUGGGACACCCUUGACAGUUCGCCUUGAAUAAAACUCCUCCAGCAAGUCCCAACCUUGGUUUUACAUUUGCCUUACAACCUAUUUACCCUUCCCUUGGGUCGGCCAACCCGAGGGUCAUCUUUAUUUUAACCCCCCCCGGGCCAAUGCUUCUCUAAGUGUUGGUCCGAACUAGAGCACCGUGUGGGACCGUCCCUUGGCAACUUGGGUUACGUUGGUACCUGUACGCUUCGCUCAUCCGGUGUGCCCUGAGAACGAGAUAUGUGCAGCUCCUAUCGGGAUUUGUCGGCACAGUCGGUUGGUCUUGCUGGUCUUGUUUUACCAUUGUCGAAAUGUCUUGUAACCGGGAUUCCGAGCCUGAUCGGGUCUUCCCGGGAGAAGGAAUAUCCUUCGUUGACCGUGAGGGCUUGUGAUGGGCUAAGUUGGGACGCCCCUGUAGGGUAUAAACUUUCGAAAGCCGUGCCCGCGGUUAUGUGGCAGAUGGGAAUUUGUUAAUGUCCGAUUGUAGAGAACUUGAGACUUGACUUAAUUAAAAUACAUCAACCGCGUGUGUAGCCGUGAUGGUCUCUUCUCGCCAGAGUCCGGGAAGUGAACACGGUUCUUGUGUUAUGGUUGUGCGUAAGUAGUUUCAGGAUCACUUCUUGAUCACUUCUAGCUUCACGACCGUUGCGUUGCUUCUCUCCUCGCUCUUAUUUGCGUUUGUUAGCCACCAUAUUUGCUUAGUGCUUGCUGCAGCUCCACCUCAUUACCCCUUUCCUACCCAUCAGCUUAAAUAGUCUUGAUCUCGCGGGUGUGAGAUUGCUAAGUCCUCGUGACUCACAGAUUCUACCAAAACAGUUGUAGGCGCCGAUGAUACCAGUGCAGAUGAUGCAAUCGAGCUCAAGUGGGAGUUUGACGAGGACCUUGGUCGUUACUAUGUUUCGUUUCCUGAUGAUCAGUAGUGGUGCCCAGUUGGGACGAUCGGGGAUCUAGCAAUUGGGGUUGUCUUCUUCCAUUUUGGUUCCGUAGUCGGACCUUGAUUGUACUCUGAAAGAUGUAUGUUUAAUUUAUGUAUUGUGUGAAGUGGCGACUGUAAGCCAACUCUUUAUCCCAUUCUUGUUCAUUACAUGGGAUUGUGUAUGACCCUUCUUGCGACAAAACCACCAUGCGGUUAUGCCUCCAAGUCGUGCCUCGACACGUGGGAGAUAUAGCCGCAAAAUGGGCGUUACAAGCUGGUAAUCAGAGCCAUCCCUGACUUAGGAGCCCCCUGCUUGAUCGAACCGCUGGCGUUGUUGAGUCUAGAAAAAAAGUUUUGAGUCUUAGGAUUAUAUAUAUCGGAGAGUAGGAUUCUUUUUACUCCUCAGUCCCUUCGUUGCUCUGGUGAGGCCCCCUGACGUAGAAAUUUUGACUCUCCUCUCCUCAAAUUUCACUAAAAAAAAUUUAGGAUCAUGCGGGUUUCUUGGAAUCGUUCUGAUGGUUUUGUGACGAGAACAUUGUUCUUGGUGCCUCCUGACAUUUAGGGGUUGUGGCAGUGUCCCGGGGAGUUGAGCUCCGAGGUGUUGUCGUCACAAUUUUAUCGUUGCAGUUCUGGAAUACCUGAGUUUUGCCGACAUCGAAAAUCUCUUUUAUGCAGUUGUUGGUGAGAUCACCUCGACGCCACCUAGUACUGGGGCGGGAGUUCGGGAGUAUUGCCAUAACUCAUAUAACGGAUGCUUUUCGAAGGUUGAGGUAAAUGAUUUCUGAAGGUUUCUUGGUUAUGUGUUGAAGGAUGGAUACAGCUGGAUCUAGGUAUUGUUAGUUUGGGUGAGAUAUAUUGCUUCCCCUGUAUCCCCAACACCUGACUGCAUAACCAGAAAGUUUCGGGAGUUUAUAAGUGGGAAUUCAAGUAGCUCCUAGGAUAUCUUUCCGAUAGAUGCAUGAUAUGAGAUUGGGGUUCGACGUCUAGUGGUCCGCCUAUCCACGGUUGCUUUUACACUGGUCUCGUAGUGUUUUAAAGAGUCCUUGGCUAUGCUGACUCGGGGACGCUUCGUAUGUCAUGUGCACUGCCUUGUACAUGAUGGUGCUGUACAAUCGAGCCCGUGUGGGCGCCACCACGAAAACUUCGGACGAAAUCUCUAUCAUAUGUUUGUUCCGGCUUAUUCUGCAAGCCAAUCCUUUGUUUUGUUUUGAGUUGUGGUAUUCGAGUUGCUUCAAUGUCAAGUGUUGAUUCCAUACCUUUUCCAAGUGGUGUUCUCAUGUUUCUAUGGGAGUGUUAAUCCUUCUUGGUCAUCAAGAGUGCCAUCCCAAUUCUAUUUCUAACCGGUUCGCUUCUCUUCAAGAUGAUCUCACCAUUCUCCCCAUCUGCAAGAUCAAUUGUAAGUUCUCUCAAUGAUGUCUGUUUCAUUCAUCCCAAGGUGCCUUUGUUUUCCCGCCCUCCCACCCUUUUCUUCAAGGACUCAGAUUUCUUAAUCAAGUAUCCUUUUUGCUGAUGCGAAGUCUCUUCAUUCUUUUCUUUCAAAGUUCUUAUCCGGUGAUUUCCCAUGAAGAUACUAAUGAAGCUUCAAGUUUAUCAUUCUUUGUUCUCUUAUCUUCCUCGGUGGUUUCAAUGCAAGCUUUCGGUGUUGAUCAUAUCAUUUUUCCUUGUUUCAAAUGUUUUCCCAUGCCGGUGCACCUCUUAAUUUCUCACCUUUCUCUAUUCAUAUCCAGAGUGUCGAAGAUAUCACAGAAGAUUCGCAUUUCCAUUCCCAAUCCGUUCAAGCUAUCUCGAGGUUGUUAUCUCUUUUGAGCCAUUUAAUUCAACCGGCGCAAUCUUUCUUUUAAUCAUUCAACGGUGUAUCUUUUGAGUGGGCCCUAACCCACAGGUCUUUUCCCAGGAUCUUAUCUGACUUUUCUAAUUUUCAUCCCGGAGUAUCUCAACAAUUCAUGGUGGUUUCUCGUCAUCAUUCUCGGAUUUUGAAGACCGGAGAAGAGUUUCCCUUAAAUCUUGUCCAUUCUCUUGAAGAUUCAUGGUUCUAACUUGUUGCCAUCCUCUCAUAAUUGUUUUUGACUGCGAGAAUUCUUUUCACCCAUCCGGAGCAAUUCAGGAGUCUUUUCAGUUUGAUUCUUUGGAACUCAUCAUCUCAGAAUUACUCAUUCCAGCUUUCACCUCUCGUUCUCCAAAUCUUACCGGUGCAUCAUUCAAAUAUUCUCUAAUCAGCUCGUGAUCUAUUGGUUCACAUGUAUCUAAAUCCCCUCAAGUAUCUUCUUUCAUUUUCCAAUUUUUCCCGGUGUAUUGUGCUUUUGCCACUUUCAUUUUCAAUUCUUACGGCGGUUUGUUCAAGAUUCCUCUUCCUAUGUUCUCAUAUUAAUUUAUUCAUUGUUUUCAAUCCUACCGGUGGUUCGUUGAAGAUCUUCUCAAGUUUGCACCAUAUCUAUCUUAAUCCUUUCUACGAGAAUAAGUAGUAUGCCAAAUCCAUUGCUUGUCAUCAAUUUAAUUGGUGAAGGAUGAGCAUAAUGUAAUUCCUAUUCUUGUCUCAUCGAGUAAAUUCAAUUCCUUAUUCGGGAGGUUCAUCAAAAUUCUUGAUUUCAUUUGUUCAUGUUUCUUUCCGGAGUUCCAAGUUUUCUCGGUUAUAUCAUUUCAAAGCUUCAUCUUAUCACUGCAAGGCUUCACCUUGUGUUUUCAACUUCUCUUUCUUCCUAUCAUCCUUUUAUUACCGGAGUUCUUCAUGGAGGCUCUACAUGAUGGUUCGUCAAGGAUUCUUUUCAUUCUUCAAUUGCUCUUCAAGAUUUCAUUCUCGAAGUGUUCUCAAGAUCCUUGUUGGAAGAGCUCAAAUAUUCUUCUUCCUGCAUUCCAAAGUGCAAUUCGUUCUACCUUGUCAUUUGAGGUGGUGUUAUGUCAUUCUUGACAAUGUGAGUUCGCGUUUCAUGAUUGACAUGUUGUCAAGAAUGAGAUAUUUUAAAUCCACCAAUCUCUUCGUUGGAUUUAUCUUGUGUCAUGUUUCACCUAAAGCCUUCCCUAAGGAAUGUUGCUAUUAUGGUGCUUAUCAAUGAUCCAAGUUUUCUCCUAUCCUCUUGGUGAAAGAAGUUUUUCAUCGCCUUGGUGCUCUCACUCAAAUCAAUGGCUUCCUUUAGUGGUCGUUUGUCACCUCAUAAUGUUGAGAUGUUUCCAUAAGUCCACUACAAGCUUAUUCUUUUUGUUGUUGGUUUUCCAACAACUCCGUUCAAUCCUUCUUUUAAGGAGGCUCUUUCAAAUUCAAUUAUGAUAGAAGUUGUUGUUCUCUUCUCUGUUCUCUUGAUUCCACUCUUUCAUUUGUCCCGAAGGCAAUGUGAUGUUGCUCUCUUCGCUCAUCAUCUCGAAUUGUGAAGAUCAUGUUCUUUCCUUGCUUAUCCAUUUAACCGGUUUGUUGUGUUUUAUUUUCAAGUUCUUUUCAUCUUAUCAAGUCUUGCAUCUCUUUUCAACCGAAGUGUUGUUCGAAUUUGUUCUCCCUUGCUCCUUGUUUAUCUCAUUUCAACCAGACUGGUUUCAAUUCCUUCUUGUCCAUUUUGCUCGUCAUUCAUAGUUUUGCAAGCUCCAAGGUUCACAUGGUGUUCCUUGUUUCUCUUUUCUACCGGAGUCUUCUCAAUUUUGUUCAACUCUGUCGUAUUCUUCUUUCAAGUAUUCAACCUCUCAAGGUUCAUUGGUUUCACUCGUUUGUCAAAGAAGCAACUUGUUUUACCUGUUCCUCUCCCGUUUCUCCCCGGUGCCAUCCUAGAUCUCGGGACGAGAUCUCUUGUAAGUGGAGGAGAGUUGUGAUGCCCGAGGACUGACGCUCCAGACGCCUUCCAUGUUUUCCGAGUUUCUCGUGUGAUUUGUUUUGUUUGUCGCAUUUAUCAUUGCAUCAUGUCAUUUUGCAACCGUUUUAAAACUCAAAUAAAUUGCAUAGAUCGUUGAUCUAUUUAAAUCGAAGGAAUUCACAUGGUGACUUCUCUUUAUAACUUAUCCUCCCAAUAUUAGGGAGCUAUUAUAAAAUAUUCCAUUGAUGUGGAAUGACCUUUGACACACUUGCAAUAAAUCCCAAUGCCUUUGUUAUCUCAAUUCUUGGUCUCCGACUUGUCCUCAUAUUCUUUUAUCGUUUUAUCGAGGCUCUUCCUAAAUGUUCAACAUUUUGGAAACUUCGGAUUCAUACUCCUUGUUCAAACCAAUUGAAUUAAAUUCAAAUGCAUUUGAAUUUAUAUCUUUCAAUCUUGCCAAUUCUAUUUUUCUAGAUCAAGCGCAUUUUUAUGAGCCCGGGAAAAUUAACCGCAUGCGCAAAUUCUUUCUCUAACCCUCUCUUUGUUUUUCUUUUCUCUAAUUCUUUUCUGCCAAAGAAAAUUAGGGAGAGAGAAGAGAGAGACCCCCAGUGCACCCCAGCCGGCCACUUGGGCCUCCUGUAGCCGCAGCCCGUUAGGCCCAGCCUCAGCCUCCUUCCGAAGCCCUAGCACCCCUGGUUCGAUCCCCUUCAUCUCUCCCGAUCGAUCCCAUCUCCCUCUCCCUCUCGCUCCCUUGGCGCCGCCACUCAACCAUGCGCCCGCGCCCGAUCUCCUCAUCCCCUCUGUGCCUCUGCGUCGCCCCACGCGCAAAGGAGUGGCGCCCCGCGCACGGCUUCGUUCUCGCCGCCGGCGACAAACAAGACUCCUCCCACGCCGCCUCUCCUCCUGCUUCUCCUCGUCGCCACCAACCUGCCUCGACCUCACCGCGGGCAGCAGCAGUUGCUGCUGCACCCUCUCGCUGACACCGCGCCCGGACCUCCCCCGCGCCUCGCCAUCGACCUCGGCUUCCGCAUCCCAUGGCCACGAGCGCCACCAGCAGCAGUUCCAGGCCUGAGCCCCGUCGGCCUCCUCGCCGCCGUCGCGCCCCCAUCCAUCAGCAGCCGCGCCCUCGUCCCGUCCCCUCUGCCUCCUCCUCGUCGCCUGCAUCCACCGCCAGCCACCGCAGAACCAGGCUGCUGCGGCGCCAUCUCGCCUCCUCCUCACCUCACCAUGCGCCAGCACUGGUGACCUCCACCUCCAGCCGUGCUGGCGAGCAAGCCGCUGCCGCCCGCCUUGUCGGUUCACCUUCGCCUUCGUCACCUCAAGUUCCGCGCCCGAGCCCUCUGCUCGACCAGGAGGUCGUCACCUCCAGCGCCUCUACAUGUCCAAGCCCCCUGCCCCGCCUCUGCUUCGUUCGAGCGGGGAGGAGGACGCGCCUCCGCUCACCCGCAUCGACCAGCGCCAAGUCCCUGCCGCCGGCCUCCUGUCUUGCUUCUUUUGGGCCAGCAAGAACUCCGCCAAGAACCGUACACGGACACAUCGUCUCCAGGAUUUUUCGCCAAGUACCUCUACGUGCGGACUCGCCAAGUACUUGACCCGGAUGCGCUAGGUUUGACUAUGAACGGUUGCACGUCCGUGUAACAUCCACGAUGCGGCUAUAUCUCCCACGUGUCGAGGCAUGACUUAGAGGCAUAACCGCAUUGUAGGUAUUGUUGCAAGAAGGGUCAUCUUCACACAAUCCCAUGUAAUGAACAAGAAUGGGAUAAAGAGAGUUGGCUUACAAUCGCCACUUCAGACAAUACAUAAAUAAAUCAUACAUCGAUCAAAGUACACACAUAGACCGACUACGGUCAAAGCCAAAAGAAAAGAAGAUAACCCAACUGUUAGAUCCCUGAUCGUCCCAACUGGGCUCCACUACUGAUCAUUAGGAAACGAAACAUAGUAACGACCAAGGUCCUCGUCGAACUCCCACUUGAGCUCGGUUGCAUCUCCUGCACUGGUAUCGUCGGCACCUGCAACUGUUUUGGUAGAAUCUGUGAGUCACGAGGACUCAGCAAUCUCACACCCGCGAGAUCAAGACUAUUUAAGCUUACGGGUAGGAAAGGGUAGUGACGUGGAGCUGCAGCAAGCACUAAGCAUAUAUGGUGGCUAACAUACGCAAAUAAGAGCGAGAAGAGGAGCAACGGAACGGUCGUCGACUAGUAAUGAUCAACAAGUGAUCCUGAGCUCCUACUUACGUCAAACAUAACCCAAAAGCCGUGUUCUCUUCCCGGACUCCACCGAAAAGAGACCAUCACGGCUACACAUGCGGUUGAUGCAUUUUAAUUAAGUCAAGUGUCAAGUUCUCUACAACCGGACAUUAACAAAUUCCCAUCUGCCACAUAACCGCGGGCACGGCUUUCGAAAGUUUAUACCCUGUAGGGGUGUCCCAACUUAGCCCAUUAUAAGCUCUCACGGUCAACGAAGGAUAUUCCUUCUCCCGGGAAGACCCGAUCAGUGUCGGAAUCCCGGUUUACAAGUCAUUUCGACAAUGGUAAAACAAGACCAGCAAAGCCGCCCGAUGUGCCGACAAAUCCCGAUAGGAGCUGCACAUAUCUCGUUCUCAGGGCACACCGGAUGAGACAGGCUAUGAGUAAAACCAGACUUACGAGUUUCCCCGAGGUGGCCCCGCAGGCGGCUCAGUUCGGACCAACACUCGAAGGAGCACUGGCCCCGGGGGGUUAAAAUAAAGAUGACCCUUGAGUCUGCAGAACCCAAGGGAAAAAGGCUUAGGUGGCAAAUGUUAAAACCAAGGUUGGGCCUUGCUGGAGGAGUUUUAUUCAUGGCGAACUGUCAAGGGGGUCCCAUAAAUCACCCAACCGCGUAAGGAACGCAAAAUCAAGGAACAUAACACCGGUAUGAUGGAAAACUAGGGCGGCAAGAGUGGAACAAAACACCAGGCAUAAGGCCGAGCCUUCCACCCUUUACCAAGUAUAUAGAUGCAUUAAUUAAAUAAGAGAUAUUGUGAUAUCCCAACAUAUCCAUGUUCCAACAAGGAACAAACUUCAUCUUCACCUGCAACUAGCAACGCUAUAAGAGGGGCUGAGCAAAGCGGUAACAUAGCCAAACAACGGUUUGCUAGGAAAGGUGGGUUAGAGGCUUGACAUGGCAAUAUGGGAGGCAUGAUAAACAAGUGGUAGGUAGCGCAGCAUAGCAAUAGAGCGAACAACUAGCAAGCAAAGAUAGAAGUGAUUUCGAGGGUAUGGUCAUCUUGCCUGAAAUCCCGCUAGGAAGAAGAACGAGUCCAUGAAGAAGACAAAAGGACGUAGUCGAACGAAUCGUCGCAACUCCGGAACGAAACCGAAGCUAAUGAGAGAGGCAACCCGGAAAGAAACAAACAACAUAGUAAACAACCACCACAUACACAUGGCAUGAUGCACAAACAAGUAUGAUGCAUGUCCGGUUUAAUGAGCAUGGCAUGGCAAAGUGCAACAAACAACACUACAAAUUAAGUGGAGCUCAAUAUGCAACGAGUUGCAUAUUGACGAAACACCACAUACGAUUAUUUAGUUCUCUCUCGGUUAUGAAAAAGACAAGAUUAAAUGUUGGUUAACAUGGCAGGAGGUGAAGCAUAAGUAAACUAACUAUUUAGGCAAGUUUAAAUGAGGUCGGAACAACAAAUAACAAUUCCGGAAAAUCCUCAUAUGCAUAUUUUUGAUUUGGUACUGUUCUGCCAUAAACAAAAUUUUAAUGUUGUUAAACAGCAAAUAAAGUACACCAUGUUAAACUAGGCAUUUUUCUACCCCAUUUACAUAUAAAGUUUAUUAAAAUCCGAGCUACGGUUAUUUAGUUAUGAAAUAAAUCAUUUUAACAUGGCAUUUGAGCAAAUUUAACCAAACAGCAAUUUAAACAUUUUAAACAUGGAUGAAAGUGGCAUAAUGUGAAACUAGAUAAAAUGCUAACCAUUUUGCAUAUAUAAGUUGUUUUAAUCCGAUGCAUGGUUUGUGAGAUAUUAAAUGCAUGAACAUGGAGGGUCAAUCUGUAAAUAUGCAGUUUUUGGAUAAUUAGACAAAUUCGCAGCAGCGAAAAAAAACACUACGGGCCGAAUCUGGCUGGCCCAAUGGUGCACAGGAGAGGGGCGGGUGCUGCUCACCCUGGGCCAAGCCCAGCUGGAGAGGAGGAGGCCCGAGCGGCGCAGAUCUAGGCUGCGACGGGAGCAGACGAGGAGGCCUGGCGCGGGCGACUUGGCGCUGGUCCUCGAGACGAGCUGCAGGUGGUCAACGCGCGCAGGGGCUCGCUGCAAGGCAGGGCGAGGUGGCGCUGGACUUGGGGCUCCGGUGAGAGGGACUUGAAGCGCAGGGGCGGCGAGCUCGAGCAUACCCGACGGGUGGUGCUGCUCGGAGGUCACCGGACAGAGCAGGUCAACGGCAGUGGCGACAUGGGCACGGGGCGGCGGACUUGGACGGUGGAGCUUGGGCGCGGCGGCGCUCAGGUGACUCCGGCAGGCGGUGGGGGAAGAUGAGGCCGGCAGGACCCAGAACAACAGGCGGUGAAGCAGGACCCGGCGAUUGGACAGCGGGGCGAGCAGCGGCAACGGCGAGCGUCUGCUGCGGGGCUCCAUGAUGUUCCUGUUGCAGAGAGCGAGAGAUGUGAGAGGGAGAAGAGAGAAGCAGGAAAGGAAGGAAGGGGCGGCGCGGGGCUCAUCUGUGGUGCAGCUCACCGGCAGGGCGGCUGUAGUCGAGGCCAGGCGCUGGAGCCGAGGGGCUCGAGGAGCUCCUCUCCUUGGUGCGGGACGCGCACGGAAAGCGGGGACACUUGGGGUAAGGAGCCGGUUGCAGGCGCGGGAAGGAGGAGGCUGCGGCUUGCUGGUGAUUUGGGUGGCGCGGAAAUCACGGGAGUUGGUCGGAGGCUACGUUUGGAGGGGUGGAUCUGAGGUGGAUGGUGGUUGGCUCGGUGGGGAAGACGAGGAGGAGACCAGGUGGGCUGGCGGCGGCGGGGGGGAUUUGAUGGAUGGAUGGGACAGGGCUAGGGUUAGAAUAAUAUAUAUAGCAGAUGAAUUUAGGUUAGGGGAUAUUUGGUCCCUCUGAUUUAAAUCAGACGGUCAAGAAAAAUAAGCUAGGAGAGUCCAACAAAGAAAACGGUGAUGUUUUAUAGAUGUUAGGGGAUGAUCCGGACCCAUCGGUAACAACAACCCGGGUCGAGUUCGGGACAAUUUUCGGGCGCGCGCGAGGGGUGGUCUGAGAGGGGUCGACAAAGACAAAGUAUCUGACAAAAGGCCCCGGAGAAGACAAGAGAGAAAACGAGGAGCAACGUUGCAAGUGUGGUUGGUCUCGAAACGGUCAACGAUAGCAAGGGGGAACGCGGCAACUAUGAGCGGAUGCAAGUUUUAAAAACAAUGACGACAACAAGUGCCGAUGCAAUGCGGAUGAUGCGAUGAUGAAUGCAACAAACAAAUAAAACACACAACGAUAACGAAAAAAUAUGGAAGGCGUCUGGAGCGUCGGUCUCGGGGCGUUACAACACUCCACCACUACAAGAGGAUCUCGUCCCGAGAUCUAGGAUCGCACCGGAGAUAAACGGAAGAGGAACAGGUAAAACAAGUUGCUUCUUUGACAAACGAGUGAAACCAAAGAACCUUGAGAGGUUGAAAACUUGAAAGAAGAAUACGACAGAGUUGAACAAAAUUGAGAAGACUCUGGUAGAAAAGAGAAACAAGGAACACCAUGUGAACUUUGUAGUUUGCAAAGCUAUGAAUGACGAGAACAAUGGAUGAGAAGUACAUGCGAGCACUCCGGUUGAAACGAGAUGUACAAGGAACGAUAAUGAUCAAUUACGAUAACGCUCCGGUUGGAAAUCAAAAGAAUAGAAUUUGAACUUGGCGAAAUGAAAGCACUUGGAUGAGACUCCGGUUAAAACUAGAUAGAGAAGGAAUAAGAUUGAUAUAAUUUGGGCAGCACUCCAACUGAAAGAAGAAGGAAAAACUUGAUAAGAUGAAAAGAACUUCAAGAGAUGACACAACACUCCGGUUAAAUGGAUAAGCAUGAAAAGAAUACGAUCCUCACAAAACGAGGUGAUGAGUGAAGAUAGCAACAUCACCAUGCCUCCGGAAGAAAAUAUAAGAUAGAUCAUUGGAAUAAAGGAAUGGAGAAGAAAAUGCCAACUUCUGCCACAAAUGAUCUUGGAAAGCACCCUUCCAAGAAGGUUAGAACGGAGUUGUUGUAAAAACCAACAAAGAAACGAAUAAGCUCGUAGUGGGCUUAUGGAAAACUUCUCAAGAUAGAGGCGAAAUUCUGCCACUACGGAAACAACUAAUAUAAUUGAUAACACCAACGAGAUGAAAAACUUCUUUCACCAAGAGGAUAUGAGAAAACUUGGAUCAUUGAUAAGCACCAUAAUAGCAACAUUCCUUAGGGAAGGCUUUAGGUGAAAUAUGACACAAGAUAACUCCAACAAAGAGGUUAAAGGAUUUAAAAUACCUCAUUCUUGACAACAUGUGAAUCAUGAAGCACGAAAAGAAAUUGUCAAGAAUGAUAUAUUACCAUCUCAAAAGAUAAGGUAGGAAGAAUUGCACUUCAGAAUGCAAGAUGAAGAAUACUUGAACUCCCCAAAACAAAACGUGUGUUGAACACCAUGUUUAUUUUAGAGUAUAGCUUGGCGGAUCUUAACUCUGAGAGAAAUCUUGAAGAACAAUUGAAAAAUGAAAGGAAUCCUUGACGAAGCACCAUGUAGAGCCUCCAUGAAGAACUCCGGUAAACAAAAGGAUGAUAGAAAGAAAGAGAAGUUGACAACACAAGGUGAAGCCUUGCAAUGAUUUGGGUGGAGCUUUGAAAUGAUAUAAUUGAAAUAACUUGGAGAUCCGGAAAGAAAAAUGAACAAAUGAGAUCAAGAAUUUUGAUGAAUCUCCGGAAUAAGGAAUUAAUCACUUGGAUGAAACAAGAAUAAGAAUUACAUUAUGCUUAUCCUUCACCAAUUUAGAUUGAUGACAAGCAACGGAUUUUGCAUACUACUUAUUCGAAAGGAUUAAGAUAGAUAUUGCGCAAACUUGGGAAGGUCUUGAUCGAACCACCGGUAGGAUUGAAACAACGAAUAAAUUGAUAUGAUAACGAAGGAAGAGAAAUCUUGAACGAACCACCGCGAGAAUUGAAAACAAUUGAAGAAAAGAGGACGAAACACUGUAAGAAUUAAAGAACGCGCGAAAAUACUCGAGGGAAUUUAGAUACAUGAGAACGAAUAGAUCACGAGCUGACUAGAGGAUACUUGAACGAUGCACCGGGAGAAUAUGGAGAUGAACGAAGAGACAUCAAUUUAGAAUAAUUGGAGAAUGAAGCUGAAAACUUAGAACGAAGAAAUCUUCUGAAAUGAUGGCCUUUGGAUGAUCAAGAAAUGAAAACAACUCUGAAAUGCUCCGGAUGGGUAAGAAAAGAAUUGCGCGAUUGGAAACAAUUUGAGAGGAUGGCAACAAGUUAGAACCAUGAAUCUUGAAGAGAAUGGAGCAAGAUUUAAGAGAAACACUUCUUCGGUCUUCAAAUGUUGAGAAUGACGAUGAGAAACACCACCAUGAAUUGUUGGCACUCCGGAAUGAAGAAUAGAAGGUUGAACCAACGAUGAAAGAAUUUGAAAGAUCUUGGAGAAAGACAUUUGACUGGUGAUAAUUCAUUCUUACGUCAAACUUUGCAAUGAAUUUGAGAAUAACUCCGAAAAAAAAUUAGAAGAGUCAGGUAAGAUCCUGGGAAAAGACCUGUGGGUUAGGCCCACUCAGAAGAUACACCGUUGAACGAUUUAGAAGAGAGAUUGCACUGGUAGAAUUAAAUGGUUCGAAAGAGAUAACAACCUCGAGAUAUCUUGAACAAACUAGGAAUGAUAACACGAAUUUUCCGAGAUAUCUUCAGCACACCGAAACAAAUGGAAAGCGAGAGGUGAAUGAUUAAGAGAUACACCGGCAUGAAAAAAAAACAUUUGAAACAAGGAAAGGAAUGUGACCAACAUUGAAGGCUUGAAUUUAGUCCACCGGAGAAGAAAAACAAUGAAGAAUGAUAAACUUGAAGAACAUCUUCAUGAGAUCCACCGGGUAAGAACAUUGAUUGAAAAGAAUGAAGGGACUUCACAUGAAUAAAAUGGAUACUUGGUUAAGACAUCUGAUUUCUUGAAGGAAAAGGGUGGGAGGGCGGGAAAAACAAAGGCAACUUGGGACGGAUGAAAAAAAACACUGUUGAGAAAAUUUAGAGUUGAUCUUGCGGAUGUUGAAAAUGAUCAGAUUCACUUGAAGAGAAGCACACCGGUUGAAAAGAAUUAAUAUGACAACCUCGAUGAUCGAAAGGAUUAGCAACCACAUAGAAAUAUGAGAACACCACUUAGAAAAGGUAUGGAAUCCACAUUUGACUUCGAAGCAACUCGAAUACCACAACUCAAAACAAAACAAAGGAUUGGCUUGCAGAAUAAGCCGGAACAAACAUAUGAUAGAGAUUUCGUCCGAAGUUUUCGUGGUGGGGCCCACACGGGCUCGAUCGUACAGCACCAUCAUGUACAAGGCAGUGCACAUGACAUACGAAGCGUCCCCGAGUCGGCAUAGCCAAGGACUCUUUAAGACACUACGAGACCACUGUAAAACCAACCGUGGAAAGGCGGACCACUAGACGUCGAACCCCAAUCUCAUAUCAUGCAUCCGUCGGAAAGAUAUCCUAGGAGCUACUUGCAUUCCCACUUAUAAACUCCCGAAACUUUCUGGUUAUGCAAUCUGGUGUUGGGGAUACAGGGGACGCAAUAUAUCUCACCCAAACUAACAAUACCUAGAUCCAGCUGUAUCCAUCCUUCAACACAUAACCAAGAAACCUUCGGAAAUUGUUUCCCUCAACCUUCGAAAAGCAUCCGUUAUACGAGUUAUGGCAAUACUCCCGAACUCCCGCCCCAGUACUGGGUGGCGUCGAGGUGAUCUCACCAACAACUGCAUAAAAGAGAUUUUCGAUGUCGGCGGAACUCAGGUAUUCCAGAACUGCAACGAUAAAAUUGUGACGACAACACCUCGGAGCUCAACUCCCCGGGACACUGCCACAACCCCUAAAUGUCAGGAGGCACCAAGAACAAUGUUCUCGUCACAAAACCUUUCGAACGAUUCCAAGAUACCCGCGUGAUCCAAAAUUUUUUUAGUGAAAUUUGAGGAGAGAAAAGUCCAAACUUCUACGUCAGGAGGCCUCACCAGAGCGACGAAGGGACUGAGGAGUAAAAAGAAUCCUACUCUCCGAUAUAUAUAAUCCUAAUACUCAAAACAUUUUUUUCUAGACUCAACAACGCCAGCGAUUCGAUCAAGCAGGGGGCUCCUAAGUCGGGGAUGGCUCUGAUACCAACUUGUAACACCCACGAUGCGGCUAUAUCUCCCACGUGUCGAGGCACGACUUAGAGGCAUAACCGCAUUGUAGGUAUUGUCGCAAGAAGGGUCAUCUUCACACAAUCCCAUGUAAUGAACAAGAAUGGGAUAAAGAGAGUUGGCUUACAAUCACCACUUCAGACAAUACAUAAAUAAAUCAUACAUCAAUCAGAGUACACACAUAGACCGCCUAUGGUCAAAGCCAAAAGAAAAGAAGAUAACCCAACUGUUAGAUCCCUGAUCGUCCCAACUGGGCUCCACUACUGAUCAUCAGGAAACGAAACAUAGUAACGACCAAGGUCCUCAUCGAACUCCCACUUGAGCUCGGUUGCAUCACCUGCACUGGUAUCGUCGUCACCUGCAACUGUUUUGGUAGAAUCUGUGAGUCACGAGGACUCAGCAAUCUCACACCCGCGAUAUCAAGACUAUUUAAGCUUAUGGGUAGGAAAGGGUAGUGAGGUGGAGCUGCAGCAAGCACUAAGCAUAUAUGGUGGCCAACAUAUGCAAAUAAGAGAGAGAAGAGGAGCAACGAAACGGUCCUCAACUAGUAAUGAUCAAGAAGUGAUCCUGAACUCCUACUUACGUCAAACAUAACCCAAAAGCCGUGUUCUCUUCCCGGACUCCACCGAAAAGAGACCAUCACGGCUACACACGCGGUUGAUGCGUUUUAAUUAAGUCAAGUGUCAAGUUCUCUACAACCGGACAUUAACAAAUUCCCAUCUGCCACAUAACCGCGAGCACGGCUUUCGAAAGUUUAUACCCUGCAGGGGUGUCCCAACUUAGCCCAUUAUAAGCUCUCACGGUCAACGAAGGAUAUUCCUUCUCCCGGGAAGACCCGAUCAGUCUCGGAAUCCUGGUUUACAAGACAUUUCGACAAUGGUAAAACAAGACCAACAAAGCCGCCCGAUGUGCCGACAAAUCCCGAUAGGAGCUGCACACAUAUCGUUCUCAGGGCACACCGGAUGAGACAGGCUAUGAGUAAAACCAGACUUCAAGUUUCCCCGAGGUGGCCCCGCAGGCGGCUCGGUUCGGACCAACACUCGAAGGAGCACUGGCCCGGGGGGGUUAAAAUAAAGAUGACCCUUGAGUCUGCAGAACCCAAGGGAAAAAGGCUUAGGUGGCAAAUGUUAAAACCAAGGUUGGGCCUUGCUGGAGGUGUUUUAUUCAAGGCGAACUGUCAAGGGGGUCCCAUAAAUCACCCAACCGCGUAAGGAACGCAAAAUCAAGGAACAUAACACCGGUAUGACGGAAAACUAGGGCGGCAAGAGUGGAACAAAACACCAGGCAUAAGGCCGAGCCUUCCACCCUUUACCAAGUAUAUAGAUGCAUUAAUUAAAUAAGAGAUAUUGUGAUAUCCCAACAUAUCCAUGUUCCAACAAGGAACAAACUUCAUCUUCACCUACAACUAGCAACGCUAUAAGAGGGGCUGAGCAAAGCAGUAACAUAGCCAAACAACGGUUUGCUAGGAAAGGUGGGUUAGAGGCUUGACAUGGCAAUAUGGGAGGCAUGAUAAACAAGUGGUAGGUAGCGCAGCAUAGCAAUAGAGCGAACAACUAGCAAGCAAAGAUAGAAGUGAUUUCGAGGGUAUGGUCAUCUUGCCUGAAAUCCCGCUAGGAAGAAGAACGAGUCCAUGAAGAAGACAAAAGGAUGUAGUGGAACGAAUCCUCACAACUCCGGAACGAAACCGAAGCUAAUGAGAGACGCAACCCGGAAAGAAACAAACUACAUAGUAAACAACCACCACAUACACAUGGCAUGAUGCACAAACAAGUAUGAUGCAUGUCUGGUUUAAUGAGCAUGGCAUGGCAAAGUGCAACAAACAACACUACAAAUUAAGUGGAGCUCAAUAUGCAACGAGUUGCAUAUUGACGAAACACCACAUACGAUUAUUUAGUUCUCUCUCGGUUAUGAACAAGAAAAGAUUAAAUGUUGGUUAACAUGGCAAGAGGUGAAGCAUAAGUAAACUAACUAUUUAGGCAAGUUUAAAUGAGGCCGGAACAACAAAUAACAAUUCCGGAAAAUCCUGAUAUGCAUAUUUUUGAUUUGGUACUGUUCUGCCAUAAACAAAAUUUUAAUGUUGUUAAACAGCAAAAUAAAGUACACCAUGUUAAACUAGGAAUUUUUCUACCGCAUUUACAUAUAAAGUUUAUUAAAAUCCGAGCUACGGUUAUUUAGUUAUGAAAUAAAUCAUUUUAACAUGGCAUUUGAGCAAAUUUAACCAAACAGCAAUUUAAACAUUUUAAACAUGGAUGAAAGUGGCAUAAUGUGAAACUAGAUAAAAUGCUAAGCAUUUUGCAUAUAUAAGUUGUUUUAAUCCGAUGCAUUGUUUGUGAGAUAUUAAAUGCAUGAACAUGGAGGGUCAAUCUGUAAAUAUGCAGUUUUUGGAUAAUUAGACAAAUUCGCAGCAGCGAAAAAAACACUACGGGCCGAAUCUGGCUGGCCCAAUGGUGCACAGGAGAGGGGCGGGUGCUGCUCACCCUGGGCCAAGCCCAGCUGGAGAGGAGGAGGCCCGAGCGGCGCAGAUCUAGGCUGCGACGGGAGCAGAGGAAGAGGCCUCGCGCGGGCGACUUGGCGCUGGUCCUCGAGACGAGCUGCAGGUGGUCAACGCGCGCAGGGGCUCGCUGCAAGGCAGGGCGAGGCGCCGCUGGACUUGGGGCUCCGGCGAGAGGGACUGGAAGCGCAGGGGCGGCGAGCUCGAGCAGACCCGACGGGUGGUGCUACUCGGAGGUCACCGGACAGAGCAGGUCAACGGCAGUGGCGACAUGGGCACGGGGCGGCGGACUUGGACAGUGGAGCUUGGGCGCGGCGGCGCUCGGGUGACUCCGGCAGGCGGUGGGGGAAGAUGAGGCCGGCAGGACCUAGAACAACAGGCGGUGAAGCAGGACCCGGCGAUUGGACAGCGAGGCGAGCAGCGGCAACGGCGAGCGUCUGCUGCGGGGCUCUAUGAUGUUCCUGUUGCAGAGAGCGAGAGAUGUGAGAGGGAGAAGAGAGAAGCAGGAAAGGAAGGAAGGGGCGGCGCGGGGCUCAUCUGUGGUGCAGCUCACCGGCAGGGCGGCUGUAGUCGAGGCCAGGCGCUGGAGCCGAGGGGCUCGAGGAGCUCCUCUCCUUGGUGCGGGACGCACACGGAAAGCGGGGACACUUGGGGUAAGGAGCCGGUUGCAGGCGCGGGAAGGAGGAGGCUGCGGCUUGCUGGUGAUUUGAGUGGCGCGGAAAUCGCGGGAGUUGGUCGGAGGCUACGUUUGGAGGGGGUGGAUCUGAGGUGGAUGGUGGUUGGCUCGGUGGGGAAGACGAGGAGGAGACCAGGUGGGCUGGCGGCGGCGGGGAGGAUUUGAUGGAUGGAUGGGACAGGGCUAGGGUUAGACUAAUAUAUAGAGCAGAUGAAUUUAGGUUAGGGGAUAUUUGGUCCCUCCGAUUUAAAUCGGACGGUCAAGAAAAAUAAGCUAGGAGAGUCCAACAAAGAAAACGGUGAUGUUUUAUAGAUGUUAGGGGAUGAUCCGGACCCAUCGGUAACAACAACCCAGGUCGGGUUCGGGACAAUUUUCGGACGCGCGCGAGGGGUGGUCUGAGAGGGGUCAACAAAGACAAAGUAUCUGACAAAAGGCCCCGGAGAAGACAAGAGAGAAAACGAGGAGCAACGUUGCAAGUGUGGUUGGUCUCGAAACGGUCAACGAUAGCAAGGGGGAACGCGGCAACUAUGAGUGGAUGCAAGUUUUAAAAACAAUGACAACAACGAGUGCCGAUGCAAUGCGGAUGAUGAAUGCAACAAACAAAUAAAACACACAACGAUAACGAAAAAAUAUGGAAGGCGUCUGGAGCGUCGGUCUCGGGGCGUUACAGUCCGACCCCGUAUUCGAACCUCAAGCGCCAAGUUCCACUACCAUUGUCGUGCAUCCGAAAAGACCAAGUGUACGACUACGCCCGGCGAUGCGGCAAGUCCCUCCACGAUGACCCGAACAUCUACAGAAAAACGUGUACCACUAUCGUCGAGGAACGAUAGUACCACUACUUCCACUACCGUCGCGAGAACGUCUACUUCCACUACUUCCACUACAAACCCGACCGGCUCCGAAAAGGCACGCUUCAAAGGUAUAACCCCGAGACGACGUUCGUGGAACGAAUGCAUGAAUGAUGUAUGAGGUGCCCGUGGUUGCACCGUUUCCGAGUUGUCAUUGCACGUUACUCCUCGUUUGCCAUGCCACCGACAUGUGGGAACCCGGUGAUCGGGAUCACCCCACCAUCUCUAGCAUGUUCCGCACAUCCGCGCACUUGCUUCUUUUGCAUCGAUAUCUCAAUGAGUUGUCGGAACCGGGAUGUUGCCGUGGCACCAUUUCCGUUUCACCGCCGUGGCACCCUUUUCCUUCCGCCAUGGCGACAAAUGCCUCGUAACAUGCUGAUGUCAACAUUUUCAUAAAAUUGCUUAAAACAUGCAUAUGUCAUUCGGAUCAUGAUAACAACAUUUAAAAUGUUUAAAAUUGUGUUUGCAUUUAAAUUGCUAAAUGCAUGUGGGGAUUUUUCGGAAUUGUUGUUUGUUAAUUCCGGCCUCAUUUAAACUCCUAAAUAGAUAGUUUUAUUAUGCUUCACCUCUUGCAUGUUUAACAACAUUUAGUAUUGUUGUGUACCUAAACGAGAGCGAACUAAAUAAUUCGAAUGUGGUGUUUCUUCAAUAUGCAACUCGUUGCAUAUUGAGCUCCACUUAAUUUGUAGUAUUGUUUGUUGCACUUUGCCAUGCCAUGCCUCAUUUAAACCGGACAUGCAUCAUACUUGAUUGUGCAUCAUGCCAUGUUUAUGUGAUGGUUGUUUACCAUGUUGUUUGCUUCUUUCCGGUUUGCUUCUCUCGUUAGCUUCGAUUUCGUUCCGGAGUUGUGAGGAUUCGCUCGACUAUGUCCGUUUGUCUUCUUCAUGGACUCGUUCUUCUUCCUUGUGGGAUCUCAGGCAAGAUGACCAUUAUCCUCGAAAUCACUUCUAUCUUUGCUUGCUAGUUGUUCGCUCUAUCGCUCUGUUUGCGCUACCUACCACCUGUUUAUCAUGCCUCCCAUAUUGCCAUGUCAAGCCUCUAACCAUCCUUUCCUAGCAAACCGUUGUUUGGCUAUGUUACCGCUUUUGCUCAGCCCCUCUUAUAGCGUUGCUAGUUGCAGGUGAAGAUGAAGUUGGUUCCAUGUUGGAACAUGGAUAUGUUGGGAUAUCACAAUAUCUCUUAUAUUAUUAAAGCAUCUAUAUACUUGGUAAAGGGUGGAAGGCUCGGCCUUAUGCCUGGUGUUUUGUUCCACUCUUGCCGCCCUAGUUUCCGUCAUAUCGGUAUUAUGUUCCCGGAUUUUGUGUCCCUAACGCGGUUGGGUGAUUUAUGGGACCCCCUUGACAGUUCGCCUUAAAUAAAACUCCUCCAGCAAGGCCCAACCUUGGUUUUUCAUUUGCCUAACAACCUAUUUACCCUUCCUUGGGUCGGCCAACCCGAGGGUCAUCUUUAUUUUAACCCCCCUGGGCCAAUGCUUCUCUAAGUGUUGGUCCGAACUAGAGCACCGUGCGGGACCGUCCCUUGGCAACUUGGGUUACGUUGGUACCUGUACGCUUCGCUCAUCCGGUGUGCCCUGAGAACGAGAUAUGUGCAGCUCCUAUCGGGAUUUGUCGGCACAGUCGGGUGGUCUUGCUAGUCUUGUUUUACCAUUGUCGAAAUGUCUUGUAACCGGGAUUCCGAGCCUGAUCGGGUCUUCCCGGGAGAAGGAAUAUCCUUCGUUGACCAUGAGAGCUUGUGAUGGGCUAAGUUGGGACACCCCUGCAGGGUAUAAACUUUUGAAAGCCGUGCCCGCAGUUAUGUGGCAGAUGGGAAUUUGCUAAUGUCCGGUUGUAGAGAACUUGACACUUGACUUCAUUAAAAUACAUCAACCGCGUGUGUAGCCGUGAUGGUCUCUUCUCGGUGGAGUCCGGGAAGUGAACACGGUUCUUGUGUUAUGGUUGUGCAUAAGUAGUUUCAGGAUCACUUCUUGAUCACUUCUAGCUUCACGACCGUUGCGUUGCUUCUCUCCUCGCUCUUAUUUGCGUUUGUUAGCCGCCAUAUUUGCUUAGUGCUUGCUGCAGCUCCACCUCAUUACCCCUUUCCUACCCAUAAGCUUAAAUAGUCUUGAUCUCGCGGGUGUGAGAUUGUUGAGUCCUCGUGACUCACAGAUUCUACCAAAACAGUUGCAGGCGCCGAUGAUACCAGUGCAGAUGAUGCAAUCGAGCUCAAGUGGGAGUUUGACGAGGACCUUGGUCGUUACUAUGUUUCAUUUCCUGAUGAUUAGUAGUGGUGCCCAGUUGGGACGAUCAGGGAUCUAGCAAUUGGGGUUGUCUUCUUUCAUUUCGGUUCCGUAGUCGGACCUUGAUUGUACUCUGAAAGAUGUAUGUUUAAUUUAUGUAUUGUGUGAAGUGGCGACUGUAAGCCAACUCUUGAUCCCAUUCUUGUUCAUUACAUGGGAUUGUGUGAAGAUGACCCUUCUUGCGACAAAACUACCAUGCGGUUAUGCCUCCAAGUCGUGCCUCGACACGUGGGAGAUAUAGCCACAUCGUGGGCGUUACACAUUAUGCCGUUGGAUCAAUCUUUACCUUAGUUGUGAUCUUCAUCGCAUCUGUUGCAAUGAGGGUAAGUUUUCUCUAGUGUUUUGCUUAACAAAUGCAUACUUAGCGUACUUUCCUCCUAAAUGGCAUAACUACCUAAGUUAUACAAAAAAUGAGCUAUACUUAGCUUUCUUUCCUCAAAAAUGUCAUGAUAAUCUUUGUUACCUCCAAAAUGAUAUAGACUUACCUUACUUUCCUCGAAAAUGACAUAAUAACCUUAGUAAGCUCCAAAAUGACCUAUUUACCUAGCUUAGUUCUAAAAUGACCUACACUUAGAAAAAUAAAGAGAAGAAAAGGUCUUCUUCUUCUUCCUUUUCUUCUUCCUCUUCUUCUUCUUCUUCUUCUUCUUCUUUUUCUAGAUAGUCUUCUUCUUCGAACUUGCUUCUUCCCCAAUUUGCAGAUUUGCUUUAGAUGAGGAAGCUUGCGUUGAUGGAGUCUACUCUUCUCUUUAUGCUUCCUUCUUAUUUUGAUUUUGUACGAUGAACAAUGUCAAACUUGCUACCUAUAUAUGUAUGUAUGGAUGAAACCAUUGUAUGCUUGUUCUUGGAUAUGUUGGCUAUGUAUAUGUGUUGGAUGAAACCAUUUGCUAUGUAUAUGUGUUGGAUGAUCAUAUCCAUAUGGCAGGGAUAUGAUUUGGUAUGUAUAUGUGUUGGUAUGCUUGUCGAAAGUAUUUUCAUAUGUGUGUAUAUAUAUGUGAAAUUCUGUCAAAUUGAAUGGUUUCAAGAAAAAACAGAAAAAACAGGGGCUAUAUAGACUCUUUGCCGUCAGCUGGCGGACGGCAAAGAGCUUUGCCAUCAGCUAGAGGACGGCAAACAUGCCACGUGUCAGCUACCUGUGCAACCUAGGGCAGUAGGCUGCCUAUUUUGUUGCUUUGCCGUCCGCUGGCAAACGGCAAAGAAUGUUUAAUAUUUGCCGUCAGCCAGCUAACGGCAAAGCUACCAAAUAGGCUAGCCCCCAGGUGCUGCCACGUGGCACGCUUGGCCGUCCGCCGGCCGACGGCAAUGAUUCAAUGCUAUUUGCCGUCCACUGGCUGACGGCAAAGAUACAAACGUCUUUGUCGUCCGCCAGCCGACGGCAAUGAACGCUGUUAACCCCUUAAUGGACCUAAGCUGACACGUGCGCUGUCCAGGCUCUUUGCCGUCGGCUGGCGGACGGCAAAGACCUUUGUAUCUUUGCCAUCCGCCAGCAGACGGCAAAGACCUUUGUAUCUUUGCCAUCCGCCAGCAGACGGCAAAGAUGCCUUUGCCGUAGCCUGUUCAGCCGGAUGUGUUGCCGUCAGCUGGCAGACGGCAAAGGUCUUUGUCGUCCGCCAUGUGUGCCUUUGCCGUCCGCCAUGGCUGACGGCAAAGUUCCUGAUUCCUGUAGUGGAAAUGCCAUGUCCUAAGGACAUCAAAGGUAUUUGUAGUUUGGUAGGUCAUGUUGGUUUCUAUAGGAGGUUUAUUAAGGACUUUUCUAAAAUUUCUAGGCCUCUUACUAAUCUUUUGCAAUAGGAUAUUCAUUUUGUUUUUGAUGAUGAUUGUCUUGAAGCCUUUGAAACACUCAAGAAAGAUUUAAUCUCUGCACCUAUUGUUCAACCUCCUGAUUGGAACUUGCCUUUUGAAAUUAUGUGUGAUGCUAGUGAUUAUGCUAUUGGUGCUGUUCUAGGACAAGAGUUGAUAAGAAAUUGAAUGUUAUUCAUUAUGCUAGUAAAACUCUAGACAGUGCUCAAAGAAAUUAUGCUACAACUGAAAAAGAAUUCUUAGCGGUGGUGUUUGCUUGUGAUAAGUUUAGACCUUAUAUUGUUGAUUCUAAAGUAACUAUUCACGCAGAGCAUGCUGCUAUUAAAUAUCUUAUGGAAAAGAAAGAUGCUAAACCUAGACUUAUUCGUUGGGUUCUCUUGUUACAAGAAUUUGAUUUGCAUAUUAUUGUUAGAAAAGGAGCUGAGAACCCCGUAGCUGAUAACUUGUCUAGGCUUGAAUAUGUGCUUGAUGACCCACUACCUAUUGAUGAUAGUUUUCCUGAUGAGCAGUUAGCUGCAAUAAAUGUUUCUCACAGUACUCCUUGGUAUGCUGACUAUGCUAAUUACAUCGUCGCUAAAUAUUUACCACCUAGCUUUACUUACGAACAAAAUAAAAAAUUCUUCUAUGAUUUAAGACAUUACUUUUGGGAUGAUCCACAUCUUUAUAAAGAAGGAGUAGAUUGUAUUAUUAGACGUUGUGUACCUGAGCAUGAACAGGGAAAAUCCUACGGAAAUGUCACUCCGAGGCUUAUGGAGGGCAUCAUGCUGGCGAUAGAACUGCUCAUAAGGUAUUGCUGUCUGGAUUUUAUUGGCCUGCUCUCUUCAAGGAUGCUCGUAAGUAUGUCUCAUCUUGUGAUGAAUGCCAAAGAAUAGGUAAUAUCAGUAAGCGUCAAGAAAUGCCUAUGAAUUAUUCACUUGUUGUUGAACCAUUUGAUGUUUGGGGAUUUGAUUACAUGGGGCCUUUUCCUUCCUCUAAUUGGUAUACACAUAUUUUGGUUGUUUUUGAUUAUGUUACUAAAUGGGUAGAAGCUAUUCCAACCAGUAGUGCUGAUUACAAUACCUCUAUUAAAAUGCUUAAGGUAUUUUCCCAAGGUUUGGAGUCCCUAGAUAUUUAAUGACUGAUGGUGGUUCACACUUUAUUCAUGGUGCUUUCCGUAAGAUGCUUGCUAAGUAUGAUGUUAACCAUAGAAUUGCAUCACCCUAUCAUCCUCAAUCCAGUGAUCAAGUUGAACUUAGCAAUAGAAAAAUAAAAUUAAUUUUGCAAAAGACUGCUAAUAGGUUCAGGAAGAAUUGGUCUAAGAAAUUAGAUGAUGCACUUUGGGCUUAUAGAACAGCAUAUAAAAAUCCUAUGGGUAUGUCUCCAUAUAAAAUCGUUUAUAGAAAAGCUUGUCAUUUUCCUCUUGAGUUAGAACAUAAAGCAUACUGGGCAGUUAAAGAACUCAACUAUGAUUUCAAACUUGCUGGUGGAGGUUAUUUGAUAUUAGCUCAUUAGAUGAAUGGAGAACCCAAGCUUAUGAAAAUGCAAAGCUAUUCAAAGAAAAAGUUAAAAGAUGGCAUGACAAAAGAAUCCAAAAGUGUGAGUUUAAAGUCGGAGAAUAUGUUCUUUUGUACAACUCUCGUUUUAGAUUUUUUGCAGGGAAGCUCCUCUCGAAAUGGGAAGGCCCAUACGUCAUCGAGGAGGUUUACCGGUCUGGUGCCAUCAAAAUAAAUAAUUCCGAAGGUACUACCCCGAAGGUUGUCAACGGACAACGAAUAAAGCAUUAUAUCUCAGGUACGCCUAUUAAUGUUGAAAGCAAUAUUAUCCAAACUUUGACACCGGAAGAGCACAUAAAAGAGUCCUUCCGGAACACUCCAGAAUCGUCAAAAUAAGGAGGUACGUGAUACGGUAAGUAAACGGACUCCAAAAAAUCCGCAAAAAUAUCUUCUGUCAGUUUUGGAAUAUUUUAGAUCUUUGGAAAUAAAGAAACUUCCAGGAAGCGUCCCCUGGUGGGCACAAGAUACCAGGUGGGUUGUGCCCACCUGGGACACCUCCCGUACUCCGUUUUUCUUCCAUAUACUUGUCCUCCAAGAUAAAAAAAUCUAUAUAUACUUCCCGAACCUGUUAACCACCAUAUCACGGAGAAAAUCCUCUGUUCUCUUUUCUUGCUGUUUUCUGCGCAGAUCUAAAAAUAUGUCAUCUCAAGACUCCGACGGAGAGAGCUAUGUCUCACAUCUCAUUGCUGAUCCAAAGACCUAUGGGGACCUAUCUCCUUGCGGUCGAACUACUGAUGACGAGGAGGAUGCUCACUUAAUGAGGAUCGAUGAUUCAAGCUCGGAGGAGGAGGAUGUCCCUCUACCUACACCAGGGGAUAUGCACGUGAAGUUCAAGAAGUCCAGUCUCCCUAAAAGGGCUAACCGAUGUAAUAACCGAUCUAUUCCUCUUCAUUUUAGGCAGAAAAGCAAAGGGAAUUUAUGUGACAAGAUCUUGAAGCUGGAGUUGGAGGUCGAUGAUUUAAAGGAGGAGAUUGCUCUCCUCAACUACAAUAUGAAAAAGUUGAAGGCACAAUUAUCAUCACCACCACCUUCUUCACCACCAAAGGAGAACUGAGUAUCGGGUAUGGGCACUCCUCUUGGCUUCCGCCAAGCUUGGGGGGGGGGUGCCCCGGUAUUGUAGCGACCAGACCUCAAACAGUCUGAUCUCUGUGCAUCGGUGUCAUCCCUGGAUCGGUAAUGCUGACACGCACAGUACUUGAAGGAUUUAUAACAGAGUAGCAAUCACACCCUUAUUACAUCGAAUGUCUCAAAAGAGAACUUAUUACAAAAUAAUAUGGCUUAAGGCCAUCUAAAACGAUAACAAGGGAAGGCUUGGAAGAUAAAGUGAGUUCAUCAACUCCAACGGCAUCACUGAGUGAAAGACCACGACCUAAGGCACCUUACUCGUCGUCUGAAAAGUCUGCAACAUGAUACGUUGCAGCCCUAAAAUGGGUCAGCACAUGGAAUAUGCUGGCAAUGUAACACAAGAGAGUAAUGAACAGAAUAAUGCUAUCACUGCAUGCAUAAAUGGCUGAUGGAGGCUGUAUGGUUAAAUAUGUUUUGCGGAAAGCCAAUCUUUUCCCUACAACAAAGGAAUAAAUUUUAUUUAACUAUCAUGGUGGUUGUUAAACAUUGAGAAUGGUAAACCCCAUCUCAAUCCCAAUUAAAACUAAUUAAUAACCCAAUCAAAUUUUAUAAUUAAGAGUGAUGAGAUCCACAUGAUAAUCCAAGAACCAGAUACUCAAGAUGUCCAUAACUGGGGACACGGCUAAUCAAGAUUAGUUUGUACACUCUGCAGAGGUUUGCGCACUUUUCCCCACAAGACUCGAUCUCCUCCGUUGGAUUUCUCGCACUACUUGGUGUUUGAGAAACGGAUGACCGAGACACAGUCUUUCAGAAGCGUUAACUCUUUACUCUGGGUAGACAGUACCACCUACAUCCCCUACAUCUGCUAGCCUACCACUGAAAGAGGUCACACAACAUACUCAACUAUGCCAGAGCCCAUAAUGGCUUGUGGCUACACACAGAAGUUUCUAGCAUGAAUAAUCUCAUGAUCCCUUUGAGCCUGGGUGGCAGUCCAUAGGAGAAUCACACGGUACCCCGGGAUUUCCAAAAAUACAGGCAAUCACUGGGUUCCCCGGGUGCCUCAAUCCACCCAGAUGUGUAUUAAAGUUGCCACCUUAAGUUAACCAUUACUUAACAAUACUCACAUCUAUCAUGAAUACUCUCAAACCCAAACCACGUCUACGAGCAUAGCAUAGCAAUAUAAGCAACGUAGAAGUAACUCCCAUAGGUUUGAUAAUAAAUAGGUGAAUAGGUACUACCUCAUCUACUUCCCAAACCCACAAAUUAAAUUAGACCCUAACCAUGCAAUUGUUUGAGGAUUGAUCUAAUGCAAUAAAACUGGGUAGUAAAUAGGUAUGAUCAAAGUGUUACUUGCCUUGUUGAUGAUCCGCAAACCCUAGAGACUCGUAGUAGCACGCUUCGCACUCCGGGUACUCUAUCGCAAACAAACAAACAAACAUACAAUAAGCAAUCAAGCAACAACGCACGGCUAAAACUCAAAUAAGAGAUCUAACCAGAAAGUUCAACUUAAGAACUCCGGUUUGCAAAAAGAAUCAAAUCAAACGAAGCAACGAAACUCAAACUGCGAAAGAAACAAGCUUCGUUUACUAAUCUGGACUAAAGUCAAUUUUUACAGUAGCAAAAACUUGUUUAAGUUGGUUAAACAGAAAGAGGGUUUCAAGACGAAACUCCAGGCGCUUGAAUCGCCUGAUUCUGAUAAACGACCGAAAAGUUAAACUAAAACGAAAAUCGGAUCAGAAAUCACGAUGAAAAUAAUCACCGAAAAUCCGAGAAAAAGAAAAACUGACGAACAGAGUAACGAACGAACGCUCGUUAUCUGCGGCUAACGGGCGAAAACCGUUUGUUAAAACGAACGUACGGACGAACGUCCGCUAAAUAACUAAACCAAAAAAAAACGAACCGAAACUAAAAAACGGAUCUAGGGUUUUCAAAAAAACCAAAGGGUUUUCUCGCGAAAACCGAUGCGGCGGCGGCUACCUCCGGCGGCGGCGGCGGGGAGCGGCUCCAGCGACGGGCGACGCGGCGGCGGGGCUCGGGACGGGCGGCGGGGCGUCGGCAGAAGCCCCCCCCGGCGGAUAUGGCCCAAGGUCGGUUUCCUUUUUUUUAAUUAUUUCACGCAGAAAAACAAGUAAAAAAUACUAAACGGACUCCAAAAAUCCUGAAAUAAAUUUUCCCCGUCCUCUAAAAAUAAGCCGGACCAGGUGAACAUUUAUUUGGGUUUCUAUUGCAAUUUUGAAAAACGCAUAUUUUUUCCUAAUUCAAAUAAAAUAGCGACAAAACUCCGAACAAAAAUCUUAUUUGAUUUUAAUAUUAAACCUCCAAUAUUUCUUUAUUUUGAGGAAGUCAUUUUAUCCUCUCUCUUUUAUUUUUAUAAAAGAAAUAUUCGAAGAGAAAAAUAAUUAAAAUCAAACGAUCCUCUUUUCAAAAUUUGAGAAAAACUCAAAUAUGAAAAUAAGGAAAUUCCCAACUCUCUCCGUGGGUCCUUGAGUUGCGUAGAAUUUCUAGGAUCAAGCCAAAAUGCAAUAAAAUAUGAUAUGCAAUGAUAAUCUAAAUUAUAACAUUUCAAAUUGAAAAUUUGGGAUGUUACAGGUAUCGUAUCACCCCACUAUCUUUUGCUUUUACUUAUCUUAGUUCGAUCUUUUUGCUUUAGAUGAAAUAAAGUUUAGUUUGAUCCUUUUCUUAUUUGAGAGUUUGCUUAAUGAUCUAUCAUUGUAAUUGUGUGCAAGUUAUAUAAUAAAGUUUAGUUUGAGUUUUUUACUUUCUUUACUUUCAUGUUGCAAAUAAAGAAAUAAAAAAUAAAGAAAACAAAAAUAAAAAGAAAGCAAAUAAAAGAAAGAAAAUAAAUCAAUAAGAUCAUAUACUAAUCCUAUGGUAGGUGAUAGCACCACAUAAGGAAAAGUAUAAGUAAGAAAAUUUUACUAGAGAUUGACAAACAUAACAUUAGUCAGUGAUGCAACCCAUGAAAGAAUUAAUGAGGGAAGGGAAGAUUCACAUAUAAAUAUACCAUCCUAGAAAUCUUUUGUGAUUAUGAGCCCUCAUCAAAAUAUUAUAUGCCAAAAUUGUUGACGUUGGACAAGGAAGACAACGUAAUGGUUUAUGUUUGUUUAUAUUCACAUAGAAGUCAUAUUGUCAUAGAUCCUUUAACAUGUGGUGCUUGCCCCCUAUCUUUGCUAGCCAAAAUUUCCGCACUAAGUAGGGAUACUGCUUGUGCAUCCAAAAACCCUUAAACUCAAAUCUUUUUCAAGUGUCCACCAUACCUACCUAGGGAUUGAGCAAGAUCCCUCAAGUAAGUUGUCAUUGGUGCAAAAUGGCAAUAAAAAUUGCUUCUAAAUGUGUGAGAUUGUUUAGUGUAAGAGAAAAUUGAGCAUUGCACGAACUUGGAUGACAAAGAAUAAAAGCGACAGACUGCAUAAUAAAGGUUGUCAUCUUAAGGGGCAAUGUAACGUGAAGUUCUUUUGCACUAAGGGAUUGAGCAUACAAACAAAUAAGCGCAUGACAACCUCUGCUUCCCUUUGCGAAGGGCCUAUCCUUUACUUUUAUGCAAAGAGUCAAAUUUUUCCUUCUAUUCCUUUUUAUUUUCUCCUUUGGCAAGCAUCAUGUGGUGAGGAAAGAUCUAGGCACAUAUGUCCAGUUGAAUAUAGAUAACAUGAGUUAUUAUUGUUGACAUCACCCUUGAGGUGAGUAUGUUGGGAGGCGAAACUAUAAGCCCCUAUCUUUCUAUGUGUCUAGUUGAAAUGUUUUGCUCAUGUGUACUCGAUGAGUGUUAGCAAUCAUAGAAGACUAUAUGAUGGUUGAGUAUGUGGACUUGCUUAAGGGCUCCGACACGUGACCCUUCCUGAAAAGAUGAUGAAUUGUAGUUGCAAAGUUGAUUGAGAACAUAGUUUGUUGGUUUCUAAUAUAGUUUUUGCUUUAUACUUCGAUUAUGUGAUGAACUGUUACUUAUUCAUUGGAAGUGUAUGAUAAAAGUUCUAUGACAAAAGCCAUAUGUUUAAUUAAGUUGUUGUUAUAAUAAUUAACAUGAUGCUUCUAUGUCCGUAUUUUUUUUAUCGACACCUCUCUCAAAGCAUGUGGACAUGUUUUUCGAUUUCAGUUUUCGCUUGAGGACAAGCGAGGUCUAAGCUUGGGGGAGUUGAUACGUCCAUUUUGCAUCAUGUUUUCUUACUGUUAUUUAUAAUGUUUUUAUCCAUAAUAAUGCUUUUUGGAGUAAUUCUAAUGCCUUUUCUCUCAUAAUUUGCAAGGUACACACGAAGAGGGAGAAUUUCGGCAGCUGGAAAUCUGGACCUGAAAAAGCUACAUCUGGCCACCUAUUCUGCACAACUCCAAAUGAGCUGAAACUUCAUGGUGAUUUUUUAUGGAUUAUUUAAGAAAUAUUGGAGCCAAUAAUCACCAGAGGGGGCCACCAGGUGGGCACAACCCACCUGGGCGCGCCAUGCCCCCUAGGCGCGCCCUGGUGGGUUGUGGCCUCCUCGGCCCACCUCUGGUGCACAUCUUCUGGUAUAUAAGUCAUUUUGACCUAGAAAAAAUAAGGGGGAAGACUUUCGGGGAGGAGCGCCGCCGUCUCAAGGCGGAACUUGGGCAGGAGCACUUUUGCCCUCCGGCAGAGCGAUUCUGUCGGGGGAACUUCCCUCCCGGAGGGGGAAAUCAUCAUCAUCAUCACCAACAACUCUCCCAUCUUGGGGAGGGCAAUCUCCAUCAACAUCUUCACCAGCACCAUCUCAUCUCAAACCCUAGUUCAUCUCUUGUAUUCAAUCUUGUUAUCGGAACUAUAGAUUGUUGCUAGGGGGUGACUAGUAGUGUUGAUUACAUCUUGUAGUUGAUUACUAUAUGGUUUAUUUGGUGGAAGAUUAUAUGUUCAGAUCCAUGAUGCUAUUUAAUACUCCUCUGAUCAUGAGCAUGUUCAUUAUUUGUGAGUAGUCACUUUUGUUCUUGGUCACGGGAUAAAUCUUGUUGCAAGUAAUCAUGUGAAUUUGAUAUGUGCUCGAUAUUUUGAUAGUAUGUAUGUUGUGAUUCUCUUAGUGAUGUCAUGUGAACGUCGGCUACAUGACACUUCACCAUAUUUGGGCCUAAGGGAAUGCAUUGUGGAGUAGUAAAUAGAUGGUGGGUUGCGAGAGUGACAGAAGCUUAAACCCCAGUUUAUGCACUAUUCCGUAUGGGACCGAUUGGAUCCAAACGUGUAAUGCUAUGGCAGUCGGCGUGUGCGGGGGCACCUCCGCCCCCAAGACAACGGGGUCGCCCCUCCCUUCUCCAAGGCCGGCAGAUCAGCGGCGGCCUCUCCUAUCGGCGCCUGGCCCUCCGGCACCGGCGGAUACGCGUGCUGCGGGCCGGUGGACUCCGGAGCCCGGCUGCGGGACGCCUCCUCCGUGUGCGCCUUGGCGGCCGCGUCCGCCUGCUCCCUGGCCGCCGCGUCAGCUUGGGCCUUGGCCGCGGCAUCGGCCUCCGCUUGUGCCGCCUUGGCCGCCUCCGCCUUCUCCCGUGCCGCGGCCUCCCGCUCUUCUCGCGCCUCCCGCGCGUUCUUCUCCAUCGCCUCCUGGAGGUCGGCGAGUGGAUCCACGCGGCGGGGGCCCGCGGAGCCAUUUGCCGCCCCAAUCACCGAGCCAGACGAGGCCCGCGGCAAGGAAAGUGGGGCGCUAUGCACCAAAAGAAUGAAGGAAAUAAAGAAGACUGCGAGAAAGAAGAAAAGCAAACGCAAAACAAGAUGCAAGAUAGGACAAGGCGCUUACGCGGACACUAGUGGGAGCCGCUUUGGGGCCUUCUGGAAGAGGGCAGCCUUCGCGGAGGCCUCGUGCCGAUUGGUCGCGGCGGCCGAGGUCUUGGUAUUCUUAGACCGGCUGCCAAACAGCCCGGCGUCGGCCCGACGCUUCGGCGCGCCGCCUACUGCAGUCGGCGCGGCCGAGGAACUAGCGCCUGGUCGGUCGGCGCCGGGAGCGUGGCGAGGGUCGUCGUCUCCCUCGUCAUCAUCCGGCCAGUCCCCGAGGCCGCCUCCUGUGGAGCCGCCUGCUCCCUCACCGCCGCCUCCUACGGCGUCGUCCUUCUCCACGGCGGCCGCCCCUAGCUCGGGGUCGUCUGCAUCACUCUCCACCCGGUCCGCGAGGUAUUGAUGACCUGGGGCCGGCGCUCCGUCUGCCGUCUGGCCCAGGAAGCGCUGCUUCGCAGCCGAGUGGCAGGCGCUAAGAAGAAAUUUGAAUUCAUGAAGACAAAAGAUCUAGAAGACUCACCGCAGGCGGUAGGUUUGCACGGCUGUACGACUCCUUGCCAAACUGGCACUCCGUCUCUGACAGCUUGCAGUUGGAGAAGAAGUUCACCAGCGGGACUACCUCCACGUUCGGCAGAACCUUGGUGCACAUCCGGCAUGGGUCCCGGCGCCCGCUCAUGUUGCUGAUGAUGUGGGGCCGGGCUUGGAGGGGCAGCACCCGGCGCGCCACAAAGGCGGCCAGCAGAUCUGAGGCCCUGAGGCCCUCUGAAUCCGUCAUCUCAUGGAGCCGGGCGAGAGCGGCGGAGGAGGCGGCCGACAGGUUCUUCGGCCGAAACUGCCAAUUGGUGCGGGGCUCGGCAAGCGGGCCGGCCAGCCACGGAAGCCGGCAGGUUAGCGUAGUCCAUCGUCGAGUGGAUGUUCUCGACGUAGAAGUACGACUUCUGCCACAGCUUGGCCGACUGCAGCAAGGCGAGGGCUGGGAAGUGGACCCCGGAACCCGAACGCCGCACCGCGACGCACGCCCCGCAGUGGGCCGCCUCGUCCUUGGUGGCGGUGCCGAGUUUGAGCUAGAAGAGCUCCCCCGGAGCUCGAGGGUGGGGAGCACGCCGAGAUAGCCCUCACAGAGGGUGACGAAGGCGGAGAGCAGCACCACCGUGUUCAGCGUGAGAUGGUGGGGUUGUACCUUGUAGAAGGUGAGGAACGAGCGGAGGAAGCUGCUCGCCGGCAGGCCGAAGCCGCGAAGGAAGUGCGACCGAAAGACGACGCGUUCGCCGUCCUCCGGCGCCGGCGAGAUCUCCGCCUCGGGAGGAACGCGCACCUUUACGUGCGUCGCGCGGGGCAGCCGCCGCGUCUGGCGAAGGAACGCGAGGUGAUCCUCGUGGACGUUGGAGCCGUCCCAAUCGCCGGAGCGCCCGCCGCGCGCCAUGGAUGCUGCCGCUCGAUGGUAGCGCGGAGCGGUGGCGGGCCAGUGGAGUCGCGGAGGGUCGAAAAGGCCUUGCAACGGCGGUUGUGGAGGAGCUCUGGCGGCGAGGAGGAGGGCAGCGGCGACGAGAAGAAGCAGAGGAAGGAGAAGGCAAAGGGUGAGGGGGCGCGUCUGCGUUCUGUCGCCCCCUCCUCCCUCUACUUAUAGCCCCUCGGCGGCGGAGCCAAGGGGGCGAGACGUGGGGGGGUUAACUACGCCCACUCCCCCCCAUGACCCCGCGUUUUCCGCACCGUAACUGCGUGUAUUUAACGCGCCUGGAAGCGCAAUCGCCCGCCCCGGCCGCAGCGGAUCCGCACGCGUGCCGAGGCCCUGUAGUGGCGGGCCCGGGCCUGCGGCGACGUCUUGUCGCGCGCGUGGGCUGGCAGGCCAGCCUGGUCAACUAGCGCCGUGUGGCGAGCGUGCAACGGGCGGCAAGGCUACCAAUCGGCUGGCUUGGCACCCGGCCCCCUCAGCGACGGUUCGAAUUCUCCAGGCGGCCAGCCCAGCCUUGGCCGGCUCCUCGCAAUCGGCAUCUCCAAAAGACGGACGAAACAAGAUCACCAAUACACUCAGAGUAGGAAGCUGCUGAGGCUCCUCGAUUUCGGCCGUGGCGCCCCACCAGCUUCGGGGACUACUGUCGGAGUAAAUGACCACGGGUAGCCUCAUCGGCCCCCUAAGAUAUUUCAAGACAUUAGGGCUAACUGCACCCCUCACACCUCCUGGACGAACGGGCGACUUCGUGGGCCGACUGGUCUAGGGGGGCGGCUACUAGAAGGCGGCAAGACACCAGAAGGCGGCCACGAGGAGGCCGGCUCCUAGCAGGCGGCACCUCGUCCCCUCAAAGUUUGCACCCACAUAACCACGACGGGACGGGGCGCGACAACAGUACGACCUGUCGCCCCCGAAUCCAGGGCGGAGCGUGGCCACAGUACGGUGUACCAAGCGGACACCCCUCGCCCGGCGCGGCACUGUUCCGACGCAGCCCGUGACAUCACUUAUGUCAGGAGGAGCCAUGCUCCCAUGACGGCCGGUCGGUACGGCCCGCAGGCGACGGGCCCUACCUAUCGGCGAGCCCCAGCAGGCGACAACGGGAGUGGGCCGCCUCCCAGCAGGCGGCCUCCUCCCCCCUCGGAGUCUGAGCGCCAUUAAUCAGAUGAGACGGGGUGUGGCUACAGUGAGCGCCCGCCAAGCGGCGGGACUGUAGCCAGGCUCCCCCCGACAAAGCCUCCGUCAUCAAGAGCAAGGCAACAGUAUAAAGCGGUUGGCGUGGCCCGCAGGCGGCGGGCCCCAGCAGCCGGUGGAGAAGCUGGCGUCUACAGACACUGACGGCCGGGUCCUACACCCGACCGGAUUACGAUUGUACCCCUGGGGGUAGGCCUAUAUAAACCCCCCACGCCACCCAUGCAAAGGGUUCAGACCUUUGUUCACAGCCCCAGAACACACACACACACACACACACACACACACGUAGAGAGAGUGGAGUAGAGCUAGCCUUGCCCUUCUUCCUCCUCUAGCAGAAACAGCUCAAGGAGCAAGCUUGUAGCUACCUUAUUGAUCAUAGUCAUCAUGCGGAGACCCCGCAGAGUAGGACUAGGGGUGUUAUCUCCACGGAGAGCCCCGAAUCUGGGUAAGAUUCGCAGGCGUAUGCGGUCUCGCUCACUCCCGCCUCUAGAUCCCGGCGACGUACUCUUGUCCCCAUCCAUGAUAAGCCACCCCCUGACAUAUGUCGCACGAUAUUCCCGACAAUCAACUAAUUUGGAUCGACGGUUUGAAAGGUAUGGCCUCCGGAAGGUAGAAUCCAAAUUUGAUCAAAUGCAAAUUUAAACGGUUCAAACAUGUGAAAUUUUGGUUCUACUGUAUUCUCCUGGUCGCUACGAGUACACAGGAAAAAGAAUCAAUGAAUUUGGAUAUACAGACCAAGAGAUAUAGCUAAACGAAAAAUUGGUGAAAAUCUGUCUAAAACAUGAUUUUGAACUGUGGUUACUAUAGCAUAGCGCCAUGUGUCACAUCCAGAUUGGCUGAGAUGUAGCUGUGCGCGCGUGGUCACCGAAGCAGGGGGAAAACGGUGACGGCUUCGGGCGUGGGUGGCGGCGCUCCUCCGGUAGCUCUCCAGUGAAGGUGAGGUGAAGGGCGGAUGCGGCUUGCGAUGACGGAGACGAUGGUAGCUUCAACGGAGAUGGGAGCGUCCUCUGCUGGCGCGCCGUCGCUCGGUGGUGCUGGCGAUUUUGGGCAUGGUCGGGAGCUCGGUAUCCCGUGUUCCUGAGAAGAUCAGAGGUUGAGGGAAAUUUAAAAGACCACGAAUAAUACUCAGGAAGGAUUAGCGAGGAACCGAGGCUCACAGAGGCAACGGAAUCGUUCCGGGAAGCUCCGGCAAGGGCAAUACUCCGGCGAGAUCGGGAUUUGUUGAAGAGCUCGAUGUGGUGCGGUCCUGGGCAAAAUCAAAGCGGAGGGAGUGCAUGAGGUUUCCUCGCAGACUAUGGAGUGCUCGGAGAGGGGCCGGACUUACUGGAGUGCCCGAAAUCGUUCGUAUCGCCGGAGUCGGCAGAGCUUGGCGAGGUCCUUACUCUCGAUUCCUAGGGGAAAACAAAGUGGCGCCUGCGAGGACUGAUCGAGGGAUUCGAGAGGAACCACACGGCGGCCUCAGAUUGGAAAAGGAGCAAGGGGUCGCGUGAAUCACGCGGGGUUUGGUGCGGCAGUGGCGGCGCUGUCGUCCACGAACAGGAGACCGAUCGGGAGGCGGAACGAGGCGGUGGGGUCCGCUGUCGUGGAAUAGAGAGAAAGAAAGAAAAAAAC
rnacentral:lncRNA from 1 species